GUUACAAGACCAAAAUUGUUAAUGAAAAUUAUAAUAUACACUAAGCUUUUUGUGAACCUGUACUUUAUACUUUGAAGAAAAACAAGUAAAGAAUCUUUUUUUUUUUUUUUUUUAAUUUUUAAAAUUUGGCAAAGUUGUUGUUUUCUUUUUAUUUCCUUACUUGGGUGGUGGGUAGUUUCUAGGCAGGAUCCUCCAGAAGACGGCAUAAAUCCACUGAGAGUUUUCAUGAAUGCACAAGCUUCUCAGGGUGUGUUGAAGCAGAUGAGUCACAGCUAAGGGGUUCAGAUGUUCUUCCAUCUCUUGGGCGUAUCUCUCAAUGUUUUCUCUACCUUUUUUUUUUCUAUUUCUCCUCUUCCAAUCUUCACCUAUCCUCCUUUAUAUAAUAAGCCUACCAACAUGUUCAUCUCUCAUUUAUACCCCUCUCUCUCUCUCUCUCUCUCUCUCUCAGUGUGGAAGACUACUGGAAGUAAAAUAAAAUUUUCUUCAACCUUUUUUUUUACCGAAGUGUUUCCUGAGGCCCCACCUUGUCUUUCUUGCAAUCCUUCAUUCAAAACUACUACUAAAAUUUUAUUUUAUUUUCUUGGUUAAGUCCUACCUCAUGAUCCCAAUUAUGUUAUUAUAUCAGCGAAACGACCAAACCUUAGUUUUCACAGACUAAAUGAUGGCAAGUAUUGACUAGCUAGCGCCCUUUCUUUCUCUCCAACCCCCAAUGGUAUUAUUAUCAUUCUGACUUUCUGACGCACUUACCAUUUGGUGUUCCCACUCAAAUUUCAGUUCCAUGAAAAACUUUCUUACCCUCGACCUUCAACACUGCACCGCCAUCAAGCUUAGUUAUUGAAGCAUGUUAUAAAAUUAACCAAAGAUUAUUUGAUGACCAACGAAAUAUCAUAAACAAAUAUAGGGUUCUGCCAAUUUCUGAUUUUCCUGUGGUGUUGAGGAAGGCACGGUAUUUGUGUACGUAUUUUUCUGCUGGUGUACGAUAGAUAGAUAUCUUGUUCAGUCAAAAACAAUGGGUGCUAGCUAUCAUUUAGGUUCGAGAAACCUUAGCCCACAAUACGUACAGAGUUGCAGUUCGUAUAGUAGUACUUGAUAUUGAUGCCCUACUCUUGCCACUUCAUAAUAAUGGCACUUUCCCAAUUACAAAGAGGGCCAGCCAGCCAUUAUUAAGCAUUUGCAGAUAAUAAGGUGGAAAAAAGCUGCUUUCUUGCUGGUUGCUGCCAUAGAGUUUAAAGAGUGCUUCUCUUAGUCUUUUAGCCCUCACUGAGACAAAGCCAUGUUACAUAUAUAAAAUGCUGAUCGACUAUAUAUUGCAUUCAUUAAUUAUAAGUUAUAACCAUGCAUCGAUUUCAAUCUCUCUCUCUCUCGCUCUCUCUCUCUCUCUCUCUCUCUUCUGUGAACAACAUGAUGACCAAGAGGAGCUAUCAGUGAUUUCAUUUCCUCACCCUCUCUCCCUGACACCAAGGAAAAUAUUGACAGAACAUUAUACUGUCCCUUUGACCGUCCUUUUCUUUUUUACAAGAAAGAAACCGUCGUCUCAUUAUAACACCGUGUAAUAAAUGUAUGCAUCAGUGUAAUUUACAGGAUAUAUAGCCAAACAUUUGUCACCUUCAUUGCUAGCCUUGAUAGUGACACACAUUGCUAUCUCCAUAAUUUUCCCUUUGGAUUCUUGUUACCAAGGCCAACCCCAUCCAUGUCUCUACUCAAUGAGAGAGAGAGAGAGAGAGAGAGAGAGAGAGAGAGAGAGAGAGAGGGGUGUUAUAAUUCAUAAAUGGGUUCUGUUAUAUUGUAGUUUUUGGGAUCUUAUAAUGCAUGAAUUCACGAUCCCUUUGCAGAGUAAAAUAUUAAUAUUGGGAGACAAAGUCUGAUGGUGGUGAUGUAAGCAAAAGGAGUGUGUUUUGGGGCAACAAUUGAAUGAGCUUUGGAUUUUAUUGGUGCUGGUGAUGGUUCUGGUCUACACUUUAUAUUGUUGUUUUGUUGAUUUUUGAAAAAGCAGUUCCAAAGAUUGAUAUUGGAGAAGUUGGUAUGGAAGCAAAGAAUGGCUCAAGAUAGAUACCAGUGGUCAAAGAUUAUUGGUGUUGAAAUUUGGCCCAUCCCUUUCUCCCCAUUAACUAGUGGAAUCUCUGCUCUUCCCAUCCCCCAUCCUUUUUUGAAUCCCAUUUGAUAUAUUUAAAUCUCUCAAUGUAAUGCAAAAACCAACAGAAUUAUUAAUUAACAAAUGGUGUUGCUUUGUGAAAAUGUAUAGUGAUAAUCAGACAAUAUGAGACAGUAUCUAGUAAAGCUCACUCUAAGGCAGGCAUAUGAUCUUCUUCUUCUUCUCUCCCACCACACAACUUUAGCAUAUUAUUAGUUAAUUAUUUUAUGAGAAAAGGUUGGUAUGUAUAAACAUCGGCAGCAGAGAAUGGCAGGGGAUCAAUGUAAUUUGAUAUUGUUUUGGAAUGUUUGAUAUUGUAUUAUAAUUCAGAUGAUGGGCUGCUGCAUUGGGUGGAUUGCCUCUUUUGUCUUAAAGAAGCAGAAACACUAAAUGCUCCUCAGUUAUUUGGUUUUGUUAGAAAGGGUUGGUUAUCAGCUUCUCUAGCUCUACUGUGAAUUUGUGAUGAAUGUCCAAAAAUCUAAAUUUCAGUGUUUCUUAGAGUGAUGAAAUGUCUUAUCCACUUAACAAGAUGAUUUGUUCUCACACUCAUAUAAAAAUGGCAUCCACAUUUCCCAACAUGCAUGUGUCACAACAAUACGGUGAGUUUUAAUUCUUUUUCUAGCAAGGCUUUGGUCCAUAUUUUUCAAAGUGAGAGGUACCUUUUGUUUUCUGCACAGUUAAUAAUUUCAAAUACAAAGCCAUAUUAGGGAGGAGGAACCGAAUCUAAGAUGAAGGAAACUAUACAUGAUUAGGGUGUGCCAUAAAAUCCAGAGGGGAAAAAACUCAAAAAAGUCCAGAGUGGAGGGGUUUUUAGGCUGUGACAGAAGUUGAUCAAAUGCAUGAAAAUACUGGGAAUUCUUCACCCUAACAUAGAAAAACUCCAAGGCAAUCACGUGAAGGCAUUGCCAGUGACAAUUUUGGGCUAUAAAAAAAGCUGUGUGUACAAAUCCAUAACGAAAAGGAAAAAGGAAGAGAUUAAAGAAAGAUAUCCCUUUUCUGGGUAGCUUUUGUAACCUUUUCAUUGCUGUAAAAUUGAGCCUGUAUUUCAAAGACAAAAUAUUCUUGGCUCCCACACACACACCACACCCAACUUUUACAUGUCAUCAGUGUUGCAAAAAGCCAUCCCAUAUAUGGUAUCAAAAAGUGGUCGUAAACUCAAACCUGCAAUCAAAAGAUGGAAGAUGCUCUUUCAUUCUGGACCGUCCAUCACAAGGGAAGGGACCAAAUAAUCAAAGGUGUAGAGACAGUAGAAUAUACAUCAGAUAUUGCAUUAGGCAUGUGCCUCUGCUCUGAUAAGAAGGUAAAAUUUCUGGUGGAAAAAAAAAGAAAUAUAAUGGUACAAGUUCUUGUUCUUGUAUAUCUUCACAAAGGGUUGAAUAUAAUUAGUUCUUUGAGGGGGAAAAAAAUAGGAAAAUGAAAACAUGCAAACAUGAUCAUUGGUGCUGCUGUGAAAGUCAGAGAAAGAUACCCAAUGUAUGCUUUUGUACUUGAAAGAAUGGAAAAUGAUUUAUCAUCACACUCUCUUUGAAGUCUGAAGCUUGGUCAAUCUAGUGGACGAUCCAUAUGAGGAUCCACCUACCGUUAUUGUGAGAUACAGAUGUUCUACACAUAAUAUAUAAUUCAAUCUUUGAAGGGACUUGCAAAGAUUUUUUCUCCAACGCUCCUUCAUAAUCAUCACCAUCCCUUUCACUAUCAGCAUGCAUCAGCAUCAAAAUUAAAGUGCCAUUGGACAACCAAGACACAACUAAUAUAAUAUAAUAUUAUAUAUAUACUGGUCCAUUUAUAAGCUGUAAGCAAUGUGACAUCGUGAUGUCUUUAAGGAAAAAAAAUUUCUUCUAACGAGAAUAGCACCGUUUUGUUAUUUCAAGCCAAUAACAUAUAAUGACAUGUUAAAAAGUUAUCCCACUUGUCAAUGUGUUAUUGAUUUAAAAUAACGAAAAAUAUUAUCUUAUUAUAUGAGAGUUUCUCUCGUCCUUGAGGGGCCUAAUUGAUUAAUUUCAUUAUUCACUUUGCAAGUACAUGUCAUGUCACAUGCAUUAAUUAAUUGAUUAAUAGGCAACUUUUGUCAAUAUUACCCGCUUAAGUUGACAAUAUUAUAAAUAUAGGCUUUGGUUGAUGGAAACAUGCAUGCACAGGAUCUUGUGUACUUUUAGGAGAAGGAAUUAGGGGGACAAUUAGAUUAUGCUAAUCAUUGGAUAUGAUCAAUUAAUGAUAAAUUAGUUCUGUUGUUAUACAUAUAUAGACAAAGUGUUAACAAAGGUUAAGUGAGAUACAUGCAUGGAUCGCCAUGAUUGCAUUCAAUUGAGUGGGGUUUGAAGAGAUGAUGCUAGCUUCUUUGGCUAACAGAAGGAUGAAAGGGACUAACAAUCAUAGAGAGAUAGAAUUGGCAUCUAAAGCUCUGCAGUUGAGGACACCAUGACUAAGAUAUGUGGGACACACAUGGAGAGAUUGGGACUUGAUCAAAUCACAGAGAAGCUGCCUCCUCAUCCCUUUUCUUCUCAAUCACCAAAACCCUCUCUUUUUCUCCCUCAUUUGUGCCCACAUGGAGACUUAUCAAAUCAAACACAAUUAACCUUCCAAUGCAUUCUCAUGGUAAUUAAUUCAUCUAACAAAUCAAAGACAGGUGGAGAUUUUAUAUUCCAAGUGAUUACAUGUAAAAAAAAAAAAUAAAGGCUGCUCUGCACUGCUACCAUCCAUCUUGAUUAAUAUUGCUAUAGUAUUUUUGACUUAUUGAAGCUCUCUUUACAGUUGGCAUGACACACAUAAAAACAUGGCCAUAGUGAAGUGAGAUGCUCCUUGUUCUCUACUUUGAAAAAGAAGCAGAACAUAAAGAUAUAAUUUUUUUGGCCUACAUUAUGCAGUAACAACAGAAGCAUGGAUUUUUCUUGAGGUGUUCAAAUUGGACUAAAUUCUUGUUUUUUCCUAUCAAAGUACUAUUGACCACUUUUUUUUAUUGUCAAUCUUUACAGAACAAACAUAUACAUGAUACAUGUUUACCUGCAUAAUUUGCAAACAAGUUUACCAAAUGAACAAAGGAACAUGGUGCAUGUAACUCAAGAAAGAUAAAAAAAGAAAACAUGAUACAUGUUUAUAAAAAAAUGGUUGCAUGUUGAGUUUGUUUGUGGUAGGUGCCUGCCUUGCAGAUGCUCUUAUCCAGUUAGGCCGCUAAGUUUGUACUGUGUGGGGCAUGGACCAAAGCAACUAAAAUAUGAUCCCACAUCCUCCCAAGUCUCAACAAUCCCCAUUCUAGAUUGUCCACCUUAUGGCCCGUUUCUUUGGACUAUAUGCUUGGGUAGGUAACAGUCAAUUCCCAAUCUUCUGAGACUUCGAUGAUAUAGGGUUCACGGCUGACGGAGUGGUUUAAAAUGUAGGGUUUAUGGGAGUUUGUAUAUGCGUUUAUAAAUAAUUGAUAGUUUGCGUGUAUACGCUUAUCAUUUUAUUUCACUUCAAAGUUAAUGUUCAUAUUUUCUUUUGGAUUGAAGGAAGUACCAUGACAUCAAUUUCAUCAUGUACCAAUAUUUUGAUUGUUUUUGAAUAAUGGUUAAAGCUUCUGUACUGGUUUCGUGAGAAAACAACAUUUAAUUAUGGAGGAAUGGAGAUCCAGUGAUAUGCCACUAUCAAAGCCCUCAAAGGGCCCCUCAUAUUGUACGUUUGCUCUCUCUCUCUUUGAAGCUUUUUUUUUCUUCCUUUAUUUGCGUCUGUCAGUGAAGGAAACAAGGGGGAAGGUAAUUGGUACUAGCAGCCAAUGGCUUGCACUGACUUGUCCUUCUCCGUGCCUCUGCUAGUGCUUGCAAAUAUCAGAACCAAAUUUUUUCAGAGACUUAAUUAUUGAUCCUAGAAUAUUUGAGAAUGAUGAAGAAUUGAAAGGGUUAAUUUAUCUUCUUAUUGUGCAUUUUCCUGGAGUUUUUUCUUAACCAAAGGCAGAAGUUUAUUGAAUCAAAAAGAUGCAUGUCCUUACCAAGUUUGCCUAUAUUUGAACACCGACUCAAAUGUCCUUUUCUCAUUUUAUCCUGUCUAUUUUCUUUUCCAAGUUCUAGGCAGACAGGGACAAUGUCCAAAAAUUACUGCUUUUUUGGCAAUCUUGUAUUAGACUAAUAUCAAAAGCUCCAGAACCUAAUUUGCUCUUAAAGGGAGAUUUUCCGGCCUACUUUACUGAUGGGCACAGUACAAUAUGAACUUUAGAGUGUGUGGAAUUUUAUGCAUUAGAGUCAAAUUGAGGCAAAAUUCAUGUGGCUUUUCCUCUCCAAAAUAAUUGCUCCCUCCCUCCUUCCCUCCCUCCAAUUAUUUCAGGUAAGCAUUGACAUCACCGUAUCAUCAUUGCCAAAUGCCUGCAGCAACCCCCACUUCAGUAUAGAAAUGCAACAUGGAGAGACACAUGCAUACAUACAUACAUACAUACAUACAUACAUACAUACAUACAUACAUACAUGCAUACAUGCAUGCACACAUCCAUACAUGCAUACUACAUAUGAAGACUGGCAUGUUCCAAUAGGAGGGCCGAGAUCAAAUUCAUUAAGAUUGUAACCUUAAAAAAACAGCCGGAGAAGCAGUGAGUAUGUUGAUGAUAAGUAACCCAUCAGAGAUCGCCAGGGAGCUAAGCUGCAGAGAAGAGCCCCAAAAGUGGUCAUUGUCGAUUUGUCAUUCAAACCAAACUAUAGGACCACCAGAUGGAGAACUAUGUUCUAUUGGUCCACUGCCUAAGCAUACAACUGUCUUGCAUAAGCUCAACCAGACUCACAUUCCUCCUAUAUGGUAAAUAGGUUCAAAUUUCAACACAUAAAGGUUCUCGCAUGCUGCUUCUUCUUGUUGUUGGUUUUUGUUUUUUAUUUUUUUUUGCCAAAGUUAGAAAGCAGAAGGGGAUUUUUCUUACACACAUAUUGACAAGAUGCCAUAUAGAUGUGAACCUGAGACCACCGAUCAUCAAAUCAAUACUAUUUUUCAUUAGGUUAGACCCCUGUAUGAUCAACCCCUGCUGCAAACUAGAACAGUAAUGCUCUUAAUUUGGCAUUAGAAACACAAAAAGAAUGAUUACUGAUCAGAUUUAGUACUCCUUACUUAUAAAAUUUGAAAAACAUUAGGAAUUUUAUUUUUACACUUACCAAGUUGGACCAUGCAGACGCAGAGAGCUGCCCCUGAGGGUUGAUUGUUGCAUCUCUGUGGCCUUCCAAUCAGCCCUUCCUACUGCAGGGGGAAGACCCAAAAGUUGGGAAACUAAAAAGGCUUGGAAUACUGAGAGUCUGAUCGCUAAAGGCUUGGAUUUACAGACUAGCAGCCGCCUUCAUGGUAGCAGGAAAAUAUUAAACAAGUUCAUGGGCCACUCUAGAUAAAGGGAUAAACUUUCUGGCAAGGAAAUAAACAUGGUCUCAGUUAAAUUUAAACUAAGGCCUCUUGUUGCGAGUGCUUUCAUGGGCAAAGCCCAAGAAGAAAAGAAGAUGGUCCCACAAACACAAUUGCUAUCUUUCUCUGAGCCACAAAAAAAAAACAGAAAGAAACAUCCUCAUGCCUUACCGCUCAGACUAUAAUGAGUGGAAAGUUAUAAGGGGUAAGUUAUAAGGGGUUCACUUUAUAGUCAUCAGAUCAAUUCAAGGGCUGGGGAGAAUUGAGAUAAAGUUUUACAAUCGGGUAGAUGAGGAACCCAAACCCGAAUUUAAUAUCCAGCAGGUCCGAAAAAAAAGAAGAAGAGGCAAGUUCGAAGUUUGAACAUAAAAAACUCAUCGCUCUAAAACACAUAGCUCUGAGAAACCACUAAGCUAUGAGAAACGGUUGAAGGCAACGGUUAACGAUGGUUGAAGACAAUGGUUGAACGCCACUUCGUUCUCCAAACCCUAAAAAAGUAUUUAUUUUGAGUGGAAGGGGCAAAGGUGUGGAUUCCGAAAUAGUGAAGGGGCGAAGCAGUGGAAGGGGAAGGAGAGAAGCCGUAUUCGUUGGAAGUGAUAGGUUCCAUUUGUGGAGCAAAGCCGCACAAAGACCCCGCACAGACACCUUGCGAUUGUUCAAUAACCAGCAUUUGGUGAGUAAUUUAUGGAAUUUGAGUUUAGGGUUAGAGUAACGGUUUUCCCCAAUUUGUACCAUCAAUGUUGUUGAAUUUGGCAUCUCUUCUUUGUGCUUCACUUGCAUGUUAAUUUUUACUUGGGUAUAUGUUAAAAAACGAAUGAAAAUCAAGUCAAUAACAUGUCAAUAAUGAUAUGAAUAAGAUAAUGGUGUUGAAUUGGAGGAGGCCCUCAAAACCUUCCACAUUUGAAGCAGUGCAUAGUGCAGAUUAUCUCUCUGGCGCUAGAAUAUAUAUAGUUUUUGAAAUAAAUAUUAUUUCCUUUGUUACUAAAUUUGCUUGAGAAAAAUGAGAACAGAUAAUAAUAAACUCAUGAAUAAAAGUGCAAAGCAUUUGAUGAGUAAUUUAUGGAAUUUGAGUUUUGGAUUAGAAUAACGGUUUUCCCCAAUUUGUACCAUCAAUAUUGUUGGAUUUGGCAUCUCUUCUUUGUGCUUCACUUGCAUGUUAAUUUUUGCUUGGGUAUAUGUUAAAAAAAGAAUGAAAAUCAAGUCAAUAACAUGUCAAUAACAUAUCAAUAACAUGUUAAUAAUGAUAUGAAUAAGUUAAUGGUGUUGAAUUGGAGGAGGCCUUCAAAACCUUCCACAUUUGAAGCAGUGCAGAGUGCAGAUUACCUCUCUGGCGCUAGAAUUUAUAUAUAUUUUGAAAUAAAUAUUAUUUCAUUUGUUACUAAAUUUACUUGUGAAAAAUGAGAACAGAUAAUAAUAAACUCAUGAAUAAAAGUGCAAAGCAUUUGAAGAUAAAGGUUGAUCUAUGAUGAUUGUGGCUGACUGAAGAAAAAGCUAGAAAGAAAGAAGGAUGUGGCAAUGGCUUAGCAAGCAGAUAGUAGAGCAGAUGCUUUGCUUUGCUUCCUUCCACCAUAUUUCUUAUUUAUUUAUUUAUUUAUUUUGUGUUAUGUAUGAGAUGAAAAUAAUUGUCAUGUGUGUGAAGUGCAGAAUUUGCCUAGAUUGCACUCACACUCACUCAUGCAUCAACCAUUGAUUAUAGUUUGGAUCUAUAAAUAAAACACAUGAAAUUGUUUGUAAUUCACAGAAUCAUUGCAUUAAUAGGUAUUUGCACAAAAUUUGUCAUAUUGCUUUGAUGAUGUUAAAGCCUGUGAUCAGUAAUCCCUAUGCGCAUGUACUUUGUAAAAUUUGUAAUGUGCCUGGUUGACUAGUUGUGUAAAUACCAAUGUGAUUGUGCAAAUAUGUGGUAGUAUAUGUGUUCACGUUAUUUCAUCUUGUAUUUCAAGAAAUGGGAUCCAACAUGGAGCUGGUAUGGCUAGAGUCAGAGGCAUAUUCGUCACGGGUGAACAACUGCUCACAUGCAAAUUCAUCCAUAGCUACAAUUCGAGCAAAGUUGAGUGCCGAACAAUUAGAACAAUUCAAGACAUCAUGCUUUGGCCAUCUUCUGAAUAUAGAUAAGAUUCAGUUUAGCGGGCAGAUUGUGCAUGAGGUUGUGUUGCGUAGAGUAAUGGGGUAAGGUGUGAAAGACUUGGAUGGACUGAGUUUCUUAAUAGGGUGCGAGGUUGCUCAGUUCACUCGUCAGGAUUUCUGCUUGAUCACAGGGCUUCUUUUUGGAGAAGUGCCUGAAGUUUCCAGUGGAGAAAGUGAUGAAAUUAGACUUCAGAAAAGAUAUUUUAUAGACGAAGGAAUUACAUGUAAUGCUUUAGAAGAAGCAUUUUUGAGGUGCAUAGAGGAAGAUGACAUCUACAAGCUAGCUCUUGUUUACUUUGCUGAGUUAGUGGUUUUGGGAAGGGACAAGCAUUUGAACAUCAAUCUAAAUUACCUGACCCUUGUAGAGGACUUGGAUGCGUUCAACAGGUAUCCGUGGGGUUUGGUGUCCUUUGACAAAACCCAAGACAAUCUAUUUUAUGCACCAGCAAAGUAUGUGAAAAGCUUUGAAAAUGAAGAAGGAAGAGGGAAGGGGAAAAGUAAGGUAACGGGAACAAGCCGGAAAAAUGAGAAGGGUAAGAAGGAUAAGCAUGGUGAAGUGCAAAGGGGUGGCUGGUGUUUUAAAGGUUUCAGGUAUGCUUUUUAGGUACAUGGUAAUAAUGUUUAUGUUAGUUAUGUUUUGUGGACUUUAAAACUUAAAUAAUGAUUUUUGUCCUGUGAAUUGUGUAGAUUUGGGUAUAUGAAUUAAUUCCUAGAAUGGCGGACCUGAAUUACUGCAAGGUUGUUGAUCCGACAGUUGUCCCACGUAUUUUGCGAUGGAGAACUACUACGUCUGUUCCCGAGAUGAGAAAGUUGAACAAUUAUUUUUUCCAGAGCAAAGAGGUUUGGUUUGCAACCUUGGAACUAUUUAUAAGAUUCAAUGAAAUUAUGAAGUAGAAUGAUUGAAUAUGACUCUUGUCUGUAUUCUGAAACAGUCAGUUUAGUUGCAGGCGCUAUGUCCGAGUGAAGAGGAAAUGAGACAACCAUAUUGGAGUUGGCCACAGGAUCGCCCUGCUGUUGUCUCGGCAAAGUCAAUUCCUUCUUCAUGUGCUAACCUUGAUGAGUUGAACAAGGUGGUAAGCUUGUUGAGGUCCGAGUUGUUUCAGAGUAAAGCGGGAAAAAGACGUCCUUGAGUUAAAGGUCAUACGGAUGGAAAAACUUUGUUUAGGUCCUCAGUUUGAGCAGGAAGUAAGGAGGGACCUAGCUUUACUGAAAGAGCGGACGAAUCGUUGUGCCAUCUCACAUCUAUUUAAGGGAAGUGAGGAAAUGGAUGACAUUUAAUAGGAUGAAGGGCCAAGUAACAGAAAUGAGGGAAAGGAAAAGGAAGAUGAGGGGAUUGAAGGGGGUGAAGUGCAAAGAAAACCAAGUGAGGUAGAGGAAGCUCAAAGGAAAAGAAGUGAGGGAGAGCAAGUGAAAAUAAAAAGCAGCAAGGGAGAGGAAGCGUAAAGAAAGAGCAGUGAGGGAGAUGAUGUGAAAAGAAAAAGUAGUAAGGGGGAUGAACUGCAAAGAAAAAGCAGUAAGGGAGAGGAUCUGCAAAGAAAAAGAAGGGAGGGCAAGGAAGUGAAAAUACAAAGAAGUGAGGAAAAGGAAGUGUAAAGAAACCAAUGUGAGGAAGAGGAUGAUGAAGUUAUGUUGCUUGGCGAUGACAUUGGCGAGAGCACGGAGGGGACAAAGGUUGAGUUUACUCUCGGGGAUAUUGAUUUGGAUCAACCUAUAGCUGUGCUAUCUCAGUUGAACGUUUGGUUGAAUGAUGAAGGUAAAGCUGUGGAACAAGGGGUCCAAUUACGGAAGAGGAAGAGGAUCAUUCUUAUGUGGAAGAUCAUUGAAGCUAAUGAAUUGGUUCAAAAAACUCUGCCAGAGACAAUCCGACUUCGGAUGUUAGACCCAAUGAAGGCGAUUCCGCAUGAUGAUAUGGUGGAAUUGCUGAAACUUUGUUGGGAAUGGCGCCAUAACCCAAAGUAAGUCCCUUGUUUUUUGAGAUAGAAGACAUGAGUGUAUAUAUUUUUUAAUUGUUGUGUUCUAAAACUUUUUUAUAUUCAUAGUUUGAUGAUGCAAUUUGGCAACGUGAAAGCUGAGAUUGAAUUCUUCGCUUCCCUCGUCAAAGCUGACGGUUGGUUGAAAGGAGAUGUAAAUUUAAUUGAUUAUGCAUUUAUUUUAAUGUACAUAGAUUAUGAGAUUGAUAAGAAAAACAUGUGCAGCAUAUUGAUUUGGGGUUGUAUCUCAUCCGGAAGCGACAACAAGAGUUGGAGGAAGUAGAAAUAUCGGACUGGACAACGACCGAUGUAUUUUUUAUGGUAUGUCAUAGGCUUUGACCAAGUGCAGUUAAUAAUUACAAAUUAUCCAUACUUGCUUUGUGGAGGUGUUUAACCAUUGAUUGUUUUCUAUUUCACAGAAUCACAUUCAUACUUGCUUUGCGGAUAAUAAAGGAAAAAAAGAGCAGGUUGGGUGGAAAAUUAGAAACAGUUUACUGAACGUUGUAAAUGGCAAGGUUCCGGCGUGUGUGAUGGAUUGGCAGAACGCGUAUAAGGUGUAUGCCCAUUGUAUGUUGACGAAGUACAAGUAUUGGGGUGGCUGUAAUGAUUGAUCUGGUUAAGUGUGAAAUCAAAGUGUACGAUUUAAGGGUUUCACUUAUUCCAGAUGAGAUCUUAAAGGAAGAACUCGCCUCGCUUUCAAUUACGAUUCCAAAUCUUCUCAACACCAUCGACUUUUAUGAAGAAGAUGUUUACGCAAACGAUUGCAGCCGAGAUUGGUGGUGUCCGUGGCCAAUAGAACGUGUGGAUGUUCCACAACAGUCUAAUCAGUGAGCACAACUUUUUAUUUAAUUUUAUUACUUUAAAUUUUCAAUUACGUUAGAAUGUCAUUGGUUGAGUUGAUCAAGUUCUUGUUUUGCUUUAGAAGUGAUUAUGGCAUGUUCGUGUUGAAGUACAUUGAGCUUUUGAGCGCUGAGAUUCCGUUAGCUACUUGCACCUCGCAGAACUUGCCCUUUUUUCGGUUGAAGUUGGCUGCAGAGAUAGCACGGGGACAUGCUUACAUGCCAUGAUAUUGGUUGAACUUGGUUUAGGUACAUGAUGAUUAAAUAGGUUUUGGGAAUGUCCAAUUUCAAACUCAUGUAAAUACACAAUAGAGACCCAGGGGUCCUUUUCGAAUUCUACCUUUGCUCCUCAAUUCUUCUUCAUCUUUCUCAAUCUUAGUGUAUUUUGGUACAUAAUUUUAGGUUUAAGUUAUUGGACAAUAACAAUUAGAACCAAAAUAGUGGCAAAUAUUAUAGCGGAUGCAUGUUUUCAUUUCGAUUAGUGUUAUACUACGCUACUUUUAUUCUCAUAUUGUGCUAAAUGUAUAUGGAGCUAGAUGCAGAGCAUAGACAGAAAAAUGAAGAAUCUGAAAUGAAGAUGCUGAGGCUUGAUGAGGAGAAAAGUAAAUGGAUCUAUAAAUCUAUUGCACGUGGGCUAUCUAAAUGGAUAGGCAGAUGAGUUUUUGAAGUUAGACACAUGUCAUUCCUAUACAUAGAAUGUGCAUCUAGAGUGUAAAGUUUUUUUGGAUUUAAUGAAACAAACAUCUGUGUAAUAUUGACCUAACUCCUUCACGAUAUUUACAUAACCUUAACCAAAUUACAUUGAAUUGGAAUUUGAAGACUGCAUAUGUGAAUUGGGAUUUGAAGAAUGCAUAUGUGAAUGGGGACUGAUGACUUUUUAAGUGUAUUACAUCAUUGCAAAGUGAUAUAUCAUCAUUUAUGCAAGCCAUCAUUCCAAAUAUCAGAUCCCAAUCUUUAAGCCGUUCAACAUGCCUUGACUUAAUUGCAAUUGGUUGCAUGUUAAUAAGGUAAUUUUGUAAGGGGAAUAAUUGGCUAUGGCCUCGCAUCCAAUGUUUUAUUCAACGAUGCCCUCUUUAUAGAAACACAUGAAAAAAUAUCCCCAGGUGCAAUGCUAUAAAAACUCCCUAUUAGUUCCGUACCGCCCCUCGGGUUUGAAUCCCUCUCUCCUUUAUAAUCGGUUAAUAAAUUCGUUGAUGUUCUUUAUUUUAUUGGUUUUGGGCAGCUGAGUAGCAUAAAAAUAAUGUAUAUUGGUGCGUCUAUAUUGCAUGUCUGUUGCAUCUAUAUUGCUUCUCUAUUGCGUGCAUAUCUUACAUUUAUUGCGUGUAUUGAUUGUUUAUUGCUGACGAAGGAAAUAAACAACAAUACACAGGCAACAGACAAGCAAUAUACACACAACAGACACGCAAUAUACACUCAAUAGAUAUGCAAUAUACACACAAUAGACAUGCAAUAUACAUCAGUCCCCAAUUACACCAACCAUAAGGAAGUCGUAUUGAAUAGAAAAUUCUACUUAACAGUUGUUCUUCCUACUAAAAGAAAGAAUAAGGACCGUUUCCCCUAUUAAAUCUAACUCCUUAAAUCUUACUUGAGUGGUACUUUUGCCCUCAAUAAACAUGCAAUAUUGGAGCAAUAACAUGCGAUAUACAUGCAGUAAACAAUCAAUAAACCUUCAAUAAACAUUCAAUAUCGAUUCAAUAACAUGUGAAAUACAUGCAGUUAACAAUCAAUAAACUUUCAAUAAACAUGUAAACAAUCAAUAAACCUUCAAUAAACAUUCAAUAUCGGAGCAAUAACAUGCGAAAUACAUGCAGUAAAUAAUCAAUAAACCUUCAAUAAACAUUCAAUAUCAUGCUAUUUACAUGUAGUACACAAUAAAUAAACUUUAAGUAUACGCAAAUAAACAAUUUAUAUACACUGAAUAACUAUGCAAUUUUCAAAAAAAAUGUAUUGUCUUAUUAUUGCAUCGUAUUGGCCCUGUAUUAUGAUUUUAUCGUAUUCGUAUGACUUUAUUUUUUUUAAGUAAGUCUUGAAAAGUUUUUGCUGGGUUUCAGACAAAUAAAUGAUUUUGUUUCGAACAGUAAUUUAAACUCAAUGUCAAUCCACUUAUUUCAAGAAUAAAAAUUACAAAAUGGGUUUGAAAACUCAUUGGUGGUGAGUGCAAUAUGUCUUUUUGGGGAGAACUUUUACAAUUCUUGAAACCGUGCCCUUAAUUGGUCAUUAAAAGAACAAAUAAUAUGACAAUUGAUACAACUAAUAAAACUAAUACCAAGUCCUUAAUGGACUUCAGCAUAUUCAGCAGUGUAGCAUCAUACGUGUCAUCUUGCUGUUCUGCUUCAGCGGAGGUUACAUCAACCCAUUCGAAUCCAUUGCAACUGGUGGCUCCCUAAUUGCAGGCAUCAUAUAUGCAAAAUAAUUCUGUCAGAGUUAGACAUAGGUUUUUUCACCCACAUAAAUAUUCUGGAAAUGAAAACUUACAUAGGAGGUUAGACACUUCCAAAAUGGCUUCCCUCGAUUUUUAUCUGAUUUUGAAACCCGAAGCAUCAUUGCAGCUCCACAAUACUGACACCUCUUUGUUUGAGCGGGAGAUGAAGACGAAGACAUGUUGAAUCUUCUCACUUGUACCUCUUCUCACUCAAAUCUUCUCACUGAAACCUCUUCGGACUCAUACCUUCUCACUCAUAGUUCUUAGUCAUACCUCUUCACUCAUAACCCUAAACUUCUCACUCAACUCUCUCUCAUCUCUGCCCAAAUCGAAUUUUAUUAUUCUUUUCUGUGUGUGGGUGGGUUGGUCACGAUCUGGACACCUGUACUGUUAGAAUUGUAGCACCUUUUACCCCGAAAAGUAAUAUAAUAUUUCACUACCAAAUAUAUUAAUUUGAAAAUGGAGGGGACACUGCUUUAAAUAUAUUAUUUUAUUUAUAAUUCAUUAAGGCAACUAGUUGGAUAAGAAUCCAUAAUCAUUGGUUCCAUUUUAAUAACAUUAUUAAGGGUAGUUUGGUGUGGGAAAAUGAAAAAGUAUCUGAUGAGACCUUCUGUGACUAGUCAGUAAUCCAUCACAUUUGUAUCAAUGAAUUUGAUGGCAGGAAAAUCCUAAAAAUGGCUAUGCAAAUAGGUUAUUAAUUGACUUUUUGCCUGUCUGACUCUUUUUGCAUUUCGAUGACGUUUUCCCUUCUCUUGUCUUGAGUUUUAGGGUGUUGGGUUCAAUUUCUUUAAAAAUGGUCAACUUGAAAAAAUCUCAAGUGAAAACACCUUCUCAAAACACUACAAACAGAGGAUAAAACAAAACCAAAACCCCAUAUAUUCUCAUUUCUCCCCUCUUCCACUCCUCAAAUCGUUCGAUUCUAAAAACAUUUCAAUGAAUUCGAAACAUUUCACUACACUCGGAGGAAAGAGAAGAAAGCAUCUCCAUUUGGAUAUGCCCCAAGCCUUCAUCCUGGAGUUAGCUUGGUUUAAAGAGAUGUUAUACGUGGCAACCCAAUCAUCGGAAGAUCUCUUCCGUAUGGCAUCUGUGUGCCCAUUGUUCCAUACGUUGGCAAACACUCCACAAGUGUGGAACACUAUUUCAAUGGCAAAGUACCCAAACCAUCGUAGCUGGUACCAUGCCAAUCAUGCGGUCCAGUAUUUCUUGCAACAAUGCAGGGCUUGCGAGAACCUUGAGUCGAUAUUUAGAGAAGCGUUCAAAGUGUUUUUCAUGCAGGGUAACGUGGAAGUGUUGUAUGAGAUGCGCAUUGCAGCCACGACAGGCCAUAUGGAAGCGGCAUAUCUAGUUGGACUACUUGGCAUGUCCAGAAUUGGUCAGUCCAAAGAGGAUGCAUUAGAAUUUUUGUGUUCUUUGAAUCAAUGUAACAACAUUGAUAUGAAAGGAACCAGAGAUGCUUUGAGAUGUAGAUUAAGCCGAGUUUUCUCUAUUGCAAAACAUAUAGUAGAUAUGUUUUACUAGGGGAAGAUUAAGUUCAAUCACUGCCGCGCUUGUAACAACAACGAAUGAUGUUUUGUUAUUCAAGGCUGGCCUACUGAAGAAAAGAUAAAUCCUGCCUUCUGGACUUGUUGCAAUCGAUGCAAAUGGCACAGUGAGAGUGUUUUUUGGUUCAAGGUGAUGCCUGUGUAUGUUGUGCCAGGGAAUCCAUACCCUUAUAAUUAGUUGUAGUAUGUUUUUACGGUUUUAAUGCAUUGUGGACUUGCUUCUCUUCAGUUCUAGGUUGGCUGGCUACGUUGUACAAUGUUGUUUAAAUAUUUAGUUUUAAUCUAUUUUGUCUGGUGUUUGUGCUGUCAUAAACGUUUUAUAUAUAAAUGUAUAAUAUAUAUAUAUAUUAUAUAGUGGAAUGAUUACUGACAUCAUAGACGGCUACGAAUGACAUUUUACUGACACAUAUUUUGCACAACUGCAAUCUUAAUAUUUGGUAAACGAAAAGUCAUACAUGGAGUGAGUAGGUGUCUUUUCACCGGUGCUUGGGAAUGACAUUUUCCCACUUAGCAUAUCCCAAAUGAUUUGGUUAUAUGUUUCUUAAGCAAAACUUGAACAGUGAAUGACUUUGAAUAAUUUUUUCAUGAUGUUGUAGAAUGGAUGGCUUGUAUAUUUUCAUUUUAUUUUUCAAAAUAUCCCUUAAACCUAAAAAAGAAAAAAAAAUUAACAAAUUGAAGAAGAGAGAAACUGAUUAGCACCAGAAAUGGUUUAUUCGCAUGCAAAAUAAAAAUAAAAAUAAAAAUAAAAAUUUAGAGUAAAUAUAAUUAACAAAUGUACAAGCUAAAAAGUAAUAUGAUGAUAAUAAUAAUAAUUUAGGAUAAAUAAUAAUAUAAUACUUAUGUAGCGUAACCAUAAAACAGGGAAUUCAGUCGGAAGAUGAAGUCCCAAUGAGUUCGUAGCAAUUUUCGGAACAUUAUUGUGAUUUUUGUGUAUUUAGUUAUGAAUUUUCUAAGAAAAAGUAAUAAAAUAAUAAUUUAGGGUAAAAGGCAAGGAUGUGGCCAUGUUGACUGACGUACACUUGUGCAAGUGGUGAAAGGUGACGGGCUGAGAUUUCGUCAGGUGUCAUCUUGCAAUUAUUUUAGCUUUUUUAGUGCAAAAAUCUUUGAAAAAAAGGUAAUAAAUAGUAGGAAAAUCUUAAAAAUGCCCCGAAAAUUACCCCGGCCUCCUUGUGAUGUUAUAAAACUAGGGGAACCUAUAAAUCAUCCGUUUCACAAUAAAAAAUCCAAAUUGUUUUAGAUAACUCACUUUCAUCUUAACCAUAAGUAUAUAUGUUUGUUAACUUUAACAAGCAUAACCUACUUCAACAAGCAUCUCCCGUUAAUCUUCGGAAUUAUUUUUAAAAUGCGUAACCAUGAAUUGGAGAAUUCAGCAAGGGAGAUGGAGUCUCAAUGAGUUCGUAGCAAUUUUCAGAUCAUUUUUCUAAUUUUUGUGUAUUUAGUUAUGAAUUUUUUUAAGAAAAAGUAAUAAAAUAAUAAUUUUGGGUAAAAGGCAAGGAUAUGGCCAUGUUGACUAUGUACACUUGUGCAAGUGGUGAAAGGUGAUGGGCUGAGAUUGCGCCAGGUGUCCUCUUGCAAUUAUUUUGGGUUUUUUAGUGCAAAUUUUUUUGAAAAAAGGUAAUAAAUAGUAGGAAAAUCCUAAAAAUACCCCGAAACUUACUCAAGCCUCCUUGUGAUGUUAUAAAACUAGGAGAACCUAUAAAUCAUCCAUUUCGCAAUGAAAAAAAAUUCAAAUUGUUUUACAUGACUCAAUUUCCUCUUAACCCUAAGUACAUAUGUUUGUUAACUUUAGCUUUAAUAACCUACUUCAACAAGCAUCUCCCGUUAAUGUUCGAAAUUAUUUUUUAAAAUGCGUAACCAUGAAUCGGGGAAUUCAGCAAGGGAGAUGGAGUCUCAAUGAGUUCGUAGCAAUUUUCGGAUCAUUUUUCUAAUUUUGUGUAUUUAGUUAUGAAUUUUCUAAGCAAAAGUAAUAAAAUAAUAAUUUAGGGUAAAAGGCAAGGAUGUGGCCAUGUUGACUGACGUACACUUGUGCAAGUGGUGAAAGGUGAUGGGUUGAGAUCGCGCCAGGUGUCCUCUUGCAAUUAUUUUGGCUUUUUUAGUGUAAAAAUCUUUGAAAAAAGGUAAUAAAUAGUAGGAAAAUCCUAAACAUGCCCCGAAAAUUACUCCGGCCUCCUUCUGACGUUAUAAAACUAGGGAAACCUAUAAAUCAUCCAUUUCGCAAUGAAAAAAUCCGAAUUAUUUUACAUAACUCACUUUCAUCUUAACCCUAAGUAUAUAUGUUUGUUAACUUUAACAAGCAUAACUUACUUCAACAAGCAUAUCCCAUUAAUGUUUGGAAUUAUUUUUUAAAAUGCAUAACCAUAAAUCAAGGAAUUCAGCAAGGGAGAUGGAGUCUCAAUGAGUUCGUAGCAAUUUUCGGAUCAUUUUUCUAAUUUUUGUGUAUUUAGUUAUGAAUUUUCUAAGAAAAAGUAAUAAAAUAAUAAUUUAGGGUAAAAGGCAAGGAUGUGGCCAUGUUGACUGACGUACAAUUGCAAGUGGUGAAAGGUGACGGGUUGAGAUUGCGGCAGGUGUCCUCUUGCAAUUAUUUUGGCUUUUUUAGUGCAAAAAUCUUUGAAAAAAUGUAAUAAAUAGUGGGAAAAUCCUAAAAAUGCCCAUAAAAUUACUCAAGUCUUCUUGUGAUGUUAUAAAACUAGGGGAACCUAUAAAUCAUCCGUUUCGCAAUGAAAAAAUCCAAAUUAUUUUUACAUAACUCACUUUCCUCUUAACCCUAAGUAUAUAUUUUUGUUCACUUUAACAAGUAUAUUUCCUUAAUAUUCGUUAUAUAAUUUGUAAUAAUACAAGAAUUAGUUUCCUUUCAUAUAUAAGGAUGUAAAAUUAUCUGUUUUGUUAUAAUAAUGUACAUAUAUAAUAAUUGCACAUGAUUUGAAGCCAUCAUUGCAACUGCGCUUAGAGCUUUGAACAUGUUAGAGGUAUUCAAUAAGUUGUCCAUAUGACACCGCAUUGGGAACCAGUAAUAUAUUUUCUAUCAUGUCCAAUCACAUAAAAUAAUGCCAUACUUUUUCUGAAAAACCUCACACCAGUCAAGCAAUUUUAAAAUAUUAGUGAAUAUUUGUCCUAGUCUAUAUGAGUGAUUAUAUAUUCACUCUGCAUUUUUUUCCACAGUAUAUGUUAACUUUGAGUGGGAUUCCACAAACAUAUAAUAUAAAGAAAGAAAGCAAUAGUAGGAGAUGAACCAGUACAAAAAACAAUAUAUAAGUGGUACAUAAUAAUGCCAUAACCUUGUCACAAACGCACUCACAAAUACUUUUCCAUAAACCUUGCCCUAACAUAUAAUAAAUAAAGGCAACAUUGCAUAUGAUGCAACCAUGUCCAAAUCUGAUACGUGAUAAAUAAAAAAUGGACAUGGCAGCAACAUAUGACUGAAGUAGAUGGGCCCUUUGCAUCUCGUGUUAUCGUAGUUAAAGACACCAAAAUAUUAAGGUUGAAAUCUUUCAUAGCAGUAAGCAUCAAAAUAGGUUUGAAGCAGAGUUUAACGAAAAUUCAAAUUCCACUGAUUUGCCUAUGCUCAAAGACGAGAACCAAAAUGGUUACUUCCCUUGCUGAGUAUAUUUGUUAACGUCGGAAAAGGUAAUAGAUGACCAAUCAAACCCGGGUACUACUAGUUUUGCAUAGGAUCGGAAGUAGUCGAAUCCAGCUUGCAUCACACGCUUUUUUGACUCCACUGCAUUCGAUGAGUUAUUGUAUUUUUGAACAGCUACACUUCGAAGUCAUUUGUGUCUACGCUUCAUGCGUUGCAACUUCGCCCUAUCCAGAUUGGCAUGCCUUUUGUCAUCUUCAAUUUGGCCUUCAACAAAUUCCAAAUGUGCCCUUGCCCUUUGGAUUUCAUCACCAAGUUGAAGAUGCCUCUCCUUCCAGAAAGCAAGAAUUCUUUCAGACUCAAAACUUCUAAUAAAAUGGUCAUUCUGUCUAGGAAUGUGACAUUGUUUGUCUGGUGACUCACUUGCGUUUCGAAGGCGGUCUUUGUUUGGAAGGGUGUUUAUUAUGCUCACAUCAAACUUGGUUAGUAAAUCCAUUCUAUGGGGGGAGAGAGUUUUUGUGGAGGAGAGAGUUUCAGUAGAUGUAGACAGAUUCGGUGGAGAGGAGUGAGUUUUUUGUGGAUGGAGAAUUUCUAUGAAAGGGGUGAUAGUAAUACCAAUAAAAGGGUUCCUGCCAAAAAACAUUUGGUUGACAAUAUAUAAAUUAAUUUUUAGUCUGAUACAAUCUAAGUUUAAUCCUAACUAGUUUGGUUAGUUUGGUUGGGUUCACUAACUAGAUGUCACUUCUGUUGAGUUUCUUUCAACCACUAACAGUGGUGUAAGGAGAGUGUGAGGUUGACAUGCUUGAAAAGCAAAACCUGACACCUCUUUUUUAAAAAUUGAAAGAAAGUACAUAUGUUGACUACGCAUAAGCUUUGGUAUGUUGGUCUAUAAAGCUAUGUUGCCUUUCUCAAAUGAAAUUGCAUAUGCAAUCCUCAUCCUCCCAAAACAAAUAGGAUUAUUCAAGCAUGUCAACCUCUUCAGGCGCCAACAACACAAUCGAAAAUGAAAAAUUGGAGUCGCAGGUUACAUUUCCACGUUGUACUCGCCGACCUCUUUCAUUUUCAACAUCAUUUGGGAGUAGGGGAGGGGGACUCUGAUGAUCCAUUAGAGGCAAUACAUGCAGUCAAUAGCAAGCUGGAUUAUAAUUCCAGAUUGAUGAAUUCAUGGCACGAGAAAUGUGUUGACGAUGAGGUCAUUUUGGAUGAUCUUAACAGUAGAGUGAACAAAGUGUUCUCCUAGAAGAACAAGUACUUGAAGCUAAGUGAUAAAUGGAAGCUGAAAGCUGAGGAGUUAGAUACAGUAAUGAAUGAUGAAAUUAAAGGUUGUUUGAUGAACCAUAUGCAAUGCGAGGAGCACCACAGUGAAUUGGAGUUGGCAUUCAAUGAAGGAUUCGAAAAAUUCUGAGCAUUUGCGGCAACUACUCAUACAAGUUAAAAUUGGGACUAUGUGUCCCCUGAUGCUGUGAGAGAGAUACUAGACGAUGGUGGUGACAUGAAUGAGCAUAAGCAUGUCAAAGCUGCUCAAAAGAAGCCGACCGAUACGAUUAAGUGAUUGCGGCUACUGCUGUUCAGUUGGUUGGGGGUGAUCGUGGUAUUGCACAAAUUAGAAGUAUAUUCCCUUAAUGUCAUUAUCUAAUUUAAAAUAACACAAAUAUCAGUUUCAUUUGCUUCAUAUAUAAUUAUUGGGACUAUGUAUUGCAAGUCAUCAUGUGUUUCUUUUGUCUAACAUUAUAUUUUGCAAAUAUCAAAAUAUUAUUCAAUAAGCAGUCAAUAUCACAGCACGUUGGGAAUCAGUAAAGCCCUAUUAUCAUGUCCGUUCACAUUAAAGAGCUGGCGUACUUUUUCUCAAAAAACUGACACGUGAGUCAUAAGUAACAUAACAUGUGCUAUACAUUGUGUAGUGAAUGGUUUAUGGUUUAUUUAUAUAUAAUAAAAUUUCAAAUAUUGUUGAAUAUUUAUUUCGUCUAUAUCAUUGGGGACAUGAGUGACCAUAAGCACGUGAGACCUGCUAAGAAGAAGCUGACCAAUACAACCGAGGGAUUGUAGCUACUGUUGUUCAGUUGGUUGGGGAGAUCGUGCUAUUGCUAAGAGGGAGCACAUAAAAUACUUUGCAAUCAAAUUUUCUUUUGUGUGUGGAAUAAUGAGUAGUUCAAUUGUUAGUGUACCCUUUAAUAUUCUCCAACCGUUCGAAAUGUGAUUAGCUGCAAUGUACUUUUUUACACGCUGCUUUCUAAUCACUAUGUUCCAACAAAGUGCUACAAGUAUCCUUCAGUUACCAAUGUUUACAAAAUUGUGCACCUAAUAACAAGUCGAGCUCAGAUCUUAAUAACCAAUAAAACACUAGAACAUAACAUUCGGAAAAAGUGGGUGCUGCUGGAAAUGGUGAGUGCUACUGGAAAUCAUUACUAAUAUUGGAAACAACAGCUGGCUGCUGGAAAUAUUGCAUUAGCCUGUGAUAUAAUCAAUGAAUCUCUGUUAAAACAUAAUUCACCAUAAACUACCCAUUUUACAUGGUAAAAGUCAUUGCUUCUUCACAUAACUCAAAAUUUAAUACUUUAUCAAAUGUCUAUGAAAAUUUCUAAAUAGGGAGAAGACGUAAAAUUAAUAUGUGUCCAAAUUUCAUGCAAGAAUGAAACCAAGCAAAUUUUCAUUUCAAUUAUCAGUGGACAUAGUAAGAGCUCAUCAGUGGACAUGAACAAAAAAAUAAUAAUAAUAAAACUGAAUCUAGAAAACUUCACCUGAUCAUUAGUCUUCAUAGCAACCGGGCUUCGUCUAAUAGAAACAUAAAUCAUUCAGUUGGUCUGUGCAUCUUGUCAAAUUCGUCGAAUAAUGGGUCACUACGAUCUAUUGGAGUUGAUUCGUCAUUGUUCGCUUCAUUGCCUUUUCCUUUGCUCCCAUUACUCGUUUCGACCUUUCUUUGCACUUCACUCUCUUAGGGUCUUUCAUAUAUUGUCAACUUCGUUAUUACUUGGUCCAUCCUUCAACAACUUCCACUUCACCUGCAAACGUUUUAAAGUCUCUGAUAGUAGCUCACAUCCUUCUUCACUCAUUAAUGCAUCAUCAACCACAUCUGAAGCAAGUCGAGACAUUGUACUCCGCUUUAUUAAAAGACCAGGAUCUGCAGAGUCUUUAAUUUCGUUGCCAUUUGCAUCUGACACAAAUCCAGAUUUCGCAGUUUUCUUCCACCUUUUCAAAAUAUAUUUAUCUGGCAUAUAUUCAAUAUGGUCCCUUCUGAACAAUGCUAGGAUGUGCUUGUAAAUAAUUCCAACAAAUUCAAAUCUUUUGCAGCUACACGAUGUGUGGUCAGAAUCUUUGACAUAUAUGACUUCUACCACUCUUGUUUCCCAAUUUUUCCUUUCGCUCACGUUAAAGACAACUUUAGAAGCAUCCUUUGUUUUGAGCUCUAGGAAACAUGCUGUACUUUGUAUUAGUUCUUGCUCAAACUUUUGAAACAUUGUCCUUAUGUACAAGGUUGCCAUUUGUUUGUUCAUUGGCAUCGGUAGAAUACAUUGAGCCACUUCAAAUGCAUCUACAUGAUCAGCAACUAACUCUUUUGACGUUGAUGAGAAAGUGCCUUCUCAAAUCGUAUUAUGAAAUUCAUCAACGAAUUUCUCCUUGAUAUGUAUUGCUUGAAGAAACCAUGAGAACCUUCCGCUCUUUGGCUGCUUGACAUUCCAGCAGCAAAAAAGUGUCGUGCGUAGGCUGGAACCCAAGAUUCCCUUAAAUCAAACAUUGAACUUAGCCAUGGAUGGUCAGUCAAACCAGCCUUUGUAACCACAAUAUUCCAUUUUGCAUCAAACUCAUCCUUAUUGUCAGUAUCCCAUAUGGCUUUCUGAAAUUCACGCCAAUACUCCUUAUAAGCAGAAUGUGGUAACUUAAUAGAGAACUUUGAUGAGAUGUGCCAUAUGCAAAGUCGAUGAAAUGUAGUCGGGAAGGCUAUUGAAAUUGCUCUGGUCAUUGCCGCAUCUUGAUCUGUAAUGAUCCUUUUAGGUUCGCCACUUGGCAUGACUUUCUUAAACUCCUCAAACAUCCAAAUAAACGACUCAGUCGUUUCCUUGCUCAAAAAUGCGCAUGCUAAGACAAUUGUCUGACCAUGGUUAUUAACUCCCAACAUUGGUGCAAAUGUCAAGUCGUAUCGAUUCGUGUUAAAUGUGGUAUCGAAUACAACAACAUCUCCAUAAAACCCGUACGCCCGUCUAGAAGUUGAAUCUGCCCAAAAACAUCGACUAAACCUGUCAUGGCCAUCUCCCUCAAUCUUGAAAUAAAAAGCCUCAUUUUUUUUCUGUUCAGCCAUAAAAUACUCGGUCACUAGUUCAACAUCGUGGUUCUUCAGCUUCCCAUUCACACUACAUUCAAGAUUGUAGCUAUCUUUUUUGAUAAAACCGAUUUUAUCUAUUCCUCCGGAUUGCACCUCGAAAAUACUUACCUUCUGAUGGAUGGGAACAUUAAUCGAACCCAACUGUUUUGUGAGUACUUUUGUAGAAUCUGAAAUAUGACGGUGUGAUCUCAAUAAAGACAUUCUUUAUGAGGGUGUCAUCUUAUGAUUGUGUCCCUCAGCAAAAAGAGAGAUGGUAUACUUCUUGCUUCCAUUUGUCUUCACAACCACAAUCUUAGCUUUACAAUUGCAUCUACUUAUUCCCCGCUGUCUUUUUCUCUCCCGAUUUUCAUCUUUCCUGUAUGCACAUUGUUUGCAACAUACAAAUUCUUUCCUCAGAAUCUCUUUCUUAUUUUUCCCCCAAAAGCUGGAAUAAGGUCGAAUACCAAAGCCAACCAAGAAUGCAUAUCUAUUAUAAAAAUUAUAAACGAGGUCAAGCGAGUCGAACUUCAUCCCAACUGCUGGUGUUUCCUCAUUUCUUACUUCAGGAAUGUAAACCCUCCCAUUAGCUGUUACACAGUCAUCACUCUUUGAGCCCUCAGACAUUUUAUCCACGUAUAUUAUUGAUCCACUUCUAUAUUACUGCGUAGCAAAUAUUAAUUCAUUAAUCAAUCAUUACUGCAUCACAACAUAUCAAUGCAUUCCACUUACACAAAACAUUCCCCAAAUUGACACAAAACACGCAUAGCCUAACUUGUUGGAUUCCGAUUACACAAAACGUAAGCAAAAUUUAAUAAUAGUUACGUCAUCUCUUGUGAAAUAAUCUGGAAAAAAUAACAUUAGAACCAACAUGUUCAACUAAGAACACAAAUGUAAUUCAAACCAGCAAUUACAGAACUUCACCCAAUAUCCUCUCCAAAUGCUUACUCCUAAUGUCAUUAAGCCUAAGUUUAGGAUCUUUUACCUACAUUUUAUAAUUUCCCACCCCCACAAAAAAUAAUCAACUAAGUAUAUUGAAUAUUCAGAAGAAAAUUAUGCAUUAUUGAUUCCACAAAUGACGCAUUAUUGAUGCCAUAAAUGACGAAUUUCCCACCCUCACAAAAAACAAACAAAACCCAAUAAAAUCAAUCCAGCAAGAGUGAAUUUACCUCUCAAAAUCAAUCGGGAGCUCCGAAGUCAGUCAGCUUGAGAGAAUGUGGUGGACAUUAGAGAAGACUCUUUGGUAUUGGAAACUCCAUCUCUACCAAACUCGAGGAACAACUGCUGCUGCGGCGUCUAGCUAUAGAAAGAGAUUGCUACUUUGCUUUCAUCUGGAAUCUUGUCUGCUGAACAAAAAAGAGAAGGGGUUUUCACUUGAGCGAUAGAAUCAAAACAUGGAAACAGCUAGGUAAGAGCCAUUAAUCGUCAUACCGAGGAUACCAUAGAUCGCAGGCCUCCCAAGGAGCUAAUGACAAUGAAGCGACUAUGGGUUUGGGAGCUUUGGAUCCUUCUAAUUGUGAGUUUGCGUUACAUUCAAAAAGAGAGGAUUGUGUUCUUGAGUUUUUCACAGAGAGGGAAAGAGGGAAAGAUCUUCAACUGAAGUUGGGUUUCUAACGGGUCAGAUUUCAACCCGGUUCUACAUGCACCAUCUUUUAAAAACUCACCGUUGGAUGAAAUCCAACGGCUCGUACAUACCUCUCAAAAACACCCCUUAUAACUUUCCACUCACUAUAAAAGCUCCCCAUGCCUUACAUUCCUUUUUUGGUCCAACGUCAUGUCUUACAUAUAAUUCUCCAAAAAAUAUAUUAUUUUUCUCUGUUUUUAUAUUUUAAUAGCAAAAAAAAGAACACUAUGAUGAUCAUGAGGUAACAUCAUUCGAACUUUAAUCUGUUACCGCACAAACAGAACAUCACAUCUCAAAGUCCCUCCAACUCCAAUCCAUGCCAUUGUUCGAAUGCGAUUGGUCGAGCAUUUAACCACACCAUUGUUGUUACCAAUUAUAUUUAGGUGGUCCAUAAAUACUCAACCGAUAUAAUUGGUAAACACUCAAUGUCAUCAUUUCUUGUAUACUAAACCUCAUUCAAUCAAAGCCCGUUUGGUUCACAGAAUGAAUUUGAGAGGAAAUUAUUUCCCAUAUUAUUUCCCAAGAGAUGGAAAAGUAUUUCCCACACGUUUGGUAAUGCUGGGAAAGUAACCGAGAGAUAUCACUUUAUUUCAUUUCCCAUGUUUGUUUUUAGUAGGAAUGGAAAACAAAAUUUGUAUAAAUUUUCAAUUAUAUCCAUAUUAAAUCAAAUAAAAAAAGAAUGCGUUUAAUGAUUUAUUGUAAUUCUAAAUUGUUAAUGGGGACAAAAUUAUCAUGAAAAAUAUUUAUUUAAUAUUGGCUCAUUUUUCCAAACUGUCCCAGGAGGAGGGAAAACAAAACCCAAGUUUGGAAGAUGGCUUCACUUUUCCCUUUACUUUCCCAUGAAUCAGGAAACGAUUUUUCAUGCCUGGACUUAUCAAACAUGAGAAAACAAUUAAUUUUCCAUCCCCAAGUCUUCUUUCUCAUGAAUCAAACAAGGCCCAAGAGUCAAAUAUUAUUGUAUGUCAUGUAUUAUUAGCCCACCACUUUUCGUCUCUACAAAUGAUGAAUAACAAUAGUAGGAUUGAAUUAUUGAUCUAUUUAGCAAGUGGGAACGAGAAGCAAGCAUGCGUACAGAGGAAGCAGGGCAUAGAAGCAAGCUGUUGGGUUUAAAAUCAGUAACAGUGAUCAUGGUGAUGGUGGAGUUUUUGGAUGUGGGGUUGAACAUUUUGAGCAAAGCAGCUAUGAAGAAAGGGAUGAGUAAUUUUGUCUUUGUUGUCUAUGCGAAUGCCCUCGCCCUCUUUGUCUUGCUUCCAUCUUCCUUCUUCUUCUACAGGUUUUAAUCUCAUCCAAUUAAUUACCCAAUAACCCUUCUUUUAAUUUUUAGUUUUAAUGAAGUAGUUAAUUAUUUAUUUCUGCAGGAGAAGAACUUAUCCACCUCUCUCAUGGUCCUUGAUCUGUAAACUGUUCCUUGUUAGCUUUAUGAGGUAGCUUAAACUUAGUCAUCUCUGCUGAUCUAUUUUACUAUAUAUUUUGGUUAAUCAUGUUUAAAUUUGUUUGAACAUGAUUUCUAGCUCUGGUGCGCAGCUGCUAAAGUUUAUUGGAAUAAACUACAGCUCUCCAACUAUGGCCUCUGCAAUGAUUGAUCUCAUGCCAGCUUUUACCUUCAUUCUUGCUGUCAUCACUGGGUAAAUAUACAGUUACUGUCCCAAAUUGAUGAAUGUAUUUUCUUUUUUUUAUAAUAAAAAAUAUGUUUUGGUUUUUUAGGAUGGAAAUUCUGGAUUUGAGAAUUACCAGUAGACAGGCCAAGUGCAUAGGCACAGUGGUCUCAAUCUCAGGGGCACUCAUGCUGACCUUAUAUAAAGGCCUACCACUCAUAAGGGCCGAUGCAUCACAUAGUAAAUUAAUCAGUCUGCAGCUUCUUUUAUCCUCUCAAACGAACUGGUUCAUUGGAGGCAUUGUGCUUGCAUUUCAAAGCUUCUUGCUAGCAAUGAUGCAUAUUGCAGAGGUAAUUUAAAAUCCUGUGCUCACAUCAAAACCACCUCUUAAUUGCAUCAUUUCAAAGCUUUUUUGAUUUUUUUUCUCUGCAGACAUGGGUUAUUAGGGACUACCCUGCAGUGCUGAUGGUUACAACGAUUCGGUGCAUCUUUGUUACCAUCCAAUCUGCUGCAAUUUCUCUGAUUGCUGUCAAAGGACUAAAUGCAUGGAAGCUAAAGCCUGACAUUGAACUCAUAGCUAUUGGGUACAAUGUGAGGGAUGAUCUGUUUCAACUUUAUAGGCUUAGUUUCCUUUGAUUUUCAACCAAACUUUAUGUGCUGCUUAAUUGAUUUCUAGGCAACUUUUGAAGUAAUGCUAAGGACUGGUAUUCAUUUGUGGGCAAUGAAUAUAAAGGGUCCUGUUUAUGUUGCCAUGUUCAAGCCGCUUGGUUUAGUCAUGGCACUUUUCGUUGGCGUGGCAUUUCUUGGAGAUACUCUUUAUCUUGGAAGGUAAAGAUUAUCUGUUAUAUUUCUCACAUACUCUGCUACCUAAUUAACCAUGUUUUAUUCACCGACUCAGAAAAUAAAAAACCAUGUUUUAUUGAGGUUUUUUUUUAAUCUGUUUCAACUUACUUCAACAGGUUGCUGGGAGCGGCUAUAACAGUGGUAGGGUUUUAUGCCGUAAUUUGGGGGAAAGCCCAAGAAGAGAAGGAGAAGGCUCAAAAUGAUCAAACCAGAAGCUUUGAGUCAUUUCCUCAAUCAGAAGCAGAACCUCUUUUGCCUAAACAUUGUAAACAAGGCACUGAGGAGAAAAGUCUUUUGGAAAGAGUUUUUCUUAUUAAAUAGUUGAGAUGAUAUGUUGUGAAACCACAAAAAAAUUCUAUUUUUUUAUUUGAUAUAAGAGAUAACGAAGUAAGUAGAAUCGAACACAAUAUGUGUAACGUGGAUAAGUAAACAUUCUAGUAGUAACAAAAAAAUUGGAAUAAAGUCCAACUUUUAUUUGAGUGAGGUGAAAUUGUGGUACAAGAAUAAGGUUCCACGGUGUAUCCAAUUCAUACUUAUAAAGACUUUUUUUAAGUGAGUGAUUUUCAUAGAGAUGACAAAUUCUUAAAUACUUUCAUAGAAUUGAUAAAAGUCACUAGUAAAUUGGCAAGACUUUUGCUCUUAACAAUUAGCCUUAAAAGUAUAGAAAAGUCAUUCAUUUAAUAAGCUUUUUAAAAGUCAUUAACUUUUGGGAUACCACCAAACUUUUAAAUACUUUUUAAAAGUCAUAACUGAAUACCACCAAGCUUUUAAAUACUUUUUAAAAGUCACAAUUGAAUACUACUACACUUUUAUAUACUCUUUAAAAAUCUAAAUUGAAUACCUCCAGGCUUUUAAACUCUAUAAAAGUCAUUAAAAAUUUGAAUUAGAUACACCCCCUAAUUAUGGUUUGGCAUAUUUAAUUUUCCCUUUCUUUCUAAGAUUUGUAAAUAGGGCUCUUUGCUAAAUUUAAUCUCGGCUUAAAAUGUUGUAUGACAACCAAGUGGGGUCACCUUUCAAAAUCUUGAUAUCCAUAAAGACAACUUUAUAGAUUCUUUUUAUUAAAAAUCUUUUGAGGAUCCAUAUUACAUACAUGAUACAAAUAAUACAAGAGACACCAGAGAUGUUGCAGUUUGUUUAAUGCAGAGGCUCAUUCCAGACUUUAUUUAUUCUUUCUCAGUAAUUAAGAAAUUGCUAUAUCAAUUGAUAACUAAAAGUUAAUAGAUUUGUAAAAGACUAUUAGAACAUUUUCAACAGAUAUGUCAAAUUGCCAUAUGAACAUGAAAUGACAAAAAUUGAAGAUUAAAGUUGCUCCAACUUGAUAAUUGUAUUAUCCAGGUCCGCUUAAGAUUGUUAGAAUAGCACAUGGAGGUCACAUGUUCUAGUUAGAAUUGUUAGUAGAAUCUGUUAGUUUGUUAAGCUGAGUUUACUUAGUCUUUAAGUCUGUUAUCAGGUAUAUAAGAUGAGCUUUCUUCUUCAAUCUUCUCUACUGUUAUCACAAUCGAGUAGUCAAAUCCUACAUGAAUUUGAAGGUUUAAAGAGAUAUGUCAAAAAUAACAUAUCAAAAAGCUUGAUGUCAAAUGUUAUUUUAAUAUUUUUUUAGUCAUGGACCCCACUAUCAUUUACUCUUUUUAAAGACUUGAUGCAUCAUAUAUGCCACAUUUGCUUUUAAAAAUAAAAUAAUAUGAUAUUUGGUAUUUCUUGUGGAGUUAAAUUUUUUCUAAAAUGUCAAGUUGCCACAUAAGCCAUCAAAUUCAAAUUUAACAUUUUGCAUUUCACAUCACCCUUGGAGAUGCUCUAAGUAGUGGUUUGGAAGCAAUUGCUUUUUUCAGAAAAUGUCAUGGGUUCAAGUUCUAGUAUCCGUGUAGUGUGUGUGAGAUGUGUGUGAGUUUAAUAUACUAUCACACCCUUUCAAUAGGAAAGUUAAAAAAAAGAAAAAAGGUUAAUAGGUUUAGUACUAUUGAUAAACCAGUUAGGAUCAUAUCCAAAAUAUAAUAAAAACGUUGGGCCAAUACCUUUACCUUUCAUACAAAGCAACCCCAUGAGAAGAGGUAUACAUGGAUUUACCACCAGGAUGUAAUUUAGCUCAUGACAAGAAAAAUCAAGUUUGUAAGCUUAGAAAGUCAUUAUAUGAGUUAAAACAAUCUCCCAGGACAUGGUUUGACAGAUUUACUAAGUCUAUGAAGAAUUUUGGAUGCACUCAAAGUAAUCAGACCACACAUUUUUCUUGAAAUGUGAUGGAGGAAAAAUCAUUGCAUUAAUUAUUUAUGUGGAUGACAUGGUUGUAACUGGGAACGACACAUGAGAGCAACAAAAGCUACAAAAGUAUUUGUCUCAGGAAUUUGAGAUGAAUAAUUUAGGUGCUCUAAAAUACUUCCUCGAAAUUGAAGUAGUAAUGUCAAAAACUGGUAUAUUUUUGUCUCAAGGGAAGUAUGUGAUAGAUCUACUCACUGAAAUAUGAAUGCUUGGAUGUAAGCCUGAUGACACACCCAUUGAGGUGAAUCACAAGUUGUGUGAAGACAUGAACCGAUUGCCAACCAAUAAGGAACAAUAUCAACGCCUUGUUGGAAUGUUGAUAUAUUUGGCACACACAAGACCAGAUAUUGCCUAUGCUGUGAGUGUGGUUAGUCAGUUUAUGCAUUCUCCUACUGUUUCUCAUAGGAAUCUAGUUGAUCGGAUCUUAAAUACUUAAAGUCAGCCAUUGAAAAAGGAUGACUUUAAGUAUUAAUGUUCUCAAAGAAUGGAAAUCUUGAAGUUUGGGCUUUUUGUUGGUAUACUGAAAUAGUUGGGUUUGGGUUCAAAAAACUGAAAUUUUAACAUAUAUAUAUUAAAAAUUAAUUGAGCUAGUUCGGUUCAAUUUUGAGAGACAUAAAACCAGUAUCGGUUCAGUCUGAUUUAGUCUCAGUUUGUUGACUUUUUAGUCAAUCGGUUUUUUUCUCUAUUUUUUCUAUUCGGUCCGGUUCUUGUUCCAGUUUGCAGUUCCAAUGUCCACCCCUAACAGAUAGAUGCUCUAUAUUGGGUUAUUUUACAUUCGUUGGAGGGAACCUAGUCACUUGGUGGAGUUAAAAAAAAAAUGGUUGCUCGAUCUAGUGCAGAAGAGAGUAUCGAGGAAUGACUCAAGGAGUUUGUGAAUUAUUGUGGAUCAAAGGACUCUUGGCAGAAUUGAGUUUUAAACCAGAGAAGCUAAUGGAGUUAUAUUAUGAUAACAAGUCAGCUAUCGAUAUUGCUCAUAAUCGAGUUCAACAUGAUCGAACUAAACAUGUUGAGGUGGAUAGACAUUUCAUCAAAGAAAAAAUUGAGAACAAGAUCAUCUGUCUACCCUUCAUAAAAUCAAAAGAUUAAUUAGCGGAUGUCUUAACAAAAGUUGUCUGUGGACGAGUGUUUUAUGACUCACUUACCAAGUUUGGCCAUGAUGAUGUGUAUGCACCAACUUGAGGAGGAGUGUUGAUGUGAAUUAACCUACCAAAUCAAGGAGAUUUAUUUCCUAAGUUAAUUAGGUGAUUUACUUCCUUAUUUUAUAUAGUCGACGCAUCCUUAUAUAACUAGGAGAUAUUCUCUUAAUUAAUUAAUGUAUCUAUUUCUUUGUAAAGCACCUUGUAAAAUCCUAUAUAUUUCCUUAUGGAGAAGAAUACAAUUAACAUAAAAUAUUCAAACCAAAUAUGAUAUUUUAGCAAAACAAAACCUUAGUUCCAUUGUAAUUCUGGGCUUGCCUUUAUUUUAUUGGGCUUCAAGUUGUUCCUGUCUUUGGCUUCUUCCACUUUUCAGCUAAUUUUAUUUUCAUAUAUGCAGAUCUUCUGGACAGUUAAUGGGACUUGCUGGUUUAAACUAUGCCUCUGCUACACUUAACACAGCCAUGCUUAAUCUCGUUCCAGCCUUUAUUUACAUUCAUACUUGCAUUACUAUUCAGGUUUCUAAUUUCCUUCAGUUUGUGUUUCUCUUACUAUUCAACGUCAGGCUUUUUCUUCUGUUAAAAUCAUGAUAUAUUUUUUUCUUCUUCCAACUCACCAUAGAUAUUGACUAAAGCCACUUUUAAUUAUUUGUCAAGCAAGUCUCAUGAUUACUUUUAUUUUACUGUUUAAUUAGGAUGGAAAAGCUAAAUUGAUAAAGACUAUAGGAACUGUAGUGUCAAUUACUGGGGCAUUUGUAGUGACCAUCUACAAGGAUUCAGUGCUGUCAUUUCAUGUUUUUUAUGUAUAUCAUGUGCGUACGUUAAGCAUUUUAAAUAUAGAAUCAGUGCUGUCAUUUCAUUAAAAUUGAAAACAAGAAAUGGCUUAGAAAAAAAGGGGGACCAAUGUCAUUUCAUUUAUCUGCAGACAUGGGUUAUUAGGGACUAACCUGCAGCGCUAAUGGCGACAACAAUUUGCGGCGUCUUCGUCAUCAUCGAAUCUGCUGCAAAAGUUGAAGUAUGAUAUUAAGCUCAUAGCUAUUGGGUACAAUGUGAGAACAUAUCUUUUUCAACAUUAUUGGCUUAAUUUUCUUUUGAUUUUCAACCAAACUUUAUGUGCUGCGUAAUUGAUUUCUAGAGGCAGCUUUUGAAGUAAUGCUAAGGACUGGUAUUCACUUGUGGGCAUUGAAUAUAAAGGGUCCUGUUUAUGUUGCCAUGUUCAAGCCACUUGGUUUACUCAUCGCACUUUUUGUUGGCGUCGCAUUUCUUGGAAGGUAAAUGUUAUAUUUUAUAAUGCUCUUUAUAUUGGUUGCAAGGAUAUAAAUUAUGAGAUAUAUAGUCAUAUACUCAUUCUUAGUACUAAAAUUAUAAAUAAAUUCUACAUUAUUUAAUUUCCAAAAAAAAUUCAAAAAAUGACAGCUGGCCCUAUUGAAUUUAAUUUUGAUUAUUAAAAUACUUUGAUACCCUAUUGAGUGUUUUGUGUUUUUUUUUUUUUUAAAACAAGGUUUUGGGGUUGAGUUUGUUUUAAGAAAUCAAUGACAGUUUUGUAAUUCAAAAUAAGUUAAAAGCCUUUUUGUUAUGUUGUAAAUGAGCUUUGGGUGUGUUUCUAAAGUCCAUUUCAUAUAGGUUUUUUUAUUUUUUAUAAUUUGGGCUCCUAUAUUGGGUAUAAUAAUGAAUCUCCCAUAAAUUAUAGCUUAUGUUUCAACUUAUUUCAACAGUGGUAAGGUUUUAUGCUGUAAUUUGGGGGAAAGCCCAAGAAGCGAGGGAGGAGCUCAAAAUGAUCAAACCGGAAGCUUGGAGUUGGAGUCAUUUUCUCAAACAUAACCUCUUUUGCCUAAACAACGAGAAAGCCUUCCAUGAAAUAGGGAUAAUACCAAUAACGCUAUGAAUAACACUUUUACAUGACAUAACAUUAUUAACUAAAAUAACAAAAUAGUGCUAACCCUUUACAACUAUAUUUUUCUCCUAAACAAGGCCCUGAGAAGAAAAGUCUUGCACGCCAUCAAAUGUCAAGCUCAAUUUUCAAAGAAGAAAAAAGAGAGGCUCUUGAUGACUUUUCAAAAUAGAUUUUCAUGUUAAAUAGUUGAGAUAAUAUGUUGUUAAACCAACAAAAAAAAACUCCAUUGUUUUCUUUGAUCAAAGAGAUAACAAAGGAGGUAGAAUCGAACACAGCUCGUGGAUAAGUAAACACACUCCCAAUCACUUUUAUAUUUUAUCGGAUGGAAACAAAUAAAAAAAACAUAAACAUUUGCCAAUACAGGAAAAGAAAUUGAACCAUGACCCUACAUUUUGGGUGGGGUGGAUGUUUUUUUCAGUCUGUCAUUAAUAGCAUGCAAAAUUGACAUCUCAGUGGUGGUCAAAAGCAUUUGCAUUCUAGUAGUAAAAGAACAUUGGAAUAAAGUCCAACUUUUAUUCAAGUGAGGUGAAAAUGUGGUAUAGGAAUAACGUUCCACUUUAAUUAUGGUCUGGCAUAUUUCAUUUUCCCUUUCUUUCUAAGAUUUCUAAUUAGGCAUCUUGCUAAAUUUAAUUAUGGUCAAAAUCAUCUUUCAAAAUAUUGCUAUCGACAAAGACAAAUGUAUAGAUUCCUUUAAAAGAAAAAAAAAAAUUGUUGUCCAUAUUACAUGAUACCUCAAAUAAUACUAGAAACACCAAUUGAUGUUGAAGAAUUUCACUUGUUUCAUAUAUGGGCUCAUUCAUGACUUUAUUUAUUCACACUAAUUAAGAAAUUGUCACAUCAAUUAAUAACGACAUCAGAUAAAAAACAAAUUAGUUGGGCCAUUGGGCUUUACCUUCAUAAACAUAUACAGGCAUGGAGAAAGCAAAGCAAACAAGCAACCCCAUGAGGUGGGUGGGUACGCGUGGGCCAAGAUAUCGUAGCGUAGGCGGUGGAGAGGGAGAAACGUGUACCUGCGUGAAUGAAAGUAUAAAAUCAUGCAUGCAUAGUUCUGUUUUAAACAUCUAAUCGUUGACGAUUGAACUUGAAAAUUUAACACAUUUGCAUUAUUUCUGCAUAACAACAGAUUUUUCCAAGAUAAAAUUCUUCCAUCAGAUGUGACUCAAUUUUUGGGCCUGAAAAAUCAAUCCUUGACUAAUUUAAUGCCAGAAAAGUAUACCAUUCUGGGCUUUAGUUUCAUGCUUCCACCUUUGUGGCUUUGACUCUAACCAGUAUAAUUCCUGGAGAGAGAGAGAGACAGAGGGACACAGAGAUUUGGAUAUGGCGAUGGGGAUUUCUAUGCCCUUUGUGGGAAUGGUGAUGGUGAUUCUUGCUCAGGUGACUAGUUUGAUACUAAACAAGGAAGCCAUGGCCAGCGGACUGAGUGAAUAUGUUCUUGCUGUCUACUCUUUUGCUCUAGCCGCUCUCAUUAUUCUCCCUUUUUGCUUCUUCUUCAACAGGUCUCUGCCUUUUCUCUCUGUUUCUCUUUCUCUCUGUUUAAGUUGAUUCACUUACUUGUCUCUUCAUUUGAUGGCAGAUCAGAGCGUCCCCCACUCAGCUUCUCCAUCAUCUCGAGAUUAUUCUUACUCAGCCUUAUUGGGUUUGUCAAAAAGACCACAGUUGAAAGUUGAAACUAACAACCAUUAAUUAAAUACAAGUUGUUCUUGUCUUUGGCUUUUUCCACUUUUCAGCUAAUUUUAUUUUCAUAUAAACAGAUCUUCUGGACUGUUAAUGGGACUUGCUGGUUUAAACUAUGCCUCUGCUACACUUAACACAGCCAUGCUUAAUCUCAUUCCAGCCUUUACAUUCAUACUUGCCUUACUUUUCAGGUUUUUUAAUUUCCACAGUUUCUGUUUUUCUUACUAUUCAACGUCAGUCGUUUUCUUCUGUUCAAAUCAUGACUUUAAAAAAAGAAGAAGGUAUUUUCUAGAGCCACUUUUAAUUAUUUGUCAAGCAAGUCUCAUGAUUACUUGUAUUUUACUGUUUAAUUAGGAUGGAAAAGCUAAAUUGGAGGAGCUCAAGCAGCCAAGCUAAAACUAUAGGAACUGUAGUGUCAAUUACAGGGGCAUUUGUUGUGACCUUCUACAAGGGCCCUGCAGUUAUACACGCACGCUUGUCCUCUGCUGGGACUGGCCUAUUCAGUAAUCUAUUUCUCUUCUCAGAAAAAUCACAUUGGGUCCUUGGAGGGCUACUUCUAGCAGCUGACUCCUUCUCGACCUCAUUAUGGUUUAUUGUGCAGGUGAUGAACUUUUGUACAAGAAGUUCUAGCUGAUAUAACACCCACUUACCUCAAGUAUAAAUUAAUAUGAUAUGACCCUUUCUUUUUUUUCGUCUUUUCUUUCUCUUUAACCUCGAAUUUUUGCAGGCCUCAAUUCUUAAGAAGUACCCUGCAGUGCUGAUCACAGUCUUCUUUUACUGCUUCUUUGUCUGCAUACAAUGUGCAUUAGUCUCACUGAUACUUGUACAAGACCUAAGUGCUUGGAGGCUAAAACCUAAUAUUGGAUUGCUUGCAGUUUUAUACUAUGUGAGCAACAUUGCAUAUAAUUGUGAUAUCAUAUUGUUAGUGGAUUAAUUAAUUUAGGUUAUACAUAAUUUGUUAGUUAACAUGAGGUAUAAUUUGCAACAUGUAGGGGAUUGUUGGGAUUUCAUUUCGUACCAACAUGUGUACAUGGUGCCUGCAGAGAACAGGACCUGUGUAUGUUUCUAUGUUCAAGCCCCUUGCCGUGGUUUUCGCAGAUGUCAUCGAUGUAAUAUUUCUGGGACAAGCUCUCUAUCUUGGAAGGUAUAAUACAGAUACAUGUAGCAGAUGAAGAUGCAGCUUUUCACUUUUACUAAUUACGGUAUAUCUUCCUUUUUUAUUUCCAUGGUACAUAAGAAGUAAUCAAAAUUUUACUGCAGCUUGAUUGGAGCAGCUGUAAUUAUCUCUGGUCUUUAUGUUGUGAUAUGGGGAAAGUCCAGAGAAGAGAAGUUGCAUGAAAACAGUGGAGAAGGGCAGAAUUGCUUAGAAUCAUCCACUGAAAGGGUCCCCCUGCUGUAAAAUGUGACACAGAAUUGCCUUGUAUAAAUAUUAUGGUCUUAAUGUGUUCAAUAUAGAAUCAGUGCUGUCAUUUCUUUAAAAAUUGAAAACAAGAAAUGGCAGAUAAAAAAGUGAGAUCAUUGUCAUUUCUUUAUCUGAUUUUUUAUCUGCAGACAUGGGUUAUUAGGGACUACCCUGCAGUGUUAAUGGUAACAACAAUUCGCGGCAUCUUUGUCACCAUCCAAUCUGCUUCAAUUUCUCAGAUUACUGUCAAAGGACUAAAUGCAUGGAAGCUAAAGCCUGAUAUUGAGUUCAUGGGUAUUGGGUAUAAUGUGAGGGAAGAUCUGUUUCAACAUUAUUGGCUUAAUUUUCUUUUGAUUUUCAACCAAAACUUAAUGUGCUGCUUAAUUGAUUACUAGAGGCAGCUUUUGAAGUAAUGCUAAAGACUGGUAUUCAUUUGUGGGCAUUGAAUAUAAAAGGUCCUGUUUAUGUUGCCAUGUUUAAGCCACUUGGGCUAGUCAUGCCACUUUUCUUUGGCGUGCCAUUUCUUGGAGAUACUCUGCUAUCUGCAAUAACCAUGUUUUAUUGUGAUGCAGCACGGAAGCACGGAUUUAUGGAUCAACAAACCUCUAAAUAAGAAAAGAUAAACUGAAAUCUACUAGAAAAUAGGGAGAAUCUCUAAAAUUGGAUUAAUAAUUUGAAUAAACUGCUUAAUACAAUACCAUGCGUUGACUUAAAUAGAAAACAAAGAAACCCUAAAACCGUAGGACACCUUAGGUUCCAUAAUAUUCUAAAACUUAACUAAUAAGAAAAUAAUUUAAAUCCUAAUUAAAAUCAUAUCAUGGAAAUAAUAUUCUGAUUGAUAACUUAUUCUAGAAAUACAAAUAUAAAGGUAAAUUUCAUUUUACUACUCGGAAGUUUCCGACUUCCCUACAUCAAGUUUUUUUUUGUAUCAACUUCAUUGUGGAAGCAAAAUAUCUCACCCUAGGUCAAAUAAUUAGGCCAAUCAAUCUGGGAAUUAUUUGACCUAAUUGGGAGUUAUCUAACCUAAUUGGGAGUUACGUGAAUUAAUUGGGAGGUUAUUUGAUUCAAAUUAGAUGUAUUUGAUUCUUGCCUUAAUUAGGAAUUUGAUAAUCAAAUCCCUAAAUACACCAACCUCACCAAUCUCCCCAACCUCACCAACCUCGCCAAAUUAAGGAAGAAUAAUUCCUUUCCAUCUACGGAAUUCUUCUUCUGAAACCCUAACCUCCGAGGCCCUCUAUAUAUAUUUGGCUACGCACAAGGAUUGAGGUACGUCUAAAUUCCUACUGAAACUCUACAAAAAUUAUCCUUCACAAAUCCUAGCCACCAUAUUCUUUCUCUUUCUCCAUACACGGCUCCGGCCACCUGGUUUUCCUUCAAACACCCAACCUAACUUAGGCAUCCGAAGGCCUUUGGCCAACACCUCCUGGGUGUGGUCCUUUUACUCCGAUUUGUUUGGUAGGGAGAAAGAGAAGCGAAGAAGAUGAAGGAAUCUUAGGCGAAUAUUCUUGUGGGACGAAAUUCGCUCCCACAUUCAUAUCCAAAAUUUUAUUUUUUACAACUGUCAUACCUUUGUUAGUCAAACUGUUAAGUUAUCCGUUAAAUGAUGAUGUGACAAUCAAUAGCCCAGCAAAAAUCACACAUAUUGUGCCACGUUAGUUGAUAAAAUUUAAAAUUUAAAAGAUAAAAAAUUAAAAUAAUCAAUUAACAAUUAAAAAUGUGAGAAAAACAUGAAAAUUUCAAACAAUUUAAAAAAAAAAAAAACUCUCUCCCCUCUCUCUCUGCAACUAACAACACAGAGUCGGGUAGGUGUGGGUAUCUAAGCUAGGGAUCUAGGGUCUGGAAGGGGAGGGUGGAUCAGGGUUAGGGAGGUGGAGUGGGCUUCUAAGGUUGGGGAUGAUGGGGAUCUGAGUUAAAGAGAGGGCAGCUGCUUGUUGUUAUGUUAACUCACAAUUGUACGGGCCAAUUAGUAGUAUAGCAGGACAAGUACGAGGUCAUACCCAUGAGGAUUGAGAAGUUAAACUUAGUUAUGUACUUAGAUAACCUGAUUCUAGAAAAUAGGAAGUUAAGUCUAAAACAGAUUUUAAAGUGAGACUGAGUUUGGAAACAAAUAAAGCAAAAUGAAAUUGGAAUUUAAAGUGAGAGUGCUUGUGAUUGUAAAAACAAAUUAACAAAAUGAAAUUGCAAAUGAAAGCAAGUAAACAAGUGUAACAAAAAGUGGUCUUAAGGGUUGGAAAACAGAUUUGGAGACUAGGGCAUUCGAUUCACCAUAACAAUCCAAUUCAAGGUUAUAAGGAUUCAAGUGACAAGUCUAAUUCAGAAUCAAAGAUUGAUUCUAGCUAAAGUAUGAUUAGGCCAUAGUGUCUGAUCCUAAUAUUGUAUUCCUAAUUCCCUAAUUAGAUCCUUGUUGUCAAACUUAAAUUAAACAUUAGAAAUCCAUUAAGUACAGAAGAAUGUUUUAAAUAACCAAGCAUGUAUCUAAUUCCUAUUGUCGAAUGUUUAUACAUACUAUUCCUAUUCAUAGUUCAAUUAGAAUUAAAGCAUAUGGUGUCUACUCUUAAUUCAAACCAAGAUAUACAAAUCUGAAUGGUAGCUAGGCAUUCCGAUUAGCAUAUAGGCAAGUAGGCAUAAUGAAUAAGAACAUGAAUCAUGAAUCAAACUUGAACUUGAAAUUUAUAAACCCUGAAUAUUCAUGUUAGGUUACAUCGAAGCCCUAGUUUUAGAUUUAGCUACUCAUAAUGGGAAAGAAAUUUCACAGAAAUGAGAAAACAUAAUGAAUGCAAUAAGAGUAGAAAAACCCAUUUAUGAAGUUCUUGUGGUGUCCAAUAUGAGCUUCCCCAAGUAUAGAAGGAUGUAUGAAGGCUAAGGAGGUGAUUUGGGAUGAGUUUGGGUGAGUGGUGAUGUGAAACCCCGUAUUUAUAAAAUUAUAUAUAUUAUAUUUCAAGAAAUUAUAUAUAUAAUUGCUUUGAUUGCAUUCUGUCAUGCCCCUGUGAAAACCCCAGGUCCGGGGUGUGACAUAAUGAGAAAUAUAAUAUAUAGCGGACUCGGGGGUAGGUGAAAACCCCACGCCCGGGGCGUGACAGGUGAUGGCUGAGAAAAGGAAAAUUCCUAGGGAAAUGGAAGGAAGGCUUGCUGUGAUAGAUUUAGUGAUUUGGGGUUGUUUAGAGCUUCGGGUUGAUUGCUGAAGUGUUUGGGGUUGUGGAAGUGUUUGAGAGUGAUUUCUAAAUGUGUUUGGGGAAUGAUGGGAGUGUGGAGAAUGGAUGAAUUGUAGGAGUGUGAAUCCCAUGAUGUGUCUUUGGUGUGGAAUGGAAGUGGUAUUUAUAAGGAGAAGGAAAUGAGAAUUCUGAAUUGAUUUAUGCCUUCACCAACAACACUCACUUCACCAACCUCACCUAACACACCAAUGCAAUAGAAUUCUGAAUUGAUUUGGUUGUGCACUUCACCAACAAAUCCCACCAGAAAUCAUAGCUCAUGCAUAGCUCAUCAUGACCAAGCAACAAUUAGCUCAUCCUUAGGUCAGCAUGACUAGCAACUUCAUAGGCUCACGAAUUGAGCUUCCCUUAAGCAAUUGAUGACUUUGAGCUGUACAUCUUGAAGUUCAAAAUGUCAUCUUUCCAACCAUAUGUCAUUUGGGCAAAUCCAAGGUCGGAUGAAGAUGUUAAGACCGAAACGAAUUGCUAACUCAGUCUGCACGUUUUUGCACCAUUUUGCAUAUUUUCCUAUCCAAAGCCACUAUUGCUACCUAAACCUCAAAUAACUGAAUGAUAAACACAAAUAAGAUUAGAAGCAUAACUUUAACUCAAAAAUAUAAAAUCAUAAGCUAGAAUGGUUCAAAAUGAUAUACAAUUAUAAACUGAUCACUGCUACAUUCAUCUAGCCGAGAUUUCAAAUCCGGCGACAAGGUGGGUCUUCGUAGAUGCAAGACUAGGUCUUCAUGGAUUCGGUGACGAGGCCAACUUUUUCUUGUGUAAUUGAUUUGUGUGAUUCGAUUGUGUUUGUGGUCGUUUAGGUAUUGAGAGGUGGUGAGGAAGGGAUGCAAGGCUUUGGAAAAGUGGGAUGAAAUGAUAAACAAGCUGGGCUUGUUCUCAACCAACGAGACCAAGGAGGAUAUUAGCACCCCCAAUCUCAAAUAUCUUCUAGGUUAAAAAAAAAUAUUUAAUUUUUAUAUUGUGGAAAUAUGAAUGGUUGCUCCCAAUCUGCAUUUACCAAUCCUUUCAGAUAAUAGCUCGUAAAGCUUUUCUCCUUGGUUUAAAUAUUAUGAGCUUCUAAUGGUAUUUUGGUUACCGGUGCCAUAUUAUCUUGGUGAGUUAUCUGAGAAAGUUACAUUGGAUGGCAAGAUAUAGAUUUCAAAUCUGGCAAUGGGCAUCUGUUGAUGAAGCAAUAAUUUACCAAAUGAGUUGAAAGAGAGGGUGUGGGUCUUUGUGUGGUAGUGGGGUGUGUUUGUACAAAUUUCUCACGGGAGAAUAUUCACGGGUUGAUUCCUUGACCUUCGAUCUUUCUUCUCUCUCUUCCUCGAUCAUUGCAAAAUAAAUACGAGUAAAAGACCAUACCUGGGAUGGUGUUGGCCAAAGGCCCUUCUAUGCCUAAGUUAGUUCAAUUGGAUCUUUGAGAAAACAUAUGGCAAUAGCUAAAAUGGAUGAAGUUUUCUCUAUGGGGAGAACCGGGUGGCAUUAGCCGUGUGUGGUGGUACUUAGCCAUGUGAGGAGAGAGGCUGAGAGGGGCGGCGAGAGAGAGGGCGAGAUUGUUUGCGUAGCAUUUUUGAGUGUGAGUUUAGAAUUACCUUGAGUGCCUUGUGUGGCAUGUAUUUAUAGCCUCCUUGUGUGUUAGGAUUUUGGGAGAAUAAUCCUUAUUUGGUUAGGAUUAUUCUUCCCCAAAAAGAUGAUAGGAAUUACUCCCAGAGAUUUGGUGGAGAUGGGUUCCUUGAUUUAAGGAGAUAUUCAUAUCUUAAAUCAAAGAUAAUUUUCCUAAUUAAAUAGGAAUUAAUUAGGGUAAUUAGUUUGACCUAAGGAAUAUUCCUUUUCCAUGUGUCAUCUUCUUAUUGGCCGGUGAAAUAUAUGCUCCCAUAGGGUGGAGGGGGUGGUGGCUGGUCGGGGGUGGAAAUGGUGGCGGGGGUUGUGAGCAAAGAUAGAAGAAGAGGGUUUAUUUAUUUAUUUAUAAUUUUUUAAAUUUUUUUAAAUUUAAAAAAUUGCUUGAUUUUUUGGUAGUUGGGUUGAGAGAGAGGGGAUGAGAGGGAGUGACGGCAGCGAGUGUUUUUUUUAAUAUAUAAAUAUUUAUCAUUUCACGUCACGAGUUAAUAGAUUUUUUGGCGGCUGAUUGACAAUGGGUAUGAAAAUGGAAGGAAAUUAAACUUUUGGGUACGAAGUUGAUACGAAAAAAUUUUAUGUAGCAAAGUCAUAAUUUCAGAAAACUGAUGGGUAGUAAAGUUCUCAAGAAAUCAAGCAACCCGAAAAUUCCAACAAUACGCAUUCCUUCUUUUCCUAGUGCCAUAGAUGAUGCUCGAACAUUAUUUUCCAUAUUUGAAGCCUAAUUUUCUGAUUUUGAAUUUUUCUCCUGUUUCAAAUUUCCUUCGUAGGAACAAACCCAUGAUUUAUCCUACAUCAUAUAGCUUUGUUUCAACUUAUGUCAAUAGGUUGCUUUGAGCGCUAUAACAAUGGUAGGGUUUUAUGUUGUAAUUUGGGGAAAGCCCAAGAAGAGGAGGAGGCUCAAAAUGAUCAAACCGGAAGCUUGGAGUCAUUUUCUAGAACAAAACCUUUUUGCCUAAACAAGAAAAAACACUUGUGUGCAACGGGAAUUGCAACAUUCUUCACACAAGCUUUUCAACUAAACAAGGCACUGAGAUGAAAAGUCUGGCACACCAUCAAAUGUCAAGCUCUUGAUGACUUGACAUGGUAUUUAUCACCACCACCGUCACCACCACUUGACAUGGUCAUUACCGCCACUCUCCCCACCAACAUUAAUGUCUCUAUCAUCCCCACCACCACCAUCUCUACUACCAUCCCCAAUAUCAAACAUGAUGGUCUACUACUAAUUUGAAUUUAUAGAAAUUUAUAAAAAUCUAUCAAACUCUAUGAUAAGAUUCUAACAAAUUUCAUCAAAAUUCUUAUGAAAUUCAAUCAAAGUAUAUGUGGAGUUUAUAAAAGUAAAAUAAAAUCCAUAGAGUUUUAACUACUUUAAAAUUCAUUAAAAUCUUAAUUAAUACCAAACAAGCUCUUGAUGACUUUUGAAAACAAAUAUUCUUGUUAAAUAGUUGAGAUGAUAUGUUUUUAAACAAAAAAAACUCCAUUUUUUUCCUUUAAUCUAUAUAUAUAAAGUAAAGGCUUAAAUGCUAAAAUGGUCCUUGUGUUUUAGCCCGUUAGCCAAUUUAGUCCAUGUGUUUUCAAUUUGGCUAAUUUGGUCCUUGUGUUUCGGACUGUUAGCUAAUGUAAUCCAAUCCGUUAAACUUCUAUUAAAAUAUUAAUAAAAAAUAUAAAUAUUUGAAUUCAAUCUAUAAAAUAAAUAAUUAUGAAAUAAAAAUAAGAUUUAAAAGCUAAAAGCAAUUAAAAACCAAAGGACAACACCAUUUCUCCCCAGCAACAAUUCACCCACACGCAAAAACCCCAACUCCCCAAGCCACAGUCACCCACCCCUCCCCUUCUCUCUCUCUCUCUCUCUCUCUCUCUCUCUCUCUCUCUCUCUCAAGAACAAUCCCUAACUCCUGACCAUCUCCCAGUAGAAUCUUCACCAUGCAGUCAUCGCCCCACUCCCCCCAACCACAUUGCUGAGCAGCCCCGCACCCAUCCUUUUUUUAAAAAAAAAAAAAAUCUUUUUUCUAAUGCUAUGUUUUAGUUCUAAUGAAGUUUUAAUAUGUUUUUAAAUUAAUUCAAUUUUUAUAAAUUAAUUUCAACAAAAUUUAUAGGUUUUCAAAGGAAGAAGAAAAAAAAAAGAAUUAUCAUGUUUAUUUAACGGCAAUUUUAACAGAAUGGGCCACAUUGGCUAACAGUGCUAAACACAAGGACCAAAUUGGCUAAAUUAAAAACACAUGGACUAAAUUGGUCAACAAGAUAAAACACAGGGACUAUUUUAGCAUUUAAGCCUAAAGUAAAAGGCAGAGAAUGGUGAAACAUUCAAAAUACCAGAAAAUGCCCUUGGUUAAUGCAAACAUUAAGAAUUCAAAUUAUUAAUUAAAUGAGGAUAAUAUGGUAAAUUCACACUUUUCAUAUUUAAAAAAAUUAAAAGAAAAAGAAAAAGCAGAUAAUGGAUCCUAUUUUUAUGGAACACAACUACCCAUUAUCUUUUUUAAUUCUAAAAUAAAUUUACUUAUUUUUUUAAAAAAACCUCUCGCAAGCGCGGAAGCGCGUGCAGAGAGGCUAGUAUAGAUGAAGGAGAUAAACUCGAACACAAUACGUUGAUAACUAAACACUCCCAAUCACUUAAACAUAAACAUUGUGCCAUUAUGGUGUGGCCAUUUUUUCCUUUAUUAUCCGAUGCAACAAAGAAAAAGACCAUAAACAUUAGCCAAUCGAAGAAAAGAAAUUGAACUAUGGUGUGUCCCUUCAUUUUCGGUGGGAGGGAUGUUACUGUCAGUAUGUCAUCUCAUUAGUGGUCUAGCUUUUAUUAAAGUAAGUCGGUCCCCUCUCUAUCUAAGAUUUGCACAUAGGCCUCUUGCUAAAUUUAUUCUCGGCUUAAACUGUUGUAUGGCAGUUAGGAGUGGGCAUCAAUUCAGCCGAAUUGAUGAAACAAGCUGAAUUAAACUAUAAAUAUCGAUUUGGUUUGAUUUUGAUUAAAAAAAAGUCUAACAGUUUAAAAAUGGAACUAGACAGUAUAUGAUUUGGUUUAGUUUAACUUUGAACUUUUUAAAAUUGGCCUAAAAUAAACAAGAUCGUUUUAUUUAUUAAUAUUAUAUUUUACACGUGUAAUACUUUAAUUAGGUAAUAACUACAUAUGAAUAUUUGAAUUGAGCUAUAUUAGUUAUUGAAAUUUGAAGUUUUAUGGCAUGUUGAGCUUUAGGACGGUUUCGUACUAUGGAAAAUAAUUGAAGUAUGGAGCAAGUUGUGAAUUUGUUAUUUGUAAUUGGCUAACAAUGUUGAAAAAAUGCAAAAGAAAAGAGACUUAGGCUUAGGCCCAAACCGGCCAAACCAAACCGUUUUAAAUUAGUUUGGUUUGAUUUUGUUUUCUUUAUGACUUUUGUCAAAAUCGAAUCAACCAAACCGUUAUAUUGUAAUUGAUUUGGCUGUAAUUUUGAAGUAAAACUAAUCCAAUCGGACCAUGCCCAACCCUAAUAACAACUAGUGGGUCAUUGUAUAACUUUCAUAAAUUUUCAUUUGUUUCAGAUGUUGAAGCUGCAUAGAAUAUUUGAAUUGUGCCUACUAUCAUCAACCAAGGAGAAAAUAUUGAAUGAGAGCGUGGGGUAGGUAUUAACAGUGAUUCUCAAAUAUCGCAGAACAGAAUGUGAUACGAUGAGAUAGAAUGCAAUAGAAACAAAGACACAAGAAACGGGUUAUCUAUUCUUAACGGUCAAAGUGAACCCUUUCAUUCUGGGUAUUGGAGCAACACUACCUAUUGAUAAGUCCUUAACUUUAGGUCUUUUUUAAAUUGACAAUACUUGUAUGCUUUUAGCUGGAAUCUUAUUAAAAAAUGGGAGCAUAUGGAUUGGUUCAGAUCAAUAUGGAAAAGGGUCAUCCUAUAUAUACUUUAUUUAGUAAUUAAGAAAUUGCCACAUUAAUUAGUAACCCAAAAAUUGGUAUGUCUAGUAUUAUUGAUAAACUAGUUAGGAUCAGAUAAAAAAAGUUCAAAAGAAAAAACAAACACGUUGGGCCAUUGGACUUUACCUUCAUAAUCUAAUACAGGGAAUGGAGCAAGCAAGCAAGCAAGCAAACAAGCAACAAGCAACCCCAAGAGAUGAGGGGGUUGGUAUGUAUGGAGAAAGACUUCUAUAAAAUAAGGAUAGCAUUAAUUUUCUAUUUUCGGCUAAUAAUGUUCCACGUGGUAUAGCAUUAUUGGCCGAGAUCAUAGCAAAAUAUUGCAUUAUUGGUUUAGGGUUUAGGGUUCUGGAUUUGCAACGGCGGCGCGACAAGGGGAAAGUGGCAGCUGUAGCUUCCCAAAUUUAGGAUUCUUCCUUUGUGUUUGUAUUGGACUAGAUGUUUGUUUUAGGGUUUUCUUUUAUCUGACUUUUUUUAUUUCUGUUGGGCUGAAGCCUUGUACCUAUCAAUGUUGGGCUGGUUUUUUAUUUUUGCAUUUUCUGUGUAAUCCCUUUCAUCUCUAUGGAAUGAAUUCCCUUGACCCAAAAAAAAAAAAAAACAUCUAAUUGUUGCCGACUGAAUAUGAAAAUUUAAUAGAUAUUUAUUUUUAACAUUGAUUUUAUAUAUAAAUACUACAACCUACAACUCAAAGACAAAAAAAAACCAAAAAGUACUUGCUUUCUUAUUUUUUUUAAAAUUUAAAAGUAUCAAACUUCAGUGGUAAUAUUAUAAUUUUUAAGAUUUUUAAGGCUUGUAUGGUAUAUUUGGCCCCAUUGAAUAGUCAAUUGAGUUUUUCCCUAGAGUUUAAGUAUUAUAGGAUUUCCUUAUAAUUCAGGUCCAUUUACAAGCUUUUGUGUGAAACUGUCAAAAUUUUAGACAUUUGCAUAUAUGAUAUAUGUGACACUGCCAAAAUUUAAGACAUUUGCAUUAUUUCUGCAUAACAACAGAUUUUUCCAAGAUAAACUCUUCCAUGUUGCCACUCAAUUCUCUAUCUUUUGCCUUGAAUUUGUGCAGGCCUUAAUUCUCAAGAAGUACCCUGCAGUACUGAUCAUAACCUUCUUUUACAACUUCUUUGUCCCCUAACAAUCUGCAUUAAUCUCACUGACACUUGUACAAGCCCUAAGUGGUUGGAGACUAAAACCUAAUAUUGGAUUGCUUGCGGUUUUAUACUAAGUGAGCAACUGUGCACAUAUAACUCUGAUAUCAUAUUGUAACUCCAAUGACACAAAGGUAUAAUUUAAGGCAUAUAAUGGCCUAGUUUUUUUGUUAAAUAAAAUGAGGUAUAAUUUGCAACAUGUAGGCGAUUAUUGGGAUUACGUUCCGUAUCAACAUGUCUACAUGGUGCCUGCACUGCAGAGAAAAGGACCUGUGUGUGUUUCUAUGUUCAAGCCCCUUGCUGCUGUUGUCAAAGAUGUCAUUGAUGUAAUUUUUCUGGGACAAGCUCUGUAUCUUGGGAGGUAUAAUAAACAUGUAUAUCUCCGUAUUUUGUUGACCAAAUACGUACAACACAAGAUACAUAUGAGCUCAAACUGAUAUACACCUAGUGGUUAACCAAAAUUAUUGUAGCAGAGAAAGAUGCAGCUUUUCACUUUUUUUUUUUUUCAUGGUACAUAAGAAGUAAUCACAAUUUUACUGCAGUUUGAUUGGAGCAGGUGUAAUUAUCUCUGGUUUUUAUGCUGUGAUAUGGGGAAAGGCCGGAGAAGAGAAGUUGCAUGAGGACAGUGAAGAAGGGCAGAGUUGCUUAGAAUCAUCCACUGACUGCAAAAUAAGACAUAGAAUUGCAUUUUAUAAUUGUGCGACGGUCUCUGUGGCCUUUAUGAUGUGUUUAAUGUAUGUAAAGCAUUUUCAUUAAAAUUUGAAAACAAGAAAUGAUUUACAAAGGGGCUGUUUGAUAACCAUUCAAUUUUAAUUUUAGUUUUCACUUUUUGUGAUAGAGCAUAGGGGAAAAUGAGAGAGACGAUGAGAGGAGAGAGGAUGAGAAGGAGGAGUAACAAAAGUGAAAACAACUUCAAAUAAAUUUCAGUUUUUAAUUUUUGUUUUCACUUUUGUUACUAAUUCCUCCCAUCUUCCACUCUCAUCUUCCCUCUUAAUUUCAUAUUUACUCUCAUUCUCACUUCCAUUCUCCCUCUUUUUCUUCUAUACUCUAGCACAAAAAUUAAAAACUAAAAAUUAAAAUUAAAAUGGUUAUCAACAUGAAAAAUCAGAUGAAUGGAAAGGAGAAAAAGUUAGUUUGGUUCUUCUUCUGAUUGGUUGAGUCGGUAGAUCGAAAUAAUUAAGGCUAUUGGAUCCAACUCAAGAUGUCUCCUUCCAUGGUGCAGUUUGUAGUGCGCGAAUAUAAAUCAUAAUUUUAAUUUGAGUGGAACUGAAAUCACAGUAUACACCAAAAAUAUCUACAUGCUUGGUUUCACUGCACACAUAGACAAAACCUAUGUCAUCUCUUUAUACAACAAAUACAAAGUUUUACAAAAGAAAAGCAUAACACUGCUGCCAAAGAGAAUUGACAGUUGCCUUGAAAAUAUACAAACAACCCAUUUCCUCUAUCCUACAACAAAACUACAAGUGCAAAGGGGAAGAAAACAGAGAAGUGGUCCAAGUGAUUCUGUCUUUGUGACCUUGUGACUCUGUGUGUGUGUGCGCGCCACACAGACACAGAGAGAGAGAGAGAGAGAGAGAGAGAGAGAGAGAGAGAGAGAGAGAGGAUGAGCAUGGAGAGUAUACUGCCAUUUCUAGGGAUGGUGAUGGCGAUUCUGGCUCAAGCUGCAAAUAUGAUAGUAAACAAAGCAGCCAUGUCCAAAGGGAGCAACAAAUACAUUAUGGUUGUGUAUGCCAACGGCCUCUCCACUCUCAUUCUUCUCCCUCCAGCCCUCUUCUUCCACUACAGGUUCUUCUUUCUUUAAUUCUCCAUCUCCCUCAAUUCUUUAAUUUACUGUGUUCAUCAAUAAGGUGUGUGACAAUCUUUCCUCUUCAUGUUUCUUUGAUUUUCUGAUCAUUGGCAGAUCAGGGCGCCCUCCCCUUACAUUCUCCAUACUCUGCAGAUUCUUCAUGCUUGCCCUGUUUGGGUUGGUAACAUAGUACCAUGAAACUUUACACUACUUUUUUACUGUGCAUUUGCAAUUUCUUACAUGUAAAUUGUAAGAUAAAUAACUCAAUCAAUUGACAUGCGAAUUUUUUUAGGGGUUCUUUAUUGAUGCAUAUUUAGAAAAAGAAAUAUAUUCUGGUUGAUUUUAGUUACUUCCAUGCAGAUGUUCUGCCCAGAUAUUUGGAUAUGUUGGUAUAGAAUACAGCUCUGCCACGCUUGGCACCGCCAUGCUUAACCUCAUCCCAGCAUUUACUUUCACACUUGCCAUCAUUUUCAGGUUCUGUUUUUUAUUUUCUGAUUGGAAUAUAAGAAUACUGAUCUGAAUUAUACAUAUAUAGAGCUCAUGGCAAAUGACUAAAACUAUUAAGCUUUUUCUUAUAAGUUGAUUUCUUAAGAGAAAAAACCAAUUAGAUUAAUGUGUAUGUGUAAUCACAUGCAUUGAUUGUUUGAAAUGGGUGGUUUUAGGAUGGAAAAGGUGCAGUGGAGAAGCUCAAGCAGUAAAGCCAAAAUUUUGGGAACCACAGCAUCAAUCGCAGGAGCUUUUGUUGUAACAUUCUACAAAGGCCAGCCAAUCAUGCUGCUACCAUCAUCACAUCCACCCAAUCUCUUCUCAUCAAAAUCAAAUUGGGUUCUGGGAGGCCUUUUUCUUGCAGCUGAUUCCUUCUCCAGUUCCUUAUGGUACAUUCUGCAGGUAAUUAGGCGUAUCAUUCAAUCACUCAAUUACCCUUUCAAGAGCUCAAAGCAAAGAACAAGCAAAUCAAUUAAUUAAUUGUUUUAUUUUCUUAAUUCCAAACAUUUGCAGGCAUCAACCCUAAAGAAGUACCCAGCAGUUGUGGUCAUAGUCUGUUUUCAAAGCUUAUUCACUACCAUUCAGUCUGCAUUAUUUACUUUGAUUGCAGUUAAAGAUGCAAGUGCUUGGGAGUUAAGGUUGGAUAUGGGGCUGAUUGCUGUUUUGUACACUGUAAGCAAGCAAGUAGCAAUGUCUAUAAUGUUUUCAAGUUCAAACUUUAUUCAUAAAUUCAUUUUUGUAUGUUCAUAUAUCUCAUCGUAUAGGCAAUUGUUUCAAUCGUUCUCCGUUACACUUUAACCACCUGGUGUGUGUGGAAGGCUGGAGCUCUUUUUUGUUCUAUGUUUAAGCCUCUUGGAAUUAUUUUUGGUGUGAUCAUGGGUGCCAUCUUUUUGGGAGAUCCAUUCUAUUUUGGGAGGUACGUACAAUUGUAACUCGUGUUACUGAAGCAUUUGGAUAUAAUCUUUAAGAGAUUUGUAGCUUAAGUAGUUAAGCAUAUUUAUCCGUCUAUCCAAGAUCUCGUUCCAAUUAAUUAUAAGGGUUAACUCGUAGGUUUUUUUAAUUUAUAAAUUUAAGCACCUGCGUGUAAAAUUUUAAAAAUUAAGUACUAAUUUGAAACGAGCUCAAAGAUUGAGUACUUUUAUGUAAACUCUAAUUAUAAUUUGUUAGAGUCAAUAAGUGGUGGUCUCACUCUUUUUAGGCGCAAUAAAGUAGUAUAUGUUGAAAAGACUAUAAUUAUGGGUUUUGUAAUAUUAAACUUUCGUUAAACGUAAGGUGGUUGAGACGGUUUUGUAAUAUGGUGAAAGAAAACUUAUAAAUAAUCAGAAACGACAACCAGUACAUAAUAAUGUAAGAGAAAUGGGGUACCCCCACCUCAAUUAGUGACGGCCCAGUGGAUAAUAUUUUAUUUCAUUGAUUGAUUGAAAGUUAGUGAAAGCCUCAGAUGGUUUUCAAAGUCUUUGCCUCUUAACAAGUCUGCAGGUUUAUGAUUAAGACUUCUUGUUAGCAAAUUAAUUAAUGAUAAUUGUACAAUAAUUUUGCAGUUUGGUUGGUGCACUUAUGAUUGUUACUGGGUUUUAUGCGGUGAUGUGGGGAAAGGCCAAAGAAGAGAAGCUGGUGGAAGGUGGUAGUCGUUGGGAAUCAUUAGGUCAAAAUAAUGUCCCUCUACUACAAAACAAUAUACAAGAGAAGCACAACUGCACAAGUAUCUUGUGAAUAACAAGGCAGGUUCUUUUUUGUUUGUGUACAUAAGCCGCAGAUUAUUAAAAUGGUCUAAAUGUAAUGAAAUGAGAAUAAAUUUAAUUUUUUUUAAUGAUAAUUGUAAAGAUUUGAGAUCCUAUAUAUGAAAAUUACAUUUAUAUUAUCUCGACUCACCAAUAUUGAUUUUUGAACUGAAACGAUCGAGCAUACAACUAAUUGAAAUGUAAAGCGAGGUUUUCACUAUUCAACUUAUCAUUUGAUAACUAACUUGUUUUUAAUCUAAUGAAACUCAUCAUUUCAUCCCUAAUUAAUUUUUAGUCUAAUAAUAUUUCCCUUAAUUUCAUAAAGAAAAUUUUAAGUUCGAAUCUCACUCACAAGUUGAAAAGAGAGAUGAAAUAAACAUUGAAUUUUGAAGUUACAAGUUACAACUAGUAAAAACAGGACAAUGCUUGAAAGAAAAUUGAAACAAUGUUUUUCUUUUAUCUUAAAAAGAAAAGGUCGAAACAAACAACAUAUUUAAAAAAAAUAGUAAAACCAAGUGGCGGGCAACGUGAGACAAACAGACACACCAAUUAUGAAUGAAAAAGUGAGUCUUUGGUCAGUUGAAAUCAAGUGUAACUGAACGAUCUGACGAGUUUGAUAGAAAGUGUGUGUGAUUCUGGUUGUGGGAUUGAAGAGAAAAACAGAGCCAUGGGGAAAGUUGCAGCACUACCUAUAGUAGGGAUGAUGAUGACUGAGUGUGCUGGAGCAGGGGUCAUAAUACUAAGUAAAGCAGCCAUGUCUACUGGCAUGAGCAACCUCAUCUUUGUCUUCUACUCCAACGCUCUUGCUGCCCUCAUCCUCCUCCCUACUUCUUUAGCCUUCCACAGGUAAUUAAAUCUCACUCUUUAUGGACUACCCAGAAACCAAAGAUUUUGUUUUUCACUAUAAUUUCCUACUUUGGUCACAAAUGUAAUUCCUUUCUUUGAGUGUUCUUGUUAGAUCGCGUCCUCCUCUCACUUUCCCCGUCCUCUGUUGGUUCUUCUUGCUUGGUCUAAUUGGGUAAGUUACUAUAUUCAUCUACAAACUACAACAUUAGAAAAAUCCUAUAUAAUAUGAUAAAUUAAAGUUUGCAUUUUGGGAUGGUUUUGUUUGCACAAUUGACGCUUUUAAUUUGUUGCCUUGUGGUAAGUGGAUUAUGUUUAGUGGGUUUGAUUGGUAUUCGCAUUUUGCAGAUUCGUUGCGCAGUUUGUUGGGUAUGCUGGGAUUAAUUACAGCUCUCCUACUCUUGGCACGGCUAUGCUCAACCUCCUUCCUGCCUUUACCUGCAUACUGGCAGUCAUCUUUAGGUCGCGCCCUCCUCUUAUUACUCACCCCACCCUCUGGGGUUACCUAUUUUACUUUUGUCUCAGUGGAAGCUAUUUUAGCUUGUUUUUCUAUUUUACUUGGGAAAUUGAGCACACGCAGGUAGGCAGUCUGGAGCAUACUUUUGGUUUGUUUUGUGUUUUGUAAAGAAACCUUCUAGGGAAAAAUAAUAAAAAAAGUUUCUGAAAGGUUAUGUUUUGAGUCUUGAGUCUUUGGCCUUAGUUUCCCAGGAGAAUCAAGUUUCUUCUGCUGUAUCUACAUUGCAGUACUUAUUUUGUUUUUCGAAGAUUUCUGUAGAAGAACCAGUGUAAAGAGUUCAAUAAUCAUUUUCUCGUCUCCAAUGAGAAUUUCAGCUGAUGAGCUUUCUCUCAUCACAGAUAAGACUGUACAAAUUUUGAGACAGCGGUAGACUGGUAGUUUGGUAAUGUCACACCGUCAACAAUUUCUAAAUUCAUUCAACUGGGUAUUUUCAGAAUGGAAACAGUUGACUGGAGAAGCUCCAGUACCCUAGCUAAAUCCUUGGGAACAAUGCUUUCAAUUUCAGGGGCAUUCAUUGUGACUCUUUACAAGGGCCCUGCACUUUUGUUGACAUCCUCAACUGAUAUAUUGUCUUAUAAACAACUUUUCUCACAACAGUCAAACUGGGUCAUUGGAGGAAUUCUCCUUUUGGUUUAUUGUGUGUUGGCUUCAUCAUCUUAUAUUAUACAGGUAAGAUCUGUGAAUUUAAAAUCCUUAUGAAACUGUGGAAUUUGUUCAGAAAAUUGAGAUUAGUUAUUAUUCUAUUCUGUGUUUCAGGCAUCAGUCAUAAAGAAAUACCCAGCAGAGCUAAUUAUGGUCUUUUAUUAUUGUUUCUUUGUGGCUAUUCAAGCUGUAGUAGUCUCUUUGAUUGUAGAAACAGACCUAAGUGCUUGGAGCUUGAAACCUAAAAUGAGGUUGAUCGCUGUUGUAUACUCGGUAAAUGGAAAACGUAACUCAACCAUUACAUACCUAUUGGAUUCAGAUAUGUGCUAAAACAUGAACCUAAGCUGCUCAACCUUUAAAUUAUAUUAUUGUAGGCAGUUUUUGGCUCGACAUUUACGAUUGGUGUAACCACAUGGUGCCUUCAUAGGGCAGGGCCUGUUUUUAUAGCUAUGUUUAAGCCUUUGGGGAUUAUUGUUGCAGUUUCCAUUGGUGUUACUUUCGUUGGGGAUACUUUCUACCUUGGAAGGUAGGAUUUCUACCUUGUUUUUCCCUCUUAACUACCAUAUCUAAAUACUGCAGAGUGAGAGACAUUAACUUUGUUCCUGGUGAAAAAAAAAAAAAGAAAUAAAUCAGUUGCUUGCUGAAUCCUGCAGUUUGGUAGGAGCAAUUGUAAUUGUCAUUGGUUUUUAUUCGGUGAUGUGGGGCAAAGCCAAUGAAGAGAAGAUGGAUGGUGGUGCUGAGACAAAGAGCUUGGCAACAAGCAACCAGCGGGUCCCUCUAUUACAAAACACUCUUGAAGAAAUAUAGAAGUUUACAGUAAUCACACCAUGAGGUUUCUCUUGCCAAACAAAUGGGUACUCUAUCUCCUCUUCUUCGUUCUUUCAGAAUGCUACCAUUUCUGUCAUUCUUGAAAAUUGGGAUAGGUUAUUGUGGAAUUGUUUGCUGAAGGCCAUGGAAAAUUGAGGAUAACUGGAGAACUCAUCCUUUCCAUCAGUUGUUAUACUCCAAUUCAGGCCUGAUUUGGCGCUGGGUUGGUCCAUUAUUUUUGGUAUUAACUGUUUAAGAUAACCAGACAAUCCAUGAUGCUGUUUGUAUCACCAACAGAUAGUGAACUACCACCAUCAUGCACAUGUGGGGUUGGAAAUAUCUAACAACCACUGUUGAUGUGACAAUUAGAGAAGAUGGCAGCCAACCGUCAAGUUUUAUUUUUAUUUUUAUUAUUUUUUAUGCAAGCGAUAUUGGGUGGGGGGGAUUCGAAUGUAGGACCUCGGGUGCAGGGGAAACCGACAAGGUUAAUUGCAAGCAAUGACCUGUUUGCCAAUGGGUACUUGCGUAAUAGGCACAAUAUGGAGAUAUAUGUUCGGUAUUUUUCUGCAUAUACAUUUGGUAGUUUUGUUCAUAAUAUGCCCAUACCUGACUGGAGAAGUUUUGUAUCUAUAAAAUGUAGGGUUGUGAACAUGGGGAGCAUAAUCAUACAUAUCAUAUCAGAAUGAGUUGGACGUCGAGUUUGCAGGGUCAAACUUAAAGGCAACCGUAACAGAAACAUUUAUGUGAAAGCAGCUUCUUGUUUGGAAAUGAAAUCUAGUUGUGGUAGUUGGUUUAAGAUGUAUGAUCUCCUUCUUCAUUAGUUGUAGCAAAUAAGGUGACAAUAAGUUAGUUAGCCUUGGGAGGGAAGGAAUGAUGGCAAUUGGCGAGGGCUAAAGUUCUUGAAGAACAUAUUUUCCACUAUUUAAUUGAAACAUCUGUUGACCUCUUUUGUUGUUUCUGUAAUUAUAUAUCGUUAUUUUUCUUUCUAAUCAUACUAGUACUUCAAAUUGUGCAAUUGAAAUGGAGGCUCUUGUGGGCUGAUAUUCAUGGGAAUUAUGAAUUAUAUAUGCUUAAAAUUUUGCUAGAUCUGGGUUGAGUUCAGAUUUUAAAAAAAAAAAUCUAAAGCAAGAUACAAGAGAAGCACAACUGCAGAAGUCCUCUGUUUAUGCCUAAUGGAAAUGGAAUUCCUCUGUUUCUAGUUGAUGCAUUUUCAAAUUUUAUCAAUUCAAAAUUGUAAAAACGUGUGCCUGCCUAAAUGGAACCAAUAACUUAACCUAAAAAAUUAAGAUAAUUGCAUUUUGUACAAGUAAAUACAUUAUCACACCACCUAACUAGAACUGGCAACGAAUAAUUUGACAAAGAAACUAACUAUACCAUCAGGCAUCAAUUUUCCUGCGCCUUAAGCCAGUUGGACCUGAAAGACAAUCAUGACAGAUAUCAAUAGCUUCAGUGUCAAACUUGCAUGCUUUCAACUGUGAAGCCGUGGUCCCUCUUGUAUGUAUAUGUCACAAGGCACAACACCAGGUGCAUGCUUACAGCACACACAAAGGUUAUUCUGGUUUUUUUUUUCCCUUCUUGGCAUGGGGAAGGGAAUUUCAGUGGCUUUUGUGGCACUGGUGAUGGCAGUUCUUGCUCAGGUGACUAGUAUGAUAUUGACCAAAGAAGCCAUGAGCAUCGGACUGAGUGAAUAUACUCUUGUUGUCUACUCUAAUGCUCUCUCCACUCUUAUCCUUACCCCUUCUUCCUUCAUCUUUCACAGGUCUCAUUUCCUUCUCUGUUUCUUUCACACUGUUUAUACAUUUUGAAACUACAUUCCCCUGCAUGUUUAUAAUAUAUAUCUGACUCUUCAUUUAAUGGCAGAUUAGAGCGUCCUCCGCUCAGCUUUUACAUUGUCUUCAGCUUCUUCUUACUUGGCUUUAUUGGGUUUGUAAAAAAGACCUUGUUUUUAUUUUCGAAGAGGUUCAAGUUGUGGGUACUACUCAAUUUUCGACUUGUAUUGCGCUUUUCCACUUUGCAGCUAAUUUAAUCCUCAUUAUGUAUAGAACUUCUGCACAGUUAAUGGGACUUGCUGGUUUAAACUACGCCUCUGCUACGCUUAACACAACCAUGCUCAAUCUCAUUCCAGCCUUUACAUUCAUACUUGCCUUACUAUUCAGGUUUCUAAUUUCUCAAUUUGUAGUUCCUACUUCUUUCUAUCUAUCAGGCGUUUGAGUGAUUGAGUUGAGACCAAAAACGUAAUAAUAAUAAUUUGUCUUAUGCUAAGUUGAGGAUAAAAUAAUUGUUCUCCAAGUCACCCAUGAUUUUAUGUGAUUAAUUAGGAUGGAAAAGCUAAACUGGAGGAGCUCAAGCAGCCAAGCUAAGUCUUUUGGAGCUGUAGUGUCAAUUACAGGGGCAUUUGUUGUGACUUUCUACAAGGGCCCAGCAGUGAUCCACCAACGCUUGUCUUCUGACCCGUUGAGUGGUCCAUGUCUCUUCUCACCAAAAUCACAUUGGGUCCUUGGAGGAUCACUCCUAGCCGCUGAGGCAUUCAUGUCCUCAUUAUGGAUUAUUCUGCAGGUAAUUCGAUUUAAUAUUUAUAUUGGUGGUGAGUUUGUAUAAGUACUAGGCUUCUAGCUAAUUAAAUAGGACCCUUUUUUCUUUUUGCAGGCCUUAAUCCUUAAGAAGUACCCUGCAGUGCUGAUCUUAGCCUCCUUCUACUGCUUCUUUGUGACCAUACAAGCUGCAUUAGCCUCACUGAUACUAGUAAAAGACCCAAGUGCUUGGAGUUUAAAACCCAAUAUUGGUUUGUUUGCAGUUUUAUACUCAGUAAGGAAAUAAUUACCGUCCCAAUGUUCUGAUUUCAUGUUCUAACUCCAAUUAUACAAAAACUGGAAUUAGGAAAUGAGUAAGAAUUAGUUGAAGGCAUAAAUCUACUUUGACCUUGAACUUUGGCCUAAUUUUUUGUUUACUCCUGUUUGUUGUGAAGUGGUGAGUAUGUAACAUGGGGUACAAUUUGGAAAAUGUAGGCGGUUGUUGGGACUGCGUUACGUACCAGUGCGGUAGCAUGGUGCCUGCAGAGAACAGGACCUUUGUAUGUUUCUAUGUUCAAGCCCCUUGCUGUUGUUGUCGCAGAUGUCAUUGAUGUAAUUUUUCUGGGACAAGCUCUGCAUCUCGGAAGGUAUGAACACAUAUUUCUCUGUAUUUUGUUGACUGAUCUGAUUGUGCAAAAUACCUCUGAGUUCAAUGUGAUAUACUUGAUGCAAUUUGCUAAAAUGUAGUAGCUUUUCAACUUGUACUAAAUACCAUCUUUUUUAUUUGCCAAUAGUGCAUAAAAAGUAAUCAAAAUCUUACUGCAGCUUGGUUGGAGCAGCUGUAAUUAUCACUGGCUUUUAUGCUGUGAUAUGGGGUAAGGCCAGAGAAGAGAAGUUGCAUGAGGACAGUGGAGAAGGGCAGUGGUCAGAAUCAUCAUCUGAAAGCACCCCCCUGCUGCAAAGUGCAAAAUAAGACACAGAUUUGUCUUGUCUAGAAACCAUGGUCUUAGACGUCUUUGUAAUUUUGAUGUGCAAUUUGAUGUGAUUUAUGCAUAUAUAUAUAUAUAUAUAUAUGUUAAGCAUUUCCACCUAUCAAAAGAAAAAUAUGUUGAGCAUUUCCAUGCAGAUGUUCAUCUCAGAUAUUUGGAAAUAUCUGUAUAGCAUACAGUUCUCCCACGCUUGCCACGGCCAUGCUUAACCUAAUCCCCAGCAUUUACUUUCAUACUUGCCAUCAUUUUCUGGUUCUGCUUUUUUCUGAUAGUAAGAGUAAUUUGAACUUGGGGACCCCUACUCAGCGAAUAUAUGUGCAUGACUAUGACAAAAGAUAUUAAACUUUCCCUUUAUAGUUGAUUUCUUAUGAAACUCAGUAGAAUGGGAUAAUCUAAUCCCAUGAGUUGGUGAAAAGAGAAAUAGGAUAGUCCAAUCCACAGCUUGAUUGGCUACAUUUGAACAAGUGACAAGGACUUUCAUAUUCAAAAACAAAAUUUUCGAAAAUGACUUAUAGCAGCAGCUUUUAUAACCGCAGUCUAGUUGAAAUUUCGAAGGGUCAGCUGUCCUCCAGUUUUCCACUAAUUGGAACAGAAGAUGCGAGUGAAAAUACUGCAAUUAGUGUUAAAAUGUAAACUGCCUAGCUAAUUUCUGAUUAGUUAGUAAGCUCUAAGUCAGCUUAUAUUUAAUCUGUUUUUAAGUCCUGUGUUAGCUGAGCACCUUGGCUUAUAUGCCAGGUGCAAUGCUUGAGUCAGUUUCUAUUUCCUAGCUGUCCUAAAAAGCUGUGUAUUGCCAUGUGUCAUAUUCACAUUGGCUUACUGUUACAAACGGUUAGAUUUUGAAUUGGCUGAUGUAAGAGAACAUGCUAUUGUCAUGAGGGAAUAUAGGCUCUGCUGCAACGGUUAUGCAGAGUAAGCAUUUUGUUAUUACAAUCUUUGCUUCUCAGCUCUCUCUCUCUCUCAGUACCUUCUUUGCUCCCUCUGAAAUCCAAACAUUCAACAUGGUAUCGAGAGCGCAGGUUGGAUCUGGAUAGUGGGCGUUGAAACUGUGUAAGCUGAGUCUGGAAAUCCGACGAGAAAUUUCCGACUCUCAGCUCAUUGAUUCUGGUCUCAGAUGGCUGGGUCAGGAGGGAGUGAUCUUAGAGCUCCAAUAUUCAAUGGGGAAAACUAUGAGUUUUGGAAGAUUCGAAUGAGAACAAUUUUCAAAUCUCAUGGAAUCUGGGAUUUAGUUGAGAAAGGUCUUCAAGAUCCAGAUUCAAAGGGGAAGAAGGUUGAUGAAGAAGGGUCAUCGGAGUCAGAGAAGGUGUCUUUGUUAAUGAAGGAUGCUAAGGCUCUUGGUAUUAUCCAAGGUGCUGUUUCAAAUGACAUUUUCCCCAGAAUCUCAAAUGAAGAAACCUCAAAAGGUGCUUGGGAUAUCUUGCAUCAGGAGUUUCAUGGUGAUAAGCAAGUCAGAUCCAUCAAGUUGCAGGGUCUGCGUCGUGAUUUUGAGUACACCAGGAUGAGGGAUGAUGAGAUCUUGUCUGGGUACAUCACUCGGUUACUUGAGCUUGUAAAUCAGAUGAAGGGAUAUGGGGAAGAUCUGACCAAAGGGAGGAUAGUUCAGAAACUGCUAAUAAGCUUAACCAAGGAGUUUGAUCCAGUCUGCUAUGUGAUUGAGCAAACUAGGGACAUUGAAACCAUUGAAGUGCAGGAGGUAAUUGCAGCAUUGAGAGGAUUUGCUCAGCGUCUUGACAGACAUGCUGAAAGCACCACUGAGAAAGCUUUCAGCAGCAUGAGCAUGAACUCAAAAGGAUCUCAGUCAAGUUCUAGUCCUGACACUAAUAAAUCAAAGAAGAACUGGAAGUCCAAGGAUAAGAAAUGGGAUUCUAAACCUCAAAACAAUGCCAAUCAAAGGGGAAAACCGAGUCAAGGAGACAAAUCUGGAAAAUGCAAAUAUUGUAAGAAGCUAUACUAUAGUGAGUGUUGGUUUAAAGGAAAACCAAAGUGUCAUGGCUGCAAUCGAUUUGGUCAUUUUGUCAAGGACUGUGACCAAGCAAACAAGGCAGGGAAACUUGCUAACAUUGCAAAUCAGGUAACAGAACCUGCCAUUAUGUUCUAUGCAUGUCAUGCUGCAACAAUUGGAAAGAAUGUGAAUAUGUGGUAUGUUGAUAGUGCAUGUAGCAAUCACAUGACUUCCCAUGAGUCCUUACUUGUAAAUGUUGAUAGAAGUGUGAAGUGUAAAGUCAAAAUGGGGACUGGUGAUCUAGUACAGUCAAUAGGCAAAGGGACUUUGGCUAUAGAAAUGAAGGGUGUGACUAGAUAUAUCAAGGAAGUCAUGAUUGUACCGGGUUUGGAUGAAAACUUGCUAAGUGUAGGUCAAAUGAUAAAACAUGGGCAUUGGCUUGUAUUUGGUGAUAAUGCAGUUGAUAUCUAUGGAGAUAGGCAGCUGGAAGAUUGCAUUGCAAGAGUGCCAAUGAAGGGAAACAGAUGUUUUCCUUUAAAUCUAGAUUAUGUCAAUCCCCCUAUGGCAAAUAGAGCAACAGUUGGAGAAACAUCCUGGCUGUGGCACAGAAGAUUUGGGCACCUAAACUAUGUUAGUUUGAAGCUGUUACAAGAGAAAUAUAUGGUUCAGGGACUGCCUAAUCUGCAAGAGUAUGAGAAGGUUUGCUCGGGUUGUGCUGUAAGCAAGAAUCACAGAAGCUCAUUUGAUAAGGAAAGAUCUUGGAGAGCCUCUCAACCUCUAGAACUGAUUCACUCAUAUAUAUGUGGUCCAAUGUAGACCAUCACUCUUGGAGGGAAUAGAUAUUUCCUCACCUUCAUUGAUGAUCACACUAGAAUGUGUUGGGUGUUCUUCUUGCAGCAUAAGUCUCAAGCAUUCAACAUAUUCAAAAGGUUCAAAAGCAUGGUUGAGCUACAAAGUGGUUAUCAAAUUAAGAAGCUAAGAAGUGAUAGAGGUGGAGAAUAUACAUUUUUGGAUUUCUCAAAGUUUUGUGAAGAGAUGGGAUUAGAAAGGCAACUGAUAGUAGCCUACUCUCCACAACAGAAUGGAGUUGCAGAGAGAAAGAAUCGUACUGUGAUGGAAAUGGCAAGAGCCAUGAUGCAUGAGAAGAAAAUUCCUUUGAAGUUUUGGGCAGAAGCUGUCAAUACAGCUGUAUAUCCACAAAAUAGAAGCCCUACAAGUGCACUGGACAAUUCCACUCCAUUUGAGAAGUUUAGUGGAAGAAAACCAGGAGUGAAGCAUUUGAGAAUAUUUGGUUCUCUAUGCUAUAUUCACAUCCCCACACAGAAAAGGCACAAGCUGGAAGAAACAGGUGAGAAGGGAGUAUUUGUAGGAUAUGGAGUAUGUGAAAAGGGGUAUAGAGUACUCAACUUGAGAACUCAAAAGAUUGAGCUGUCUAGGAGUGUCAUUUUUGAUGAAGAAGCAAUGUGGAAUUGGGAAACAAAUGAGGCAUUGCAAAUUCCUAUGUCUUGGAGUGAUGAAGCAAGUUCAACAGUAUCAGAUUUGGAUUCAGAACCAAAUCUGUUACAACAACAGAUUGUGCAGUCUCCUAUGGAAACACAAACAAGUAGUGACUUGCAUGCUACUCAAGAUUCAGCUCUACUUGAAACUUAUGAUAACACCCCAAAGAAAUGGAAGAGUUUAAGUGAUGUGUAUGCUCAAUGCAAGAUGAGCAUCAUUGAACCUGAAAAUUUUGAAGAAGCAGUCAAAGAUGAAGCUUGGAGGAAGGCUAUGACUGAGGAGAUACUUAUGAUAGAGAAAAACUCUACUUGGGAAUUAAUUGAUAGGCCAAGUAGUAAACCAAUUGUGGGAGUGAAGUGGAUAUUCAAAACUAAGCUCAAUCUUGAUGGCUCCAUUCAAAAACAUAAAGCAAGGCUUGUUGCCAAGGGAUACACACAAAAACCAGGGAUUGAUUUCAAUGAAACCUUUGCUCCAGUGGCAAGGUUAGACACCAUUAGAACCCACAUAGCUCUUGCUGCACAGAAAGGCUGGAAACUAUGGCAAUUGGAUGUCAAAUCAGCCUUCUUAAAUGGUGUCCUUGAAGAAGAAGUUUAUGUUGAUCAACCAGAUGGUUUUGUGGUUAAAGGUGAUGAGGAUAAAGUGUAUAGGUUAAGAAAAGCUCUCUAUGGGUUGAAGCAGGCUCCAAGGGCCUGGUAUAGUGAAAUCGACACCUACUUGAAUCAGUGUGGUUUUCACAAAAGUCCAAGUGAAGCAACUCUCUAUGUGAGAACCAAGAAAGGUGUGGGAACACUAAUAGUGUCAAUCUAUGUAGAUGACAUAGUGUAUACAGGAAGUAGUGAUGAAAUGGUGAAAGAAUUCAAAGCUGAAAUGAUGUGCAAGUAUGAGAUGUCUGACUUGGGUUUACUCCACCAUUUUCUUGGUAUGGGAGUAACACAAACUGAAGGGAGCAUCUUCAUUCACCAAAAGAAGUAUGCUCUCACUCUCUUGGAUAAGUUUGGACUCAAAGACUGCAAGUCAGUAAGCACUCCAUUAGUGGCUACUGAUAAAUUGAAAAGAGAGGAUGGAAGUGAAGCUGCAGAUGAAAGCUUGUUCAGAAAAAUUGUAGGUAGCCUGCUGUAUCUCACUGCAACCAGGCCAGAUAUCAUGUUCUCUGCCAGCCUGCUUGCAAGAUUCAUGCACAACCCUUCUAAGAUGCACUAUGGGGCAGCUAAAAGGGUUCUAAGGUACAUACAAGGUACGAUUGAUUAUGUGACUGGAAAGUCUGCAAUCUUAGUAGGUUACUGUGACAGUGACUGGAGUGGCUCUGAGGAAGAUAUGAAAAGCACUUCUGGAUAUGCGUUUUCAUUUGGAAGUGGUAUUUUUUCGUGGGCAUCAGUCAAACAACACAGUGUGGCUCUUUCUACUGCAGAGGCAGAGUAUGUGAGUGCAACAGAAGCUACAUCACAAGCCAUUUGGCUCAGGUUUGUUCUUGAAGAUUUUGGGGAAGAACAGACCACUCCAACUACUGUGUUUUGUGACAACACUUCAGCCAUAGCAAUGGCUAAAAAUUCAGUUUUUCAUCAACGGAGCAAGCACAUUAAAAGGAAGUUUCAUUUUAUUAGAGAUGCAAUACAAGAAGAAGUGAUUGAACUGCUCUACUGCAAGGGAGAAGAGCAGAUUGCUGAUAUCUUCACCAAAGCACUUCCCAAAGACAGGUUCGACUAUUUGAGGAGAAUGCUUGGAGUGAAAUCAGCUAGCACUGUAGAAGGGAGUGUUAAAAUGUAAACUGCCUAGCUAAUUUCUGAUUAGUUAGUAAGCUCUAAGUCAGCUUAUAUUUAAUCUGUUUUUAAGUCCUGUGUUAGCUGAGCACCUUGGCUUAUAUGCCAGGUGCAAUGCUUGAGUCAGUUUCUAUUUCCUAGCUGUCCUAAAAGCUGUGUAUUGCCAUGUGUCAUAUUCACAUUGGCUUACUCUUACAAACGGUUAGAUUUUGAAUUGGCUGAUGUAAGAGAACAUGCUAUUGUCAUGAGGGAAUAUAGGCUCUGCUGCAACGGUUAUGCAGAGUAAGCAUUUUGUUAUUACAAUCUUUGCUUCUCAGCUCUCUCUCUCUCUCUCUCUCAGUACCUUCUUUGCUCCCUCUGAAAUCCAAACAUUCAACAAUUAGGUCCUCUUUGUUGUUAUGUAAGAACAAAUAUGCUUCAGUUGUUUGAAAUGGGUGAUUGAGGAUGGAAAAGGUGCACUGCAGAAGCUCAAGCAGCCAAGCAAAACUUUCUGGAACCAUAGUCUCAAUCACAGGAGCAUUUGUGGUAACAUUCUACAAAGGCCUGCCAAUCAUACUGCUAUCAUCAUCACUCUCCAAUUCACCCAAUCAACUCCUUUUUCUCAUAACAAUCACACUGGAUUCUGGGAGGGCUUUUUCUUGCAGCUGAAGCCUUCGCAACUUCUUUAUGGUACAUUAUGCAGGUAACUAGGCCUAUUAUCAACUCAAUUACCCUUUCUAGAGCUGAAAGUAAAGAACAAGCAAAUGUUUGCAGGCAUUUGUCAUUAAGAAGUACCCAGCAGUGGUGUUCAUAGUCUUUUACGUAACCAUAUCUGCAGCAUUUACAUUAGUUGCAGUUAGAGAUGCAAGUGCCUGGGGAGCUAAGGCUGGAUGUGGGGCUGAUUUCUAUUUUAUAUGCCGUAAGCAAAUAGUAACCCUGUCAUGUUUUGGAGUUGAAAGAUUUUUCAUAGUUCAUAAAGGAUACUUGUAGAUGCAAUUAAAUUCUUUUUGCAUGAUCACCAUAUAUAGGGUAUUGUUUCAAGCGUUCUUCGCUACAGUUUGAUCACUUGGUGCGUGUGGAAGGCUGGAGCUUUUUUGUUCUUUGUUCAAGCCUCUUGGAAUAAUUUUUAGUGUGAUCAUGGGUGUCAUCUUUUUGGGAGAUUCCGUCUAUCUUGGAAGGUAUAAAUAUUGGUCAUCUGGUUUGUUUCAACCUUCUCACUUGUGCUUUUCAAGUGUUUAUCAUAUCUCAUCAUAUAGGCAAUUGUUUCAACCGUUCUCCGUUACACUUUAACCACCGGUGGGUGUGGAAGGCUGGAGCUCUUUUUUGUUCUAUGUUCAAGCCUCUUGGAAUUAUUUUUGGUGUGAUCAUCAUCAUGAGUGCCAUCUUUUUGGGAGAUCCAUUCUAUCUUGGAAGGUACGUACAAUUGUAAUUCGUGUUAUUGAAGCAUUUGGUUAAACUUAUAAAUAAUCAGAAACGACGACAAGUACAUAAUCAUGUAAGAGAAAUGGGGUACCAGGUACCCUCAAUUAGCGAGGGCCCAGUACAAGUCUGCACAAGUCUGCAGAUUUAUGAUUAAGAAAGACUUCUUGUUUGGUUGGUGGGGAAGGUCGUUGGGAAUCAUUAGGCCAAAAUAAGGUCCCUCUACUACAAAACAAUGUACAAGAGAAGCACGACUGCACAAGUAUCUUAUGUAAAUAACAAGGCAGGUUCUUUGUUGUUUGUGUCAUGCUACUAGUCAUGUGAUUAUUAAAAUGGUUCUAAACUUUUAAUGUAAUGAAAUGUAAAAUAAUGCCCAAUUUUUAGUUGUAGAAACUCGGAAUUCCAUAUGAAAACACACUUGAAAUAUCUCGACUCACUAAGUUUAAAGUUUAUAAUAUCGAUUUUUUGAACAAUUUUUGGACUAGAACGAUGCAGCAGACAACUAAUUGAAAUGCAAAAGGAGUUUCACCAUUCAACUUAUCAUUUGACCACUAACUAAUUUUUAGUAUAAUGAAACUCAUCAUUUCAUCAUUAACUAAGUUUUAGUCCAAUAAUAUUUCCUUCAUUUUAUAAAGAAGAUUUUAAGUCCGAAUCUCUCUCACAAAUAGUAAAAACAGGACCAUGCUUGAAAGAAAAUUGAAACAAUGUUUUUCUUUUAUCUUGGAAAGAAAAGAAAAGGUGAAAACAGUGUAUUUAAAAAAUAGUAAAAACCAAGUGGCGAGCAAAGUUAGACAAACAAACACACACCUAAGCAACGAUGAAUGAAAAAGUGAGUUGAAAUUCUGAAUUAUUUGACGAGUUUGAUAGAAAGUGGUUGUGUAAAUUCUGGUUCUGGGAUUGAAGAGAAAAACAGAGUCAUGGCGAAAGUUGAAGCACUACCUAUAGAUAUAGUAGGGAUGAUGAUGACUGAGUGUGCUCAAGCUGGGGUCAUGAUACUAAGCUAAUUUAAUCCUCAUUAUGUAUAGAACUUCUGCACAGGUAAUGGGACUUGUUGGUUUAAAUUACGCCUCUGCUCCGCUUAACACAGCCAUUCUCAAUCUCAUUCCAGCCUUUACAUUCAUACUUGCCUUACUAUUCAGGUUUCUAAUUUCUCAAUUUGUAGUUCCUACUUCUUUCUAUCAGUCAGGCGUCGCACCAGAAGAGAUGACCGGAGUAUUUGCAUGGAUAAAUUUCUGCCAUUUAUUGGAAUGGUGGUGGCGAUUAUGGCUCAGACUGGGAGUAUGAUGCUGAACAAAGCAGCCAUGUCCAAAGGGACCAACAAAUACAUCUUCGUCGUCUACACCAAUGCCCUCUCCGCCCUCAUUCUUCUCCCUUACAUCCUCAUCUUCCACAGGUUACAUAUAAUUCCUCUCUUUCUUUCAUUUAUAUAUUUAUUUUACAGUAUGGUGAAUAAAGUGUGACAUUAUUGUCUUUUCUUUUCUUGUUACUUUGAAUUUCUGGUCUAUAUGCAGAUCAGAGCGUCCUCCCCUUACCCUCUCCAUACUUUGCAGAAUCUUCAUGCUUGCCCUGUUUGGGUUGGUAACAAGCAACUCCACUCUUUUAGAGACCUUUUUUUUUUUUUUUUGUUCUUUUGUUCUUAUUGAUGCACAUAUUCUGGAGAAAUAUAGAGGUCAUUUGAAUUUGUUUUACUUACUCCAUGCAGAUGUUCAUCUCAGAUAUUUGGAAAUAUCGGCAUAGCAUACAGCUCUCCCACGCUUGCCACGGCCAUGCUUAACCUCAUCCCAGCAUUCACUUUCAUACUUGCCAUCAUUUUCAGGUUCUGCAUUUUUCUGAUAGUAAGAAUGGUUUGAACUUGGGGACCACUACUCUGCGAAUAUGUGCAUGACUAUGACUAAAGAUAUUAAACUUUCUGUUUAUAGUUGAUUUCGUAUGAAACCAAGUAGAAUGGGAUAAUCUAAUCACAAGAGUUGGUGAGAAAUAGGAUAAUCAAUUCUACAGCUUGAGUGGCUACAUUUGAAGAAGUGACAAGGACUUUCAUAUUCAAAGACAAGUUUUGGAAAAUGAGUUAUGGCGCUGCAGCUUUUAUAACCUUCAAAGGGUCAGCUGUCCUCUAGUUUUCUGUCCUCUGGUUUCCACUAAUUGGAACAGAGGAUGCCAGUGAAAUUAAGGGUGAAACUGCUGCAAUUAGGUCAUCUUUGUUGUUAUGUAAAAAGAAAUAUGCUUCAAUUGUUUGAAAUGGGUGGUUUUAGGAUGGAAAAGGUGAACUGGAGAAGCUCAAGCAGCCAAGCAAAAGUUUGUGGAACCAUAGUAUCAAUCACAGGAGCAUUUGUUGUAACACUCUACAAAGGCCUGCCAAUCAUACAGCAAUCAAUAUCACUUUCCAAUUCACCCAAUCAACUCCUUUUCUCAUCACAAUCAAACUGGAUUCUGGGAGGGCUUUUUCUUGCAGCUGAAGCCUUCUCAACUUCUUUAUGGUACACUAUGCAGGUAACUAGGCCUAUUACCAAUUCCAUUACUCUUUCUAGAGCCGAAAGUAAAGAACAAGCAAAUGUUUGCAGGGAUUUGUCGUUAAGAAGUACCCAGCAGUGGUGUUCAUAGUCUUUUACCAAUGCUUAAUUGCAACUGUUGGUGUCUUUUUCCGCCCGAGGGAGGAGACCGGUCCAACACCGAUGCCCCGAGUGCUCUCAUGAAUCAGCACUGAUGGUUCUUGGCGGUGAGUGAGCUUCCAACUAGACCCAAUUGAAAGUUGGAUCAGGCUUGAAUGAGAGAGACCAGCCCGGUCCUCGCUUGGGGGCUGGAAAUCGGGCUGGUCUUCUGAAUUCUUUGGAUUGCAUAGGCGUGCCACUAUUGAAAUCGAGGGUGACCCAAUAGAAUUGUAAUGAUUGUAUGCUUGUUUGAUCGUAUACAGGAUUUUGCGCUGAUCUUGACAUCUAAUCAAGCCAUUGUGCUCCAAGGGGGGUACUAGCUCAAAUUAGUUCUUUUCUAUGCCUCGAUUAAGAGGACUUCAACAUUCUUUCAUUUGCAUAUGGAUGGUAUGAUAGAUAUACGGUACACCUGAUCAGAGAAACAUAAAGAUCAUAUUAUUCUGGUUAGAAAAUCCCUUGGACGGGCUUAUCAACCUUAAUUUAAACACACAAAGGAAAACUUUAGAACAAACUUAUUUUAAAAUGGGCUUAUCAAUAUUGAAAAAGCCUUAAUCACCCUUUAUUGGGCAGUAUUUAUCAUUAUCGGGCAGGACGAGGCCUUGUAGGGGAUAGGUACUAUUUAUCGGGUAAGAACAAACCCUUGAUUGGGCAAAUGCAAAUCCUUGUACAGGCCAGGUGUUGUUGAUCGGGCUUAGCGAAGGCCCUUAAACGGGCUUUCUCUACGAAAUAAGCUUGUAUGUCCCUAGUAUAAGUUAAGAUAAAUACUGAAAUAAAUUACUCUACCAACUGAAAGUGAAUAGGUACUGGAAAUGAAAAACUUUUUUGUCCGAUCUUUAUUAUGAUGGCAAGUGAACAGAGAUAUGAAAUGCUACAGGCUUUGAACGUAAUACAAACUUCCUAACGCUGAACACUGCAGACGUUCAUAUCUGAAAUGAACACUUUUAGUAUAGUAUUUGGAAAGGAUUAGCAGUGAUGCUAAUAAAUCAUACUAAGUGUUUAGCAGAGCAAUAAUAAAGAUGAUCGCAGAAGUUGUUGACUGGAUAAUCUGAGUAGUGAGUUGGUUGUUUUGAAAGCUUUGAGGGUUGUUGUUUUUUUAUAGACAUUGAGUCUUGUUUGGAGAGAGAAUCCCCGAUGCCUGCCGUGAUGCUCUCUAUUUAUAAACUGAUGGCUUGAAUGCUUUGGUGUUGAGUAGACAAAAGGAACGUUGAGAUCCCACAACAUCAUUACAGUUUUUAUCUUCUUGCGAAUUAAACCUUAGUAUAGAGAAAAAUGGAAGAUAGUUGGGUGAGCACAUAUCGAAAGUCUCCAAUUUGGCCUUGUGGUUGUCCUGUUUUUGCUCCCUGAGUGAAAGAUAAAAUAUUUUAUCUUAAUUUCUUCUCCCAUAUCGCGUGCAGCCUCUGCAAGAAAGGUUGUUUCCUUUUGACUCUUUUGCUGGGUCACAGUCUGACUUCAAUAAUGGACCAUGGGCCUUGUUAACCAAAUCAAUUUCUUGGUCCAUUUAAAGGCGUGAAUUUCUGAAAUAGUGAAUGAGGACCACUUUUGGGCUUUUUCCACUAUUGAUUCAAAUAUUGCCCCCUAAAUCUGAUGAACUUUAGACAAAGUUUAUUAGAUUUGCCCCCUUUUGAAUGAAAAAGCCCUUUCGAAAGAAAAGUUGAGCCUCGAAGCAUAUGAAAUACCAAAAUACACUUGUUGGAAAAUGAUUUAAACGCUUCGCACCCUUUCCCUUCAUCAUCACCGAUUUUUCAGUGAACUUGUGAGACCAGUAAAAUUCCCUAAAACAAAAACCCUUCUUUGAUUUUCGGUAUGCGGCAGCAAAAUUUCAGCAAUGGCUCCAAGAAAACAGAAGUCGAAGAAACAAGUAGCUCCCAUGUUAGGCCGAAGGAGUUGAAGGACAAGUUGCGAAAUUUCAAUUUGUUCUUUGGGCAAAAGAAAGAGAAGGGUGGUGACUGUUUCUUCACUCCAUUUCCUCUCUCGAUCACUGAAGAGUCGGGGAUGCCCAUGUUAGGUCCGAGAUAUUUUGGUGUUAAACCAGCAAGCCUGAGGGCUUUGGAUACCAGUAUGGUUAGAGCCUUUCACCCCUAUAGUCUUUCGGAUAUAGAAUGGAGUUCGUGGGGAAAAAAUUCAAGUGUUCUUGGUUCGAAUCCUGAAGUGGUUCCUUCUGGCAAAUUCAAAACCUUGAGCGAAUGGGUUGAAGACUUAUGCUCUAAGUUCGGGGCAAAGUGGAAAAAUAAUGGCAUAUAUGAUGCCAUUAUGCUUUCGAAGAAAAAAAUAGCCCUGAAUCUGCUUAUGCUGAGCGCCACCGUGUGUUAUUUGAACAGUACUUCCAAUACCUUCGAUUUCGGGCUGGGGCCAGUAACUCCUACAAUUCUGGACAAGGCGUCACUGUUCGGGUUUCGUCCUCAUGAAGUAAUCGCGGAUGCUCUUGGGGAUUAAGAGGUCAGAGGGCAAAGGGACAGGAUUUCUCUUGGCGCAAGCCAUUCAGCCCCAGACUCGACCGUGAUGAACCAGGAUGAGGCGGAUCAGGGAAUGGGGUCAGGUCUGCCUGAUCUUGAACCUACUGCUGGUAAGAACAAACUGUUUUUCCUUGGUCACAUCACCCCUUGAUGAUUUUGAGGUGUAUUUAUCAUUAUCAGGCAGGACGAGGCCCUGUAGGGGAUAGGUACUAUUUAUCGGGUAAGAACAAACCCGAGCAAAUGCAAAGCCCUGGACAAGCCAGAUGCUGUUGAUCGGGCUUAGCGAAGGCCCUUAAACGGGCUUUCUCUACGAGAUAAGCUAUGUAUGCCCUUAAUAAAGUUAAGAUAAAUACUGAAAUAAAUUACUCUACGAACUGAAAGUGAAUAGGUACUUGGAAGUUGGAAAUGAAAAACGUUUUUGUCCGAUCUUUAUAAUGAUGGCAGGUGAACAGAGAUACGAAAUGCUACAAGCUUUGAACAUAAUACAAACUUCCUAACGCUGAACACUGCAGACGUUCAUAUAAUAAAUGAACACUUUUAGUACAGUAUCUAGAAAGGAUUAGCAAUGUGAUGCUAAUAAAUCAUACCAAGUGUUUGGCAUAGCAAUAAAGAAGAUGAUCGCAGGAGUUGUUGACUGGAUAAUUUAAGUAGUGAGUUGGCUGUUUUGAAAAGCUUUGAGGGUUGUUUUUUGUUUAUAGACGUUGAGUCUUGUUUGGAGAGAGAGUCCUCGAUGCCUGCCGUGAGGCUCUCUAUUUAUAUACUGAUGGCUUGAAUGCGCUAGUGAUGAGUAGACAAAAGGAAUGUUGGGAUCCCACAACAUCAUUACAAGUUUUUAUCUUCUUGCGAAUUAAAUUGCCUAUAUCGAAAGUCUCCAAGUUAGCCUUGUGGUUGUCCUGUUUUUGUUCUCUGAGUGAAAGAUAAAAUAUUUUAUCAUAAUUUCUUCACUCAUAUCGCGUGCAUCCUCUGCAAGAAAGGUUGUUCUCCUUUUACUCUUUUGCUGGGUCACAGUCUGACUUCAAUAAUGGACCAUGGCCUUGUUAACCAAAUCAAAUUCUUGGUCCAUUUAAACCCUCAAAAGAAAUUCUGCUCAGUGAGUUGGGCCUGGAUUUCUGAAAUAUUGAAUGAGGACCAAUUUUGGGUUUUUUCCAUUAUUGGUUCAAACAGCAACCAUUCAGUCUGCAGCAGUUACUUUAGUUGCAGUUAGAGAUGCAAGUGCCUGGGAGCCAAGGCUGGAUAUGGGGCUGAUUGCUAUUUUAUACGCUGUAAGAGAAUAGCUACCCUAUCAUGUUUUGAAUUUGAAAGAUUUUUCAUAAUUCAUCAAGUAUACUGGUGGAUGCAAUUAAAUUCUUUUUGCAAGAUCACCAUAUAUAAUGUAAUGUUUCGAGCGUUCUUCGCUACAGUUUGAUCACUUGGUGCGUGUGGAAGGCUGGAGCUCUUUUCUGUUCUGUGUUCAAGCCUCUUGGAAUAAUGUUUAGCGUGAUCAUGGGUGUCAUCUUUUUGGGAGAUUCAGUCUAUCUUGGAAGGUAUAAAUAUUGUUCAUCUCAUUUGUUUCAACCUUGUCACUUGUGCUAUUCAAGUGUUUGUUGUAACUUGUUGCUGUCAUCUUUAGUCUUUAUUAAUCAAGUUGCAGGUUGUGGAGGGGCAAAAGAAUAGUAAACUUCAGGCUGAAGUGAAUUCUCAUUUUUGUUUGAUUGAAUAAUUGAUUGAAGUUAGUGAAGGCUACAGCUGGUUGACAAAGUCUUUGGCCUGUUAAGAGGUCUGGUUCAUGAUUAAGACAGAAUUCUUAUUAGCAAAUUGUUGAAAAUUUUGGAACAAUUUUGCAGUUUGAUUGGUGCGCUCAUAUUUGUUAUUGGAUUUUAUGCGAUGAUGUGGGGGAAGGCCACAGGAGAAGCUGGUCGAAUCAUUAGGCCAAAAUAAGGUCCCUCUGCUACCAAACAAUAUACAAGAGCAGUAGUGCAGAAGUCUUCUUUGUAGAUAUCACAUCAAACGUACACCGUACAACGACGAUGUAGGGGAUACAUUGCAAAUCCAACGGUGAUUAUUGCUUUAUAUUCUCAGGGAAAAAGAUCCUCAACGGUGGUUGUCACUUUAUAUCCUAAGCGAACCCGUCACCUCUAAUGGUUAAAGGAGGUGCUGAUAGUAUACAUGGUUGUAUUAUAGAGUUUUCUCAAUGCAUAUCAAAAUGUAAACAUGAAGGAAAGAAGUGUGAAAUUCUAGUGGAACAUUUCAAAUUAUAGAAAGCUACUGAAUCUCACAACUUGGGCUCUUGUCCCUUCCUUCAAGUUUUUCUUUCCUUAGACCAAAAAAAAAAAAAAAAAAAAAAACAACGGAAGAUUGUAAAUGGUUGUAUAUUGUUGGGCUCUUAUGAACCUAGCCAACAUUAUGCAUCAAAGAAUUCUUGCACGUGUUUCCUUCCAGCCUAUAGUGGCGGCUGUGACUCACGGCAGACAUAAAAUGAUGCAAUACAAACGAACCGUGUAUAUAAAACAAUAGUUUUUAGCCUACCGGCUUGAAGAUAACAGCAAUUGGGCUACCCAAGUGGUGCCAUUCAAAUCAAAUUUAGUCACUUGGAAUAUUCAUCUUCGUUUGUCUUCACUCUUCUUCACAUUAUUUGACUCCCUCGAGGCUCUAGGCUUCUACCAACUACAUGUCUGCAUAUGGUGGGGCAUCGAAGUUUUAACUUCACGAUUUAACACUUUCCAAGAGACGAGUUUGAGUCUCUGAAUUCUGGCUCUGAGAUUGAAGAACCAAAAACAAGAAAAAGAAGAAGAAGAAAAACAGAGUCAUGGGGAAGGUUGCAGCACUACCAAUAGUUGGGAUGGUGUUGGCUGAGAGUGCACAAGCUGGGCUAAUUAUAGUGAGCAAAUUAGCAAUGUCUAAUGGCAUGAGCAACCUCAUCUUUCUCUGCUACUCAAACGCUCUUGCAGCCCUUAUCCUCCUCCCAAUUUCCUUAGCCUUCCACAGGUGAUUGAAUCUUACUCUUUGUGAACUACCCAGAAACCAAAGAUUUUGUUUUUACUAUAAUUUCCUACUUUGAUCACAAAAGUAAUUCCUAUCUUUGCCCUUAUGUUCUUGGUAGAUCCGAGCGUCCUCCUCUCACUUUCUCUACCCUCUGUUGGUUCUUCUUGCUUGGUCUAAUUGGGUAAGUUACGAUUUUCAUCUAUAAUAAAAUCCCACAUGGGAAAUUAAAGGUUGCAUUUUGGGGGUGGUAUUGUGUGCACAUUUGACGCUUUUAAUUCGUUGGAGUGUUGUUAGCGGAUUCUGUUUAGUGGGUUUGAUUGAUAUUCGCGUUUUGCAGAUUCAUGGCGCAGUUUUUUGGGUAUGCUGGGAUUAAUUUGAGCUCUCCUACUCUGAGCACGGCUAUGCUCAACCUCAUUCCAGCUUUUACCUUUAUACUGGCAGUCAUCUUUAGGUCAUGCCCUCCUCUUAUUUACUCACACUGCAAAUUGUGACCACCCUCUAUGAUUACCUAUUUCACUUUUGCCUUCAAUGGGCUUAAGAAUCCUUGUUUUUCCUUUAUUCUGAACUAUGAUCUAUCAUAAUUGUCUUAUUUUGUUAAUGAAUCCUGAACCCUAGGUUUUUUUUUCUUGUGAUGUAUCCAUGAGGACCAUGACAUUGCUUUACCUGUUCUGUUUCUAGAGGUCUCUGUAGAAGAACCAUGUAAAUAGUUCAAUUAUCUUGCUUUCUUGUUUCCAAUGAGAAUUUCAGCUGAUGAGCUUUUCUCUCAUUCCAGAUAAGAGUUGUACAGUGCAAUUUUGAGACACUGGUAGAAUGGUAAUCUUUGACUGUCACCUGUUUCUAAAUUCAUUCAACUGGGUGAUUUCAGAAUGGAAAGAAUUGAUGGGAGAAGCUCCAGUAGCCUUGCUAAAACUUUGGGAACAAUAGUUUCAAUUUCAGGGGCUUUCAUUGUUACUCUUUACAAGGGUCCCCCACUUCUGAUGACAUCCUCAACUGAUAUAUUGUCUCAUAACCAACUUUUCUUGGAACAGUCAAACUGGGUCCUUGGAGGAAUGUGCAUUGCUCUUAAUUGUGUGUUGGCCUCAUCUUGGCUUAUAGUACAGGUGAAAUCUGUAAAAUUUAAUUAAAACUGUCGUGAAAGUGUGGAGUUUGGUUAGAAAAUUAAGACUAGUUACUAUUCCUUGUCUAUGUUUCAGGCAUCAGUUCUAAAGAAAUAUCCCGCAGAGCUGAUUAUGGUAUUUUAUUAUUGCUUCUUUGUGGCUAUUCAAUCUGUAGUAGUCUCUUUGACUGUAGAAAGAGACCUAAGUGCGUGGGAAUUGAAGCCUAAAAUCCGGUUGAUCGCUGUUCUAUACUCGGUAAUUAGAUAACCAAAUCCAAACCAUGUCUAUACCUAUUGCAUUGAAAUAUUUUCUCAAACAUCAACCUACGAUACUCAAACUUUAAAUUCUACUCUUGCAGGGAGUCUUUGGCUCAGCAUUCCAGGUUGGUGUAUCUACUUGGUGCCUUCACAGGACGGGGCCUGUUUUUGUAGCUAUUUUCAAGCCUUUGGGGAUUGUCAUUACAGUUUUCGUUGGUGCCACCUUCUUAGGAGAUACUUUCUACCUUGGAAGGUACGGUUUCUAUCAUUUUUUUUCCCCAUAAAUACUAUAUCAAAAUGCCGACUUUGGAGCAGCACCAGUUUUGUUCCUGUUGAAAAAUCCUAAAGGGCAUUAAUUCAACAUCUUAGUUUACAUUUUCUGAAUGGUGCAGUUUGAUAGGAGCAAUUGUUAUUGUCAUGGGAUUUUAUUCUGUGAUGUGGGGAAAAGCAAAAGAAGAGAAGAUGGAUGAUGAUGCAGGGGCAAGGAGUGUGGCAUCAAGUAGACAACGGGUCCCUCUAUUGCAGAGCCAUAUUGAAGAAAUAUAGAAGUUUCUUUGCAGUACAUCGCCCUGUGAGGUCUCUCUUGCCAAAAAACAUAGGUACUCUCUGUUGCUUUUGUCUUAGUUCUUUUAAAAUGCUACACUUUCCAUCAUUUUUGAAAACUGGGAUUGGUUAUUGUGGGAGUUGUUUUGCUCAGGCCAUGCUUGUUGGGAAUUAGUCACCCUAAGUAAUGCAGGACAAGGAACAACCAUUUGAUAUUGUCCAAGUCAAGGCAAUCAUUUGGCACAAAGAUUUCUUCUACUCUUUUUUCUUUUUCCGGGGAGAUGGUAAUCCUGCAUACAUCCAAAGGCAGUUUGUUGGUGCAAACUGAGCAUAGUUGCAAGUUUGCUGUAAAGGUGCAAAUACCAUGAGAAGUAUGUUGUGCUCAUUGUUACUACAUGUUAUGAUGCAUCUGUUUCAUCUUAAAUAAUGUCCAAGAGAGAGUAGAAAUUUCAAAAGACGAUUCAAGUUGGAUUGGCUGGCACUAUCUGGCUCCUCAUUGCUCAUUGUUACUACAUGUUAUGAGGAGGCAGUUUUAUUGGCUUGCCAUUAAUGAACCUUUCGAACUACUAAAGCGUUUGUAAUUCAUUUGUAGAGUUUCUCUGUAUUUUAUAUUGUCAAUGCACUUGUAGUUAUACUCUUAAUUGAUGAUUAUCUUGUCUACUUUCCGAUGAGUAUAUGGAGACUUAUGUUUGAUGUUUUCCUGCACAUAUAUAUUCUUUUUAAGAAACUUUGUUUGUUAGUUUUGGUAGUUUUCAUAAUAUGCCCCCAGACCUGAGGGAAGAAUUUUCUGAAAAGUAUUAAAUAGAAAAUAACAGUUUAUUUUCCAUGUAAUGUAGGGUCAUGAACAUGUGGAGCAUGAUCAAAGAUAUCAGCAGCAUGAGUUGAAUAUUGAGUUUGCAGGGUCAAAGCUGCCUCAAGAGCAACAUGUCAGUGAGGAGCAGCUCCUUUGCUUGGAAGUGAAAUCUACUCUCUCUUUGGUUUUUAGAUGUAUGAUAUCCUUCAUUACUCGUGGUAAAUAAGGUAAUAAUGUUGGAAUUAGGCAUUGGGGGGAGAAAAUGAUGGCAAAGGCCAAAGUUCUUGAAGAACAUAUUUUCAACUGUGUAAUCAAAUACAAUAUAAGAAUCUUAUAAUCAUAUAUCUAGAGCUUUUCAUACAUCCAAUACUGGGUGAGUUAAAAUUGAAAUGAAGGGUCAUUUGGCCAGAUGAACAUAUUCACUGAAACAGGAAUUUCAUCCUGGAAAUAUGCUAAUAGUAACAAAAGCUGGCAUGAAAUUCCAUCCAAAGCGGCACAAAUACUUGUAGCUAUGAAGUAAUAAUAUAAACUGGUAAGGUAGUUGAAGAUGUUACUGGAAAAUCCCAAGUAAGACACAGCUUUCAUUUUCAGCCUGUGGUUCUAAAUUAUUUAACUGCAAACAUAAUUUAGAGCUUUGAAAAAAAGUCAUAAGCCCACAAACAACAUAUUAGUAAUAGAGUUGCUCAGUUGGGGAGCACUAAAAACAAAUAUUAGAGUGAGGGACGAACGAAUGGCAAACAUGUAGCCAAGGUUAGGCCAAAAACGAAAGCAGUAUGUCCGAGAAACCUUUGCCCCACAAAGGUCAGCCUCCUUAGCUGCCAUUAUGAAAUGUAUAAUAUAUCCGAGUAGCUACUUCUCCUUUUCAAGUAGCUGCUUCAUUUCCCCAAGGGUUGCCCUCCCUCUCCCUUUUUUAUUGUUGCUCCAUAAAUAUAUAGAGAAAGAGAAUCAAAACAUAGACAGAGUCUGCUUCUGCUGCUGCUGCUGCUUGUUCUUGUUCUUCAUUUCUUCUUACAUAUUAUGUACAUACAUGCAAAUUAAGAGAAGCGAUCACAAGUGAGGUGGAUGAGAAGUGUUCAGCUAUGGGAAGCGGUGCCGUUUUCAGUUAUGGUGACAAUGGAAGGUUGUACCAUAAUAUUAACCAUUUGGGCAAAAACUGUCAUGACAGUUGAUGGCAUGAGCCCUUUUGUAUUUGUCGUCUACACCCACGCCCUUUCCUCUCUCAUCCUCCUCCUCUAUUCUUUCAUCUUUCACUGCCCCAGGUUCUCUUUCUUUCUACCUCUCUCUCUUUCUCCCUCUCUCUCACAAACACACACAAACACAUACUUGGUUUGUAACUUGUUCUUCUUUUUCUCAUGAAUUUACUGCAGAAACAGAGGCGGAAGAGAACAGUCACUCUUCAGCUUGAAUCUGUUCGUGCGAUGCUUCUUCUUGGGUUUAACAGGGUCGGUUUGUACUUCUCAUUUCAUCUCAUCUCAUAGGCUUUUACGUUACAUAAACUUUAAACACCUAUGUCUCCUCCCUCUCCCUUUCCCAAUGGAAAAGGAUACCAUUCACCCUGAAUCCAUCCAUGGAUUCUCGAGUUGACCCCAACAACAAGCCUCAGAAUAUUCUGCUACAGUAUGGUGGUGGGCCUAGUUUUUCUGUUAGUUGAAGGGCAACAUUGUAAAUUGUCAAUACAUUCAUUAAUUUUUGGGUUAUAUAAUAUUAAACAAAUAUUUCAUUUUAAGUAUUUUAUUUUUUUAUAAAUUGAUAUUCUAAACUACUCUAAUAUAAUAAGAGGGGAAUCAAGUUUUGGUAUAAAAUGAAAUACACACGCCUUAACUAAGUGGCCUAAACACCCCAAUAUCAUCAUUAAUACCAAUUUUAGCCUAGUUUCAAAAUAAAUAAAUAAAUUCUCAAAUUUUUGUCUACUCUUCUUUUGUUCUUCUUCUUCUUCUUUUUUUUUUUUUUUUUUUUUUACUCAAUCCCCAUUUACUCAUUUUUUUAAAUAAAAAUAAAUUUCCUCCCCUGAAUCUCCUGGCCUAGAAAACAAAGAGGUCAAUUAAAUUCGAAGUUUCAAACCCACAGUAAAUUGCCUAUCAUACCCAUCAUUUUGUUUCUCUAACUCUAUCCAAGCCCAAAGUACCAAGUCUUUGUUGGGCUUCUUCUUUGAUUAGUCCCAGGCAUUAAGCUUUUUGGAUGCUCCUUCUAAUUUAGGAAAAUAGUCCUAAUGCAAAGAUGUUCAUCCAUAUUCUCAACCUCUUCAAGUAAUGUUGCAAUAAAAAUAUAAAUAUUAAAAUAUUAAAAAAAUGUUCUUGUAGCAAUACUUACUUUAAUUCUCUCUUUGUAGGAUAACAAUAUCUCAGAACCUUGGAUUCCUAGGCCUAAGUUACAGUUCUCCAAUUCUUGUGUGUGCCAUGGGCCUGAUGAUCCCAACUUUUUCCUUCCUGCUCUCCGUCAUUCUCAGGUUAAUUCUUCCCUCAACUCAACUUGUUCCUUUCAUUUCAUGUAAUGUUUUAACUUUUUUUACCAUUAAAAUAAAGUUCAACUGAUAUCAUUAAAAAGAGAGAAAUGUGCUGCUUUAAAUUAACCCAAAUUAUCUCUACAGAAGGACAAGGCUAGAUUGGAGAAGCUCAAGCUUCCAGGCCAAAGUAAGUGGGACAAUAAUAUCAAUCAUUGGGGCAGUAGCGGUUGAACUCUACAAGGGUGCAUAUAUAAGAACAUCUUCAGUUUCUUCUUCACCUGGGAAGCAACUUCAAGUCUUAGCACAGAAAGCACUUUUGGUCUUCUCCUCAGAACCAACAGAACAUUGGGUUGUGGGUGGCAUUUUGCUGGCAUCUGCUUCUUUAUCUGUCUCAGUAUGGAACAUCAUUCAGGUAAUUAAUUAAGGGCUCAUAUGGGAGUGAUUAUGGAUAGACAAAUAAUCACUUUUAUAGAGAAUCACUUCUCCAUAUAAUCACUUUAAUCUCCCAUACUUGGUUUUUUGCCUCUUGUUUUACUUGUUCAAUCUCUAACUGGUUACUUAGCUGGGAACCAUGAAACUAUAUCCAGAAGUGGAAGCAAUGGAAGUGGUAACUUUUUAUAGCUUGCUUGGGACAAUACAGAGCGCAAUAUUAUCCUUGUUCUUAGAGAGAAACCCAAGUGCUUGGAGAUUAAAACUCAACAUGGAGCCCCUUCUCAUUAUUUUAACAGUAAGUAAUUAAUUAGCACAUAACAUAGCUAUUAAUUAAGUUGAUCAACUUCGCUGUAUGUCAUCACAAGACUUUGCAUAUAUGCUGUGUUGUAGGCAAUUUUUGGGGGUCUAGUUCGAAGCCGGGUUCACAAUUGGUGCAUGAGCAUAAAGGGUCCAUACUAUGUACCGCUGUUCAAGCCAUUUGGGAUUGUUUUUGCUACAAUUUUUGGUGUCAGCUUAUCUGCAAAUAGUCUGCAUUAUGGAAGGUAAUUUAUUAGAAAUUUGUCUUCCAAUCUAUUUAUUCUAGACAUAUAAGAACUUAAGGCAGAGCUCAAGGGCUAAAAGCUGACCAAAUUAAACACAUUGGUUUCCUUUUUAUUUUUGUUUUUGCAGUGUGAUAGGAUCAGUAGUAAUUGGAAUGGGGUAUUUUGUAAUAUCAUGUGGACAAAUCAGAGAAGAUGAAGGGCAGCAAGACCAACAAUGUGUUGAUGAGAGGCUGGAAUCUAAUUCUGAGAGGAAAGUCCCUCUCUUGCAAGAAGAAAAUAAUGGAUAGAUUAAUCUCAAACAGAAGGGAAAGCUUGAGCCUUGAGAAGAAAGAAGGCUCCUAGCAUUCUCACUUGUAAGUCUCAAACUCAAAUUGCAUAUCAGAUCAUUUUGUACAUAUUCAUUGCCUUUACCUUUCGUCUGAUACAUUGUAGCAUAUAUAUGUGCAGGGUUUCGAGAUCAUUUCAUCAAGCUUUAUAUCUGAUAAUUACAAGGGAACAUGCAUCAUUCUUUUUUCUUUUUCUUUUUUUGUGAAUAUGGUGAUGAUGGUGGUAUGGUCUAUAUUUUGUACCUGAAUGUUGUUAGAUAAUGUGAGUGUAUGGAAACAAAAGCAAUGAAAUUAUUGCAAAGGGUGUCUUAAAUUCAUCCUUUUUCUGUCUUCUUAGUGUUAUGAUUUGUUUGAACGUAAUUAACUGAUGUUAGAGUUUCGACAAAAACCGUUUUACAGAAAGUGAUGAUUGUCUUGACAAAAAUGAUUUGUACGAUGAUGGGUUUCUUAUGAGUGAUUUUCAGGUUCAACAUUUGAUCCACAUUGGAUGUCAUGAAUCUUGAGCAUCAUAAAUAUCAUAUCAUAUCAUAUCAGACCCAGGGUUCUGUUGUGCGGAAACACUCUAAGACAUUGUCAUUGAUAGAUUAUGUGACAACACACACAUAAACCCCUUUUGAGAAUAAAACACACGCACAACGAAGAGAAAAAACAAACACACAAUAACACAAAGAUUUAUAGAGAUUCAGCCUCGUGCCUAUGUUCUCUUAGUGAUCCACCUGAGAAAUUCACUAGUAUGUAAGAACAACUUUGGCUACAACUUAAACCUUCUUAGCUCUCACAAGAACCCUAGCUCUUUUUUCUCUCACCCUUCGUCAAAUUCUUGAUGCCCUUGAAAACACCCUAGAAUUCCCUCUUGAAUUCUCUUGUGUCUCUCUCUCUUAUAAAUUAACCUAGCCCUAAAAGUCAUAUUUAUAAUGCAUAGGACUUUUGCUACAAGUUAACUAGGAGUAGGAAACUAAAACCCUAUUAAAUUAGGCUAGAAAACCCCAAAAUCAUAGGAGAACCCUGUCAAAACAAGCCAAAACAUCAAACAUACGCUCGACACUAUUCACGAGGCGACUGGUCUCCAAGAAUGAGCGACCCGUCAUUGGAGACAGAGAUGCCAACUCCAGCAUUGGCCAAAACCAACCGAUCACAUGGCCAAAGCGACUGGUUGCUUGCUGUGCUGUUGCCUUAUUGCGACUUCUUCUCCUUCCUUGCUGCUCCAUCCUUGCAUCCCUUUGUUUCCUCAUCCUCAUCUCGCAUCUAUGGUGAGCCAAAAUACAAUAAUCUCCACCUUGGAGAACCAUUAAUCACCCAUGAAAACCCUAGAACCUCUUCAACCUCUUGGAAACCGUUCUAGUAAUUUUCAGGAGCUCCACCAUGACAAGAAACCUCUUGUCUCAACGCACCUUAGAUGAGAAGGUGCUUUCAUGAAACAAGAGUAAAGUUGGUGGCUUCGUGGGGAUUUAUAAAACAAGGGUUGGUACGCGGUUUGCAUAUCAAGGCAUGUCAAGAAUUCAAGGUUCCAAGAAGGUGAGGCGUAAGGAGUUCGGCCUGGGGGAUCUCUCUUCUACACAAGAGGUCUGGGUGGCCCAAAUUUUUCACACAAUUGUUUUUCGGUGGAGGGUGAAGACCUUAUUGACCGAUUGAAUGAAAGAAGAGGAAUUGAAAUAGGUUCGACCAGCAAGAAAAGAAAGAAGAGUACUAUGUCAAACUCCACCCCCUUUGGAGUCCCUUCCAUCACCACCUAGGUAAGAAGUAGCUUUUCAGUUGCUACCGGCCCAACAACAUUCUUCCCAUCAUUCCUUGUCCUGACUUCACCUUUAUGGACCUUGUCCUCCGACUCUGCCACCGCCACCUUUACUCCUUUGAAAUCAAGCACAUUUGAGUAUAAACUUUUAAUCAUACAACCUUAAUUAACCUUCCUUACUCAACUAGUCUUAAACGAACCCGUAGCUUCAUUCUGUUGCACCGGCUCUCUGACAGUAACAUCCCUUGCUUGCUUUUCUUUUGUACAAAACACUUCCUUGGUAGAAUUUUCUUCUCAACCUGCCAUUGUACUCCCUCCCACCAAAAAAAAGCUAAUAAACUUUGUUAGAUUGAAUCUCCCCCUCAUCAUCACCACCGAACCUUGUGUGAUUAAGAGCUUUCCUCCUUUGGCCUUGUAAGAAUACCCUUCUCUAUCACCAAGGGAAAUAAGAUUCAAUCUUAGUGCCAGUACAUGCCUUACCUCACUAAGGCUCCUAACUACACCAUCUUGCAUCUUGAUCUUCAUUAUUCCCACGCCCAAUACAUCACAAUUUGUUUUGUCUCCCAACGAAAUCUUGCUACCCUUUCUUCCUUCAUAUAUAUCAAACUCCAUCCUAUUUCAACACACAUGAAAUGAACAAGUGGAAUCUAGAAUCCAAACUGAAGUAGAAAACUUACCAGAAGAAUUUGCCAUGACUUCCUUGUUACGCUCCUCAUCUGUAACUGUCACAACUAGUUGACACAUUUGUUGUGCCCGAACUAUGAGACCUUGAAAAUUCCAGAAUAUUUUUACGCGUACAGUAAAAAUUGCACGGGCCAUUUUGAGGUAAGUGGCUUUUCAUUUUUUUAUUUUUUUAUUUUUUUUCCAAGUAAACAUUGCCAUUAUGUUUGAGAAUAACUUAAUUCCAAAAAUAUGAAGUUAUAAUUUUGAUGUUCUAACUUAAUGGAAAAUUAGUAGACGUUGCUACGAGCUUGUGGUAUUUUUCAGAAAAUUUUGCAAAACUUGGAAGUAUUUUUAGUGAAUUUUCAAAGUUGGAACGUAGGAAAAGAAAAUAUAUUUGACACAUGGAAUUUUCUGAUUGGUUGGAACACAUCACCAUGCCACAUGUCAAUACUUGAUUGGUUGGACGAAAAGGAAGACUUUUACUCAUACUACUAUUCGUAAAUUGACUAGGGUGUAGGGUAUUAUUCCAUGAAUUUAUCUCAUCUAAGCCAGUGAUCCAAUUUUAGAUCAGAUCUGGACCGUAGAUCAAAAUCAAAGAUUUUUGGCUUGAUCCAGCCUUUGGAUUGGUUAUUGGGAAUGCAUCUGGGCCAUCCAUCUUAAAGCUAUCAUGUACCUUCCUACACUUGAUCAAAAACUCAUAUUUUAAUUUGGGCCUUCGAAGUAAAUAUUCAAAUCAAUCUGAGCCGUCGAGGAAUUCUAUAAAUUCCCCUCCCAUCUCUCAUUUUCCUUCAUUCCAAAAAUUCAUAUUUUCUGUGCAAAGGACUACUAGUGUAGUGGUUUGGAGUAUUCACUCCCUCAUGCAAGGUCCUGGGUUCGAGUCCUAGCAUCCGUGUUGUGUGUGUGAGUUUAAUAUGCUAUCGCCCCUUUCAAUAGGAAAGGUACUCCAAAAAUAAAAAAAAAUAAAUCAUAUUUUCUUUCUUGCUCUCAUUCUCCUCCAUUAGAGUUACUAUUCCGACAUUCUUCGAAGUUACUAUUCAUCCCAAACACUAUUAAUCUACUAUUCACUUCCCGUACGUAGUAUCAGCCGUUUCCCAUCCAUUCCGGGAAUUCACUAUUCACAUCAGAUUUCACUAUUCAUUGUUACUCCGACCAAUUUCAAUUUGUCAAAUACUCAAUUCGUGUUAUUAAUUGGGUAAUUUUCAAGUGAUUCCUAAAAUUUACUCCAUAUGUCAUUACGGUAAAGUUAAAGUCUAAAUACUACUUUGUUGGUCAUACACAUGGACUAGAGGAAUAGGUAUAAUUUGGUUCAAGAAUUUUAGUGAAAGGAAAAUGACAAAAAAAUUAUCCAAUUUGAUUAGAUUUCAAAUGUUCCGCCACUGUGGGGAAGUCGCUGUGCCCCCUUCACUCUCAGAUCGUCGAGGAUAAUGCCCACACAAGUAUACCCUCAAAAACUUUGGAAAUCCAAAGCAAAGUAGGCGAAACUUACCUUAAAAAAUCAACGGUACGAGUAAAUUUUAUUUAUAAAAAUAAAAAGAUACACCUAGUUAGGAGGGACGUAAUGAGCCUUACCCUCAAAUAUGCAUAUCUAUACAUAACUAAAAGCUUAACAAAAAAACAAGAAGUAAAUGCAAUGCAACACAAAACUAAACUAUUUUAAUCUAAAACUGUACCCUACGGGGCUUAGAAAUCUUAAAUUCCUCAAUUAUCUCUUCAUUAUCGAUAUUAUUAGCAAACUCUCUUUAAAUGUGGAGAAUCAUUAAAUCAGCAAGGAAUUCAUCAGCUAUGGUGCUUCGAAGUCUAUUCUUAAUAAUUCUCAUACAUGAAAAAGCUCGUUCCGUUGUUGCUGUAGAUUUAGGAAGAGUCAACACCAACUGAAUCAACCUAUAAAGAAAAUGGUAGUCUUUUGCCAAAGUUGUUUCCACCAAUUGUUGACAUAACUGAGGAAGAGUGGUGAGGUCCUUAAAGCAGGGAAGGCGAUGCAUAUCAUUUUGAAAAUACCUCAACUCAAUUUCCAAAGCUUUCAAGUCACUUAGACUGAAAUCAGCAGGAUAGAAUUUCUCAGCAAGUUUACAUAGAUGCCCAAUAUUGAAUGAUUUGAAGGAAUUAUGAGGAUCUAAUGCUGAGCUAAGAAUAAGAAGUUCAACUGUUUGCUCUGGAAAUUUGUCAUUUAACUCCCUCAACAUGCAAUCUAUCACAUCAUUAAAUACAUCAACGCGAUAGUAAUGUUCAAUUGUAAUAAAUCUUUUUGUUAACAAGAAUGACGUAUGCCCAUCAUAUAAUUAGAACUCAUAUCAUGAACAUCAAUACCAUGUUGUUCACAAAAUGAUACCACACUCAUGAAUAAAUCAUCCUAGCCAUGUCCCCUUAUAUCUUGGAACUAUGAUUUUGUGUUUUCAACAAAGUUUAAAGCACUUCCAAUAUCUUGAGUUUUCUCUGAAACACUUGACAAAGAAAGUUGGUCAAUCCCAUAAUUUUAUCCAUCAAAAGCAAUGCAAACACAAACUCAAAAGACAUCAUAGCAACAUACUUACUCUCUGCAUCACCAUGAAAUUGUUGGUUAGGUCCAUAAUCACUGAUUUCCUGAAGAAGUAUUUUAGUCUCUUUAAAUAAACUCAUUAAACUUGUCAUAGAGGCAAAGUGAGAUCCCCAACGAGUGGCUCCAGCUCGUUUCAAACUACAACAUUGAUUAAGUCCUCUACCUAUCUCAAGUUCCCCAGAAACCAACAACUCUUUGAGUUUAGCUUUUCGAAUUAAAUUUAACUUAUUACGGCGCUUAGCAGAAACACUAACAAAAUUCACAAUGUUAGUCAACAUUGAAAAAAAUCUCCAUACAACCUUUACAUCUUUAGCCGCACCAUUUAAUGCUAAUUGCAAGCAAUGAGCAAAGCAAUGCACAUAAUAUGCAUAUGGACAAUCUUGAAGAAACAAUGCUUGUAAUCCAUUCCAUGAACCACUCAUAUUACUAGCUCCAUCAUACCCUUGGCCACGCAUGUUUUUCACUAGAAUUCUGUUAUUAUGAAGUACUUUUCAUAUCUCUUGUUUAAGAGACAAGGCAUUAGUGUCUACGACACUCACAAUAUCGAAAAAGCGUUCAUGAAUAAAUCUAUCACAAUCAACAAAUCUUAGAAUAAUAGCCAUUUGUUCCUUACUUGAUUCAUCAAGUGAUUCAUCAACAAGAAUACAAUAUUUGUUCUUCCCAAGUUCGCUACAAAUUUUCUUCUUCACCUUGGUAGCAAAAAUAUGCAAGAUCUAUUUUUGUAUAUCAUGGGCAAUAUACUGAGCAUUAUGAGGAGCCUUAUCUAGAACAACUUUCUCAACUUCUAUAUUCAUUCUUACAAAAGACUUUAAGAUUUCAAUGAAAUUGCUCCGGUUAGAUGAGUCAACGGAUUCUUCGCGACCUCGAAAAGCCAAUGUUUGAUUUGCUAGAUACCUAAUGCCCUCUAUUGUGGUUGUAAGUCACAAUCGAUUGUCCAUCACUUGUUGCUUUGAUUGCUUAUCUACCACAUUUUCAAUAUGAAGAGAUGAGUUUUUUAAGCUAACCCACUUUUGCAUAGCAAGAUGAUGUGGAGAAUUUUGCUUGCCUACAUGACUUUGAAAUACACAUUGAUUGCCACCAAUUCUCUUCCACUUUUGAAAUCCAUGAAUAGUAAAGGUUGAAUGUGAAUGAUUCACGUCAAAUAAGAAGCAAGGAAAACAAAAUGUCAAAUCUUUAGCAAUUGAAUACUCAAGCCAAGGGAAUUUACCAAACCACAAUUUAUUAAAUCGAUGUAAGUCUCGCCCUUCUAAAUGGAUUGGAUAGUCUUCUAACUCUAGUUGACAAGGUCCUAAAAUAAUAUAGGCUUUUCGCACAUUAUCUUGUUUAUUCACUGAAUAUUGGCAUAUAAGCCAGUGAACUCCCAAAAGGCCUCGUGCUAGAUGGAUGCGGGUGUGCACAUAUAAGGCACAUCACCCCCUCUCCGUUGGUCGAUGUGGGAUCUUACAAUCCACCCCCCUUAAGGGCCCGACAUCCUCGUCGGCACACUCGCACCACACGGCAGAGUGGCUCUGAUACCAAAUUGUCACAUCCCGGGAUCGGCUCCGCCUUAGCACGAUAUUGUCCGCUUUGGGCCCCCCUCUCUGCCCUCACGGUUUUGUUUCUGGGAGCUCACGAGCAACUUCCCAGUGGGUUACCCAUCCUGGGAUUGCUCUAGCCCCCAACUCGCUUAACUUCGGAGUUCCUACGACUCCGAAGCCAGUGAGCUCCCAAAAGGCCUCGUGCUAGAUGGAUGCGGGUGUGCACAUAUAAGGCACAUCACCCCCUCUCCGUUGGUCGAUGUGGGAUCUUACAAUCGACUUUUUGGGUCUCAACUCUUUCAACUUGAGGCUUGACAAUGGGAGAGUCGAGAAGAUUUUGCUCAUCACAAAUGGGAGGCAUUCUAGAAGAUGAUGACCCAUCAUUCUUUUUCUUAAAAAAAGAGGACAAAUUCUUUGUUUUCUUGGGAUUUUGAUUGUGAUCCGACAAAAUAAAAUAUAACCUAAUUUAAUCAAACAUCCCAACAAAAAAUCAAACAAUUUGUCAUAAUAGCAUCAAUGAAUUUAAUCAAACAUUAACAUACCAAUAGCAAAUCAAACAUCUCAACAAUACCAACAUCAAAUCAAACAUCUCAACAAAAUUCUUAAAAUUAAAGACCUAAUUAAUUUCAACAAAAUUUUCAAAUUAUAUUUCAUUCCUAAUUAAACCCUAGAUGACUCAAUUUCAAAUUAAAAUUAAAACUAAGAUGCAUACAUUUAUUUUAGGAACAACCCAAUAGAAGAAGAUAAUUAAAUAGAAGAGAAUAAGAAGAAUACUUGUUUCCUCAUAUAUGAGAGGAGAAGGGGCUGUCGACAAUUGCACAGCUUGACUAUUGCACAGCCAAGACUAUUGAGUUGAGAAGAAGCUGCUGACUAUCUGGAAUUGCACAGCCAAAAGCUAUUUGGCUGCUUAUAAGUUAUAUUCCCCCUUUUUUAAAAGUUUGACUGGGCCAUUCCAUAACAUAAGAGUGUGGGUUGGUUAUAAUUUUUUCUCUUUUUUUAAAAGUUUGAGUGGGCUUUAAUGGGCUGGGUAGGCAUGGGUUUACACCAUCACAUGUGAUGGGUAGCAAUAACUUUGGGGUAGGCUGCCCUGGUUGUAGGACCACCACUGGUUCCAUGGGUUUCGAUUCCCUAACUUCCAAAGGGGUUACGUGGACAGACUUUACCAAUACCCUUGUGUGAGGUUUAGUUGAUGAGGUGUAGCUGAUAAAUGGAUAUUCUCGCUACCGUACCAGAUAAGUUGGUUAUAUUUUUAUUUCUCAUAAGGGUAGUUGGCCUUUAAGGAUUGGUCGUCAGACAAGCAUAUUUGGGCGCCCGAAAAACAUUUGUGAAAGUUGCGUGAGCAUGCCAACUGUUUUGGAUCCUAUAUUUAUAUGAAAAAUGGUUUAUGUUAUGCAUAUUAUUUUCAUUGUUUUUCCUUAACACUAUUAUGUUAUUUCGCUGUCUAUUUUCAAACUUGGUCAGGAGCCCCCAACUGAGAAGAUGAAUGUAUGUAAUGCUUACCCCUACUUUUCCAUAUAGAUUACAAUCCUUAAGAGUCACUUGGUGUUAUUCCUGGACGUGUUAACACUUUGGUUCUUGUACCUCAUCAUCUCUGACAGGUCAUGAUUUCCUUUCCUAAGAGGUAAGGGUGCUUCUUGUUCAUUUCCUACCUCUGUAUAAAUUUUGGAUGGGUUAGUGUGUAUUUAAUCUUUAUGGUUUGUAAAAUAACUUUAUGAGGUUACUAGUACUCUUCCUUGACCUCUAGGGUUAGUUUCUAAUCAAUAAAGUUUGUAUAAUGUUUUAUUCAUUUUUCUGUUGUUAUUAACAACUUUGAUCCAACCCAUUUUAUUUAAUUAAAACAGCUUAGUGUAUUUUUGGGAAUCUUGGGAGUGUAACCCUCAAACAUAGGUGUUAUAUUUUCGGGAUCCUCAAGGUAUGUGAUGCUGUCACGUGUCUCGAUUUUGAGGUGUGACAUGAACUUUCGGCCUUAGACCCACACUCGAAUCCCCUUCAUUGUCCCUAUAUCUAAAAUUUUCAUCAUUGCUUGACUUGCCCCCGCGCUUACUUGAACGACCCCUCCCUCCGAUCCUUGCCACAAGACCUUCACUUUGAGAGCAUUCUUCGAAACGUUGAACCAUUCGGUGAUGCGUCAGGAUUUCUUCCAUCACUUCUUCAUUCUUUAGAGUUCUCUUACCGAACAUCAGCGUAGUGCAGAAGUGCUUAUAAGACGGAGGCACGGAUGUCAACAACAUCACGGCCUUGUCUUCCGACUUAUAAACUUCAUCCAACCUUUGCAAAUCUUCAAUACACCUAUUAAAGGAGCUAAGAUGCUUCAUCAUGUUUGCGUCCUUCUCUAUCUUUAGAGAGUGAAGCUCAUCCUUUAAGAAAAGCUUGUUGGACAACGAUUUUAAAGCAAACUCCUCUUCAAUUUUCUCCCAAGUCUACUUCACGAUGUCUUCCAUCGAAUUACACAACAUGUUAUCUGUGAGAUGAUGUUCGAUGAAUCUUUUAGCAAGCUCGUCUAAGUUUUCCCACUCCGCAUUUAUUAUGGUUUCCGACUUUUUUUCUUUGCUUGCCAAGACUACGCUAAGUCCUUGCUGCUUAAGGACGUAUUUCAUUCUUUUUUACCAAAAUGUGAAGUUCUCCUUGCAAGUAAACGGCUUCAACUCGACCUUCACACUAGCCACCGGUUGUGGAGUCUUCAUGUCGCCCUCCAUCAUCGACACACCUCCACUCUUAAAAUUGUAAAAGCACUUGAGCAAAACCAAUACAUGAUGCCGACCUAGGCUAUUAAUACCACUUGUUGUACCAACAAGCCCAAUAGGAGUCCACUACCUAUUCAAACCAUGCACUAACAUUGUCCCCACCUUAACCCGCUUAUUCACAACACCUGCACUUUUCAAGAGUGAGCCCCCGCAACUCCACCUCUUCCGAAAAGGCUUUUCUUGAGCCUUGCUAAGAGGGCUUACUCCACCUACACCUAGGAUUGUCUUGAUCCUUGCUCCACUAGCAUACUCCACCUUUCUCUGCCAGUCCAAGAAUUUUUUACUUGAGUCGCCUUCUUGAACUUGUCAAUGGAUCCACCUUGAACAAAGUGUGUCUUAGCCAAACCAAGUUCUAAUAACAAUUGUUGUACUAAUAGGCCCGAUAAGAGUCUACUGCCCGUCUAAACCACGCACUCAUAUUGUCCCCACCUUAACCACCUGGAUCCAAUCCUUAGGUUGGGUUAGGCCCAAUGGACCUCUAGGUAUGGGGGUUUAUCACAAAAGACCUCAGUGCAAUUAAGAGUGGACUAGCUAUAUUUAAACUGUAGAUUAUUGUUGUAUUGUCAGUCAUUUUUAUACAUGAUUUAUUAUGUGAUUCACCCAAUAUUUUGAGUUAGUUCUUAAUAUUUUAUUAUUUUUUACUUCCUUUUUGUGUUUUUAUAGAUUUUACUUUGAUUGAAAUGAAUGUGAGCUAAAAGUGCGUUAUUGAAUAUAAAAUAUGUUUUUACUCAUUUUCGUAGGCCAAUUUCUUGAUCGUGGAUCAUCAUGAUCUAGUGCUUGGAUGCAGUGAAGUUCUUCUUAAAACUUGUUCCAAUAGGUAUCGACCAUAACAUAUAUGAAAUUUAGCUCCAUUGAACAAGUAUAACCUCCCCAACUGAUCCAGUAUUGAUGUUAACUCUGGAAAUUUGUUUUGGGCCAGUUUUACCUUCACUUGAUGUCAUCUUAUUUUUACUUGUUACCAUACCAUUUGGUAACAAUAAUUUACCUUGUUGAAAUGGGAUUUGCGGAGACAAAAGGGAGCCUCUUAAUGAAUUUAAAAAUCAAAUCCCAUGAUGGCAAGAAGACAAGGAGGAGACAAUAGUCAAAGACUUUAGGUAAAAGGUGUAUCUUUAUAUGCAAAUGUGAGUUGACAAGGAUUGAAGACAACAACACAUGGAGGUAGAAAGGAAAAUCAAUGGAAGUCAGCCACACCAAAAGAGAGGAAGAAGCGUCGAACAUACAAUAAGAAAGGAAAAGAAGAUGAUAAAGAAAUGCAUUGGUGGGCUACUUGCUUGAUUAUUUUAAGAUUGAUUGAUCCCUUCCUUUUGCUAUAAUAGGGCAAGCACGGUAGAUGGAAGGGUGUGCAAUUCUUAGGCACCAAAGAGAGUAGAGGUGUUAGGCACCAAAUAGGGGAGAAUGGCAUGAUAAUUGGAGAGAACCUUGGGGAGCCAUGAGGCAAGGAUCCAAGGGGUUGAUAAUGCAAUUCUGUUUCUCCUCCUUGUUUUUGUUUCUUUCAUUUGAUUUUUUUUCUUGUAUUUUUUUAGUUUCAAUUUAACUUCUUCUUUUUCUAGGGCUUAGGUUGAAGCCCUAAAUAUAAUUACUCUUGUUUUGAUGCUUUGAGUUUUUGAAUUUCUAGAUUUUUUUUUAUGAAUUCCCUUUCACUAAAUUAAUCAUAUGCUAUGUGUUUGCUUUCUUUGAUUGCUCACCUUAGGUUGUAUGCAUCUAGCUAUAGUUGAGAAGUUGUGUAAGAUACCCAAGAACACAUAUUCAAAUUAGCUACAAGUGAUUGAAUCAUUUUUAAGUGAUCUUUAUGUGAAUUAGUUUCUUGAAUGACUAAGGUAAACACCAUGUUAUUAGGGUUCUUGUGAUAUUCAUAUUCUCUUCAAUCUCAAUGGGUUUCCUGAUAUGGUUGAAUCAAAGUACUAAUCACACCUAUAUCAAGUGUAUGGGAAGCAUGAGUAUUGUAGCACUAGACAUGCACCUUACUUAUUUUAGAGAGAAUCAAUGCGCCUAAAGCCACUAAACCUGGUCUUGAUUGCGAACAUCGUCAUCAAUGUGUAUAGAGUUCUUUUGCUUUGUGUUCACCCGUUUUGAUUUUUAUCAUGUGAUGGUAGGGUAAAGUUCCCUAUUGGCUUAUCAACCAUUAGUGGUCAACAAGUCAACUUUCUUUUGUGUGUGAGCGUGUCACUACUAGCAGUUCAAAACCCUAGCAGACUUCUUAAACAUAGAUAACUUGCGCCCCAAGUUAUUUAACUUCUAAAUAAGCAAUUGUGAAUUUGGGUAAGGAAUAUCUCCCAAGUAAGUUCUUUUCUUUGCCUCAGAAUUGUGAGGACUUUAUAAUUUUUCACAGUCUGGAGAGGGCAAAAGUGGUUGGAUUAAUGAUCACUAAGCUGGAGCUGCGCUAUGGUGCCUGUUCUGCUUGACCAAUGCUCUUUUUUUAAUUUGUUGAGGUUUUCAUAUUUGUGAAAAACCCUGACUCUACUUGACUUGGCUUUAUGCUGAACCAAAUUUGUAACGAGAGAAAUUUCGCUUUGUAGAACUAUUUCUCUGAACUGAACUGAAAUCAGAAAUUUUGUAUUAUAGCUGACUUAUUUCUUGUGGCUCAAUAAGCUUUGGUUGGUUCAGUGUUUGAAGGCUUGUGAGAUCAAAUGAUCAUUUUGAGUUUGUCAAUUGUGACAUUGAGAGUUUUGUUCUUGAUUGAUUUUAUUGGUUGUCCUUUGAUCUGUUCACCUCCUCUCAUAUUUAUAGAAAAUACUGGAGUGGGGCUUCUAAUCUUUUAAUAAUGUGCGGCAUAUUUUCCAAAAGAAAGAUCUUUUUAUUUUUAAAUGCCAAGAAAGGGGAAGUUUAUAUGUUCUAGCAGAAAAAGCCAUCAACAUUCAGUUCUUAUGGUGAUCACUUCUCUGCUUUUCCUAAAAGAAAACCUAAUCCCUUUUUAACUUUUAACUGCCAUUUGUAAGAGUGCAAUCCUACCGUGAUGGUUAGUUUGCUUUUCCUGAUGAACAACUCCCUACUCCCCACUUAUCUCUUUAGAAAAUGUAGUCUGCUUAUCCCUUGGAAAUGACACCUGCUCUGAUGUAGAAUUUUUUUGUAUAUAGAAAAGGGAUUUUGAUCUUUUGGCUGCAAAGAUUUUCAUAGAAGUCUUUCUUUUAUACCUGCCUUCGUUAACUCCCUAUCAACUCUUCUGAGAUAGUUGAACUUUUUUACUUUUCAAAGACAGGUAGUCACGUGAGGGUUUUUUUUUAAGAAAAGAUCUGCUAACUUGUCUUUUUGGGGUAGAGAUCAAAGUGGUGUGAAAAAGAGUUGUGCUAGCUUCUUUUAUUCUCUGUAGAUAAAGAGCCCAAAAUGUUUUGUUCAUGGGCCUUUAUGAUAAAAAUGGGCUGGGCGUGUUGAGAAUUGGCCCAAACUAAAGGUAAACUUCAGUGGCUGCCAAAAAUUGACAUGGGCUUUUUGAUUUUGUUUUUCAUGUUUGUUAAUCUUCUUAGUUAGCAUUUCUUUUCAUAGGUGUCUCUAGAAUUUAGUUUUUCAAUUCAAACCCCUCAUUUGUGUUGUUUGUUUAAAGUGUGAUUUUAGCCUUAGAGUUGUGUGACUUUGUAAUUGUGUUUUUCUUUCUAUUUCUUUUCUAAUUUCAACUAGGAAAUCGAAUGGAAUUAAGAGAUCCAAUAUAUGUGGCAUCAACCUCGCACUUACAUAAGCUUACUACUAAUGGUUCGUGCACUUACAGGUAUAAUGUGUAUUCGAAAUAAUCUAUAUUUUGUAGGUUGUCUAAAACAUCACAACAUAUAUUUUUUGAUGUGGAACUUACACAUUAUGGCUUGUAUCGAGCCAUCUACACUAACAGGCCCCACAUAAAAAAAAUUCAUAUUGAUGAUGAGUGACAAUGCUAAUGCAGAAAUUAGAACAAUAUACCUCCUCACAACUAGUUCUUCAAUAUUUAUUGGUAAAUAAUUAGAACAAUAUGCCUCGUCUCAACUAGUUCUUCAUUAUUUAUUGGUAAAUAAUGUAGACGUUCUUGCUUUUCUUAGCCUAUUUUAAUAUCAAUUAUUUAUUGGAAAUAUUUUGAUUAUGUACGAGGAGGGAGUCAAAUCAUGGACCUAUGCUAACUUUGACAUUUUUCAUUAUUUACUGGCGAAGAAUGUAGUUGUUCUUGUUUUUCCGAGCCUAUAAAGCCCACUAUUUAUUGGAAUUUCUUUUGGUUUAUGUAGGGGAGCUGAAUCCUAGACCUAUGCUAAUCUUGACCCUAAACCCAUUUUUAAUUUAAAAUUAAAUACUAACUAGUACAGGAGUCAAUACAAGUAUUACAAAAAUUGGUCAUGAUGAACUUUGCACUAAGGUUGGUUUUAAUAUUGUACUUGCCAAUAAAUGUGAGCCAACUUGUUUGGUACGACUGACUAUUGGGAAUUGGUUAUUAGGUCCAAAGAGUUUAUUUUUCGUUUUUGCUACUUUAAAAUCGUACUCUUUGUUAGCCCUCAAGGCAUAAAACAAGGGGCAUUACCGCAAGCACAGAAACAAAACAAAAACAAAAAAAAAACAUUUAUUUUGAAACAUACGGUACGUGCACAAGCUGCUUACAAACUAGACAUGGAUCAAACCAGCUCGGCAUGCAAACAUACGACUUCAACUCGUCUUAUUUAUUCGGCCACCAGAUUAUGACUCAUAAUUAAGGAAAAC
rnacentral:lncRNA from 1 species